rnacentral:lncRNA from 1 species
UUUUUUUUUGGGGUUAUGUUUUUCUGAGUCCAAAGUUCCUGCUUUUUUUUUUUUUUCUUUUUUGGGUUUUGUAUUUUAAUUCAGACACGUGUAAGGUGAAAGACAUCUGUGAAUACAAAAUUUUGUACAAGAAAUGGAAUUAUAGAGGUUCUAUUCUUUCUUGUAGUUGAUUUAGCGAAUUCUACUUAAUUAUUUUACAUCUUCAUGUCAUCAUGUUUUUUAGAACUUUUAUUAUAAGUGGUAUUAGAAAAUUAUCCUUCGAGGUUUCUUUUUCUUCCAAUUUGGAGCUAACAGUCUGAACUUUGACAAAGCCUUAGUAGUUUAUGAUGGCAACACAAUUUACUGCUAAACUUAUAUGUGGGGUUGAAUUGGAUCAAAGGAAUCAAUCGAAACAAGUCAAUUAAUUAUUCGUACUAUUUUCCUGUCCACGUGAUUACCGAAACUAACUACGAAAUUCAAGUGAAUUUGAGAUCGUUGUCAAAGAUGUUUGCGAAGGAAACUUAGAUCAGCAGCAGCUGGUUAUGAAAGCUGCAAUUUCUUAAUUCACCUUUUUAUAAUUUCGAAAUUGUAAAAGAUUGAAAAAUUAAAGUUAAGCUUGUAAAUUCACACUGAUACUGGAAGCAUGCCUGCGUAGUGCGUGAAGGCGAAAACUAAGAAGACCACUCAAUAGUUUGAUGCCACAUUUAGAUUCCGUUCGUUUGGUUUCAGAUCAUGAAAGGGAGUUGCAUAGUCUAGCUACAAGAACAACAUUAAUCGAGAGACUUCCAUAUGAGACGCAUAAAUUCCUGGUGCCCUUUGCACCCUAUCAGGUUACGAGUUACGACACCAGUAUUUCUCUCUUUUCCACCCCACCCUUUCCUCGAAGGCAAAUCAUCAUGUUUCCUGAUAGUGUUUUACAUGCUUGUUCAUAAAUAAUAAUGCGCAUGCAAACGAUAUUUUGAUUUGGAAGAAGUCAUCAUCAGAUCAUCUCUCUUCUCCCAUCAUUCUUACCCUCCUUUUUUUCUUCAUAAUCCGUGGGGCUUAGUCUUCGUACCACUGGCUGAAGGUACCGACAACCAAUACAACUAGGUUAUAGUCAACCGCAAAAAAUUCAGUCUUUUGAAUACAAACCUCAUUUUCUGGGGCUUAUGCCGAUCACAUGAGUAGGAUUUUCACUGCCUUGUUCAUCAUGUUCAUUACUACCUUAGUUGGGACCGUUCCCCAUAGAGAGGUGAUAUAUAUCAUGGUUUUUCUGGAUCAUCGUCAAGCCAUCAUGACUUGAAAUCUCUCCAAAACAUCUGCUCUAUAGACAGUUAGUCUUGGUGGAAAGCUGUUGGUUUCUUGCAUUAUGUGGAUUUAUAUGCUCCAAAUUUGUACAGGCGACAGCUGGUUGCUUAGCUUUAGUUGGGAUUUUCUGCUAGUAUUUUUCUUCAAAGUUGAUGGAAGUAAUUUAAGAGUUUAGCUGAAGUAGUAGUAUACUAUUUUAUAUAGAUGGCUCUUUCUCUGUGCUCUUCUUGUGUACAUUCAAGCCCUAUUGAAUAAAUAUUCGUUUUACCUAAAAAAAAAAAUAAUAAAGUAAGAAAUCUAGUGCUUCACAGCGGUCUUACAUUAUGCCUUGAUAUGUCAAUCAGUAAGAAGAUCUGCUAUUUUAGUGCUUAAUUACUUUCACCCUCGGCAGUUGAUAAAUAGGUAUGAAAGGAAAGAACAGGUAUCUAAGAUUUUCUUUAAUGAUUUUUAGUGGCAAUUGAUAGUGUGAGAAAACUCUGCAACAAUGGAAAUCAAACUAGGAAGUAAAGAAGCGCUACUCAAAAUUCUCAUAAAUAUUGACUCACAAGCUAAUAGCUCCACAGCAUUUGCAAAUAUUACCACAUUUCCCCUUCGUUUGCAUUCCUCAAGUGCCACUAGAUCCUGACUGACAUCUGUAUCCCGAACAGGAAAAAUGUCAUUACGUCAAAAAGUGCUAUUGAAGUUUACACAUCAAUUGGCAAUUCUAAGUGCUAUUAAAAGCCAAAAUUUCUUGUAGUCUUUAUCUCCAAUUUUUGCAAAUUAUAACCUUAAUUAAUUCAUACUUAUUUGGGAUGAGACAUUGACCUAAUGAUCAAGGUUGAGACCCCAACAUUAAAUCUCUUGAAAACUAAGCUUUACAAAAUGUGAGUUUACCCUAAUUAUAUGUUAGUUUACAUAUAAUCUGCCACAGCUCCCUUUUUCAGUUUUAACAUCCUUGAGCCGGUGGAAGCAGUCUAGACCCGCCUCUGCUAACUGCUGAAGUGCUCACUAGUACUAGACAAGCAUCUUCGCAGGUUCAUUCUUGUGGACUAUUACAAGUAUGUUAGUUUUCUAUGUAUCUGUGUGAGUACAGAUAAUACAACAUCAACAGCAUAUAACACCAUAGGCAGCUACGUUAUAUGCCAGGAGAUGGACCAACUCUAAAUUACGUCAUUUUUUCUUUCCCUUUUUCUCAACGAUGCAACAAUCUAUACUGCUCGUCUUAUGAGGGAGAGGGAGUUCAACUGGAGCUUGUCUGAAGGUUGUAUUGCGGAUGCUCUAUCAAAUUAAGGUAUAACGAGUAAAUUAUUGUAUCUAAAAUUGCAAAAUGGUAAUUCUCAGGAAGUAUUUGGUAAGACACACUGCCCUGUUUAAGUACCAAUUUUCUAAACAGAAUCAUCUAUAUAUGCAAUUAAUUGCAUAAUAACUCACUACAAAUAUACCUACAAAUAUAGCUACUAAAUAGACAAUAAAAUAGAUCACCAGAAUUUAACAAGAUUCGGCUAAUUUGCCUACAUUCUCGAAUACCAAUGACAACUUAAUAUUUCACUAGAAGAAAUAUUACAAAGAGAGAGAAGGAAACAAGUUAUAAUUCUCUUGCUUGGUAUAUUUUAUCCUAUCAAAGGAUUCUUCUAUUUAUAGUUCACAAAUGAGAAAAUUUCUAACAAAACUAACGCUAUGGGAUGUAGAGUUUGUGCACGAUUGUCAACAAUUGUAACUUUGUACAAUUGAUAAUUGUGGCUAUUGAGCCAAUAAAUCAACAAAUCUUCACCUUGGCGAAAUCUCUACAUCUUCAAUGCCUCACUCUUCUCCAAACAUUCGAUGGUGUAUUCAAAUGCGCUGUUAAGUGUCAAUCUUCAAGUUGUGCACAACAUUUAUUAAAUUCAAACAAUGUUGGAAUUUGAUAUUUGUUGUGCACAACUUGAAGAUUGGCACUUGACAACGCAUUUGAAAACACACCGAAUGUUGGGGGAAGAGUAAAGCAUUGAAGAUGUAUAGAUUUUGCCAAGGUGGAGAUUUGUUGACUUAUUAGCUCAAUAACCACAAUUGUCAAUUAUGUAACUCUACAAUUAUUGACAAUCGUGCAAAACUCUACAUCCCACAUCGUUAGUUUUGUUGGAAUUCUCUCAUUUGUAAACUAUAAAUAGAAGGAUCCUUUGAUAGAAUAAAAUAUACCUACAAAUAUAACUACUAAAUAGACAAUAAAAUAGAUCACCAAAAUUUAACGAAGUUCGGCUAAUUUGCUUACAUCCUCGGACACCACUGACAACUUAAUAUUUCACUAGAAGAAAUAUUACAAAGAGGAAGCUCUACCAAAUUAAGGAAUAAUGAGUAAAUUAUUGUACCUAAAAUUGCAAAAUGGUAAUUCCCAAGAAAUAUUUGGUGAGGCACACUGGCCUGCUUAAUUACCAAUUUUCUAGAUAGAAUCACCUAUAUAUACAGUUAAUUGCACAAUAACUCACUACAAAUAUACCUACAAAUAUAGCAACUAAAUAGAUAAUAAAAUAGAUUACCAGAAUUUAACGAGAUUCAGCUAAUUUGCAUACGUUCUCAAACAUCAUUGACAACUUAAUAUUUCACUAGAAGAAAUAUCAUAAAGAGAGAGACGGAAGCAAGUUAUAAUUCUCUUACUUGGUAUAUUUUAUCCCAUCAAAUGAUUCUUCUAUUUAUAAUUUACAAAUGAGAGAAUUUCUAACAAAACUAACGAUGUGGGAUGUAGAAUUUGUGCACAAUUAUCAACAAUUGUAACUUUGCACAAUUGACAAUUGACAAUUGUGGCUAUUGAGCCAAUAAGUCAACAGGUAGGAGGUGAAUCUCCGGACCAAAUAAGUGCGAUACCGCGCUCUCUAAAUUUCUUAAAAUAAAGGAAGCAUGGUGCUUCCUGUAAUGCACUAGGCAGGCGUCACUUAACUACGUUACUUAGCCUUGAGAUUUUAACACUUAAUAGUUAGUUUAUGUGAAUGGUUGCCGUCCUUGAACCCUUUCAGAUCAUGAGUCAAAAGACUUUUCUCUCUUUCUGUUUUGUUGUCAUUUUCCCCCCUUCUCCCUUGACAAGCUGAAAUUAUAAUGUUUCCUGAAAGCGCUACACACUUUUUUAUUUCAAAAGAUAUUCACAAAUUUAAUUUGAAUGAAGUCACCAUCAACUUUUUUCCCUCUUCAUCCCUUAUUGUAACUAUAAAUACAUGCACAACCUGUGAAGCUUCAUUCACACCACUAGUUACAGGGUACCAAACUAUCAACACAGGUUGCCUAUAAUCAGUGAUGGAGCCAGGGUUUUUUUGGAUGGGGGCAAAAUUUUUUCCUAAUAAAAUUAUCUUAAUAUAUUAUGUUCGAAAUAAUUUUCUUCUAUUUAAAUAUAUGACAUCUAAAAAUAUCAAAUAUUAAAUUUAAUUAUAAAGGUAUAUCUAUUCAUAAAUAUGCGGUACAGUCAUAAUAAAACUUAACAAAAAAGAUAAUCUUUGAUUAAAUAUCUUAUAACAUUACAAACCAUUUAAUUUAUACAUUAUGAGAAGAUGCUCUCCAAUAUAUCACCUAUGCAAAUUUCAACAUCUUUUCUUAUAAGUAAAUUGAGCUCUACGCUCUUUCACAGAGUUAAAUUCAUCUAUGAUUGAAUCACUGCUAAAUUUUCAGCAACUUUCUUUUAUAUAUAUACAGUUGGACAAUCAUUCAAGAAAUUAUCUUCCAUCUUGUUUUGGAGCUUUGUCUUGAUUAUUUUCAUAAUUGAAAAUGUUCACUCUGUAGUUGCAAUUGAUACAGAAAGAGUAAAAACAAAUCUGAUCAAUCUAUCAAUAAGAGGAUAUGUCACUGAUUUUUUGUCUUCACUAAGUCUUGACAUAACUCAUGAAUACCAGAUAAUUCUUGCAAGUCAGGAUAAUUUGAAAUGUUGAGUUCAAAAUAUUGAAAUUCUAUUAUGAGACCUACUAGUUCUUUCUCCAUAAAAUCAUUCGGAUAGAACUUCUCUGCAAGUUUACAAAUAUCAUCAAUCUUGAACAGCAUAAAUCCAUUUAUAGAAUCUAAAGCAGUGCUCAAAACAAGAAAUUCCACGGCAUGAUCAUUAAACCUGUUAUGUAACUCUUGCAAUUGAUAAUCAAUUGUUGCAAGAAAUAUAUCCACUCGAUAAUAAUGCUCCACACUAAUCUCAUCAUGAUGAUUUCGAGAUCUACCACGUCUUGCAAUAUAUUGAGCAUUCAUAUCCGGGAUAUCAAUUUAAUGUUGCUCACAAAAUAAUUUAAUUUUCACCAAAAAAUCAUCCCAUUUUGAAUCUCGAAAAUUCUUCAGUAGCUUUGUUGUGCUUGAGACAAGAUGCAUUGCAUUCAAAAUAUCUUGAGAUUUACGUUGCAAUGCUAUACAAAGAAGAUGAGUAAUUUUCAUAAUGUCUUUUUUAAAAUGCAAAGUGAAAACAAGCUCAAAGGAUAACAACUGAUUCAAAGCAAAAUUUGCAUCUCCACGUUAAGAGUAUGAACCUCCAUUUACUGCAAUGUUACUUAAAACCACACAAGUAGCAUUGAACAUUUUCAGUAAACUAGAAAUAGAAUUCAAAUGAGAAUCCCAACAAGUAUCUCCAACUCGUUUUAAAGUGGCAAUUUGAUUAAGCCCCUUUCCAGUUUCAAGUUCACCAUUAGCAAUCUUAGUAGCAAUUUCAAUUGCUUGAGCCUCCUUUAAUUCAUCAUUACAUUUGCUAGAUGUAAUAACAAUGUUGAUAAUAAAAACUAAAUUGGAGAAGAAUUGGUGAACAGAAGCUACUUCUCUAGAAGCUGCAACUAAAGCAAGUUGAAGUCUAUGGGCUAAACAAUGAAUGUAAUAGGCAUAUGGACAUUCAUGGCAAAUUAAAGCUUGCAAGCCAUUCCAUUCACCUCUCAUAUUACUAGCUCCAUCAUACCCUUGUCCACGAAUGUUAUGAAUGGCCAAAUUAUGUUGAGAGAGAGUAGAAAAAAUAGCUUCCUUCAAAGUUAAAGCCAUAGUAUCACGGACAUGAAUAACACCAAAAAACUGUUCGCGGAUGCAUCCUUCCUUAUCUACAUAUCUCAAAACAAGAGCCAUUUGCUCUCUUUAGGACUCAUCACGAACUUCAUCAACUAUAAUGCAAAAUUUUGAAUUUCCAAUUUCUUGGCAAAUUUUUUUUCUAACCUUAUUGAAAAAUAUAUAAAGAAUCUCCUUUUGAAUUUCAGAAGAUGUAUAGGAGGCAUUGGAUGGAGCAUUUUCUUGACCAACAUUUGCAACCUGUCCAUUAAUAGAGCAUAAUUAUAAUUUUAUAAAGAUAAUAACUAAAUGGAAGCAUAUUAUGAAUUAAAAAGAAUUCUUUUAAGCAUGGAUAUUAUAUAAAUUCAAGAAAGAAUGCAAAGCUGGAAGAAAAUCAUUCUUACCUUAUCAUUAUAAGAAGCCAACAACUUGAUAAGUUGAUGAAAGUUUCCACGAUUAAGAGAUUUUUCACUCUCAUCUCGUCCUCGAAAGGCACAACCUUGAAGUGCAAGCCAUUGCACUACAUCAAUUGAAACUUGAAGCCUUAAUCGAUUAAUCUCAACUUGCUCAAAACUUUGUUUCUCAAUGAAAGUUCCAAUGUGUUGAGAAGCAUACAUCAAAUCAUUGCAUGCAUUUACCGCAAUUCUGUGAAAUGAGUUAGGACUUUUCCCCACAUGUAGUAAGAAAGCACAAUUAUCUCCAUUAUUGACCUUCUUCCAAUUGUUAAAGCCACCAAGAACAAAUGCACUUAAUUCAACUCGUCAAUUUAAUUCACAUUUCAUAAGUUAUAUACAACUCUAGCAAAUUAUCAUAAUAAAUUAUAUAUAUGCAUUAUAUUAGUAUUUCUUUGAACCACAAAUAAAGUAUGGAAUCACAAUUUUAAAUGAUACACACUUAUUAAACAAUAAAAUACUUUAUACAUGUCAAAUUAUUUUUCUUGAGAAAAAUAUACUACAAAUGUAGUAUAAUAUCACAAUUUUGAUACUAGAAAUGUAUUUUACAAGAGCAUAAGAUAAUUGGAAAGAGGGAAAGGUUAAAUUUCAUAAUAAAUUAAUUAUAAAAAGGAAAAGGUUUGGUACAGGUACUAAAGAAUGGAGCCACUUCACUUCAAUUUAUUAGAUUCUACUUUCUAGCACCAAGUGACCAAGCCACGGAAGCCACCAAACGGUCCAAUUGUCCAAACCAAUCACCCGACACCUUUGAUGAAUCUUCUUUGAAUCUUUAUUGUAUUCUUUUCCAGUUCUCUUGUCUUCUUUGCUCUUUUCAUUUUACUUUUGUUGGCAACUACCAAGUACCACCGUGAAAGAAAGAAAGAAAUGAAAAGUGACCCACACUUUCCUUUUUGAUCCGCAGAACAGAGAAGUAGGCAAGUAGCUUACUUUGUAAGCUUUUCUUAGAAUAGUAAAGAUAAAAUAAUUUUUUAAAAUCCUUUAUCCAUUGGGCUAAGUGAUAUAUUUGUAUUUGGGCCAACAAAAUAAUUAUUUUUAUUUUAGCCCAUUAACAAUUAUGAAUUGGAUCUUUUUAGUCUAAUACAUCAUAUUGGAUCAAUUUACUAUGGAACAUCAAAUUAUAUGUUUAAUUUUUGAAAGCUAAAUAAUUAGUACAAUAAAAAAUAAAUAAAUAAAAAAAUUAAUUCAAAUAUGACUAAUUCAUAUAUAUAUAUAUAUAUCAACUUUCAUAAUAUAAACUAAAAUUAUAAAAAUUUAGGGGGGACCAAUUUUAUUUUACACACAUAUUUACAUAUUAUGAAUUAAAAUUUUUAAAACUUAGGCCCCCCUCUGCCCCCCUUGGCUCCAUUAUUGCCUAUAAUCAACUGAAAAAAAAGUCUGUCGAGGAUCAAUACUACCAUCAUCUUGCUGGCAGCGUCGUUGAAGUUGAUUUUAGUGGCCAUGUAAAAGUACUCGCUCAACUACAAAGGUAUUAUUGGGCUUGAAGUGAACUGUCUAUGGCGAUCAAAGUUUUCCUUUGCUUUUACACAUAUCACAUUUGUACCCAUGGAGCCUUUGUUUACCACAACCAACUAUAGAAGUGCACGAGCUAACGAGUCCAUUGUUCUUGCUAACACCUUGAGAAAGAUCAAUCCCAGUGGAGUGGAAUCGUAUUUAUUUUUCUGAUUACCAGUAUUGCAUAUCGCGGGGUUGAACAAGUUUAGGAAGGUGCCAUUCUUUCAACCAUCUUUCAUCCACAACACAUUUUUAAAGCCAAAAUCUUAAUUGAACUUACACCGCUCCAAAUCAUGCAAGAGAGAACUUGUUCAUUUUUUUUUCUUCAAUCUCUCUGUGUUUUUUUUUUUUUGGGAACUUAUGUAGUUCAUUGACUUGUGCACUCCAUAAAUCAUGUGACUUGUCAAAAAGGGUUAGGUGCUAAAGAGUUUGAAUUGUUAACUCACAAUUUUGCCUACAAAUAAUCAGGUCAUCCAAUGACAAAUGGACCAGUUUUUUUCUUGUUAUAAUUAAGAAUUUUAAAGCAAAGGAAGCUGGCGUCCUCUCAAGGUCAAGCAUAGCACAAGCACACUUAUAUAGCAAUUAAUUCUUAUACAUCUUCACGGACUUCACUCUCAAGAGAAAGAGAGGACAUGAAUAUUUGUCAAUUAUCUCAACAUGAUAUACUUCAUUGUAAAUAGUUUGUCCAUUUCUCAUACAUGCUAGUUGUGUAACUUAUUUAUUUUUUUAAUUAAGCAUCAAUAAUUUACACCUACUUCUACUCUUACAUUAUGAGAAAGGGAACAAAUCUGAUUGAAUCAUUAGAAAGUAAAAAUUGGAAGGGAACUAAACUACCUUUGAAUAGAGCUGCUAAAUGGAACGAGCAGCUCGGAAGUUCAAUUGAGUUCAACUCGGUAAGGCUCGAUAAUUGUGAUAAACGAGUCGAGUUCAAGUUUGAAAUAUGCUCGUUUAAUUAACGAGUUUCAUUUGUUAUCCGAGUAAUUCUAUUGGACUUGAUAAAGAAGGGCAUGUAUGUCAUUUCACAAUUCAAAAGAAUAAAAAUUAAAAAUUAUAGAUUUUUAUUGUGGUUAAACUCAUGCAAGUUCGAUUCAUUUGUGAUAAACCAGUUGAACUCAAACUCGAGUUAUACGUCUCAUUUGACAAUCUGACUUCAAACACAUUUUAAAACUUGUCGGCCUAGUCGAGCGAGCUUGAGUCGGCCUCGAGUUUAGCUGGCAAUCAAAUUCUAGGCUUGAUUGACAGCACUACCUUUGAACGAGACAAGUACCCUUCGGCGCGGUUGAAUUUGGAGAAGUCACGUAUGCCAAAUUAUGUGCUCGGCCCAUACUGAUAGGAAGCAAAUUAAUACAGAAAUGAGAAGGCAUCAUGUUGAGUUGAGUCCUGGUGGAUCCGGGAUAUAGAAUCGGAGCAGCAGUGCUAGCGGGAAAUUAUAUACAAAUCAAAUCACAUUUCAGAUUUUCUCUUUUCUUCAGUUGCUCGUUCUGAGAUAGAAUUCAAUUGUCUCUCCCUCCCAAGAAAGAAAAAGAAAGGAAAAAAAAAAAGAGAGAAGUAAAGAGAGAAUGGCGGUGGCGACUAAGGUAGCAAUCGAAGAUGUAGUGAAGCAAGUGGUAAAUGAAGACGAUGACGAACGAGAUACUUGCCACAUCGUUAUGCAGAGAUACUUCCUCCAAGAAUGGAAGAUCGUUAAGUCCCUUCUCGACGACAUCGUUGCUGCCGGACGCGUCUCCGACUUCUCCUCUGUUCGCAAGAUCGAUCCAUUGUAAAUGCUCAAUGCUCAAUGCUCACCUUCACCUCACACUCAUCCACACACUUGAUUCAUAUUAUUAGAAUCGAAUUAGAUUUUUUUUUGGAUGGAAUCAGCUGAAGUAUUCAAAGACAAUCUGAUAUAGGAAAUGGAUGUAAGAAAGUUUUUUUUUUCUUUUUUGGGUCUCGCAAUUUUUGGGAUAAUAACUUGGGGCAAUAAAGUGGGAAUCUUUCGUUGAGAUUCUCUAAUGGAAUGAUUGUCAUUGUACAAAGAUUAUUACUUGGGCAAAAUUUGUAAGUUUCGAAAAUGUAGAUUAAUACUUAUCGACUAGCUCCUGCUAUCCUAGUUGGAUAGAUGGUCAAGUGCUGCUUUCUAAUUGAUAACGGGUGAUUAACUAGUAUACAUAAUUACUUAUGCACGUCUAUCCUUCUUACAGCUUGUUUUUGGAGGAGAUUGUCAUUUGCGAUUACAGCUAAUUUCUGUUUCAGCUGAAUAAUUGUAUUGCUGCGUUCUUUGCUGCAAGUAGCCAACUUUCAGAAGCACCCAGAGCUGCUUCUGGAAACAGCCUUAGUUUUUUUGAACAUUUAAAGGAAAAAUGUGGUUUCAUUUUGUUUUCCGCAGAUUUUCUGUAAACUUCUUAGUCUAUUAACCAAUGGACAGGAUGUCUUCACAUAUUGUACCAUAGUUAUGAUUAUAAGUAAAGUGCUUUUUACAAGAUUACAUGAACUUGUUUGGGAGAAGGGGUAAUAUUCAAUGUGAAGAUUCUUAAGAUGGUUAGGAUAAGGCGGUGAAGAGGAUGUUCUAGGACUAUCUGAAUAAAUGUGUUAGAAUUUCAGUUUCUCAAAAAUUUGUUACUAUAUGCUUCAUAUGUUUUGUACACAUAAGGAGAAGCUUCUAGUAUGGAGUUUGUCGAUUGAAUUAUAGGAACUGUGGUGGACAAUCAGUGAUAAACUCUGUCAGAAAAUUUACUCAUCUAUUGGCUACUCCAGUUUGCGGGAAAAUCAGUACUCUGUCAUCUUAUGUCUAUUUAAAUUUUUUUGAAGCUCUUGUAGUGCAUGGGUGUAGCUAUUCCUUGACAUUCUAGAAUGUGCGCUUUUGCAGCUGGACAAGUAUCAGGAACAAAGUCAACUGGUAGAGCCUUAUCUGGAGCACAUUGUUCCUCCAUAAUGUUUAUUAUUCGCUCUCAAACCGCUGAACUAGGGGUGGCAUCAGAGGGAAUUCUUGAUGUGAUCAAACCUUUAUCCAUCAUAAUUUAUUCGUCGUAACAGUCUGUGGUUAUAAGGCUGUCAUCAAGUUCUUCCCACACCAGGUUUCUGAUUUAGAACUUGCAGUCAGUCUCUUGGAGAAAUGUCACAACACUGAUUCUGGAACAUCACUGAGGGAAGAAAGUACAGGAGAGAUGGAGGCAAAAUGCGUGAUUCUACUCUGGCUUUCAAUUCUUGUGCUGAUUCCUUUCGAUUUAUCAUCUGUUGAUACUAGUAUGGUCGAUGGUAAUAAUGUUGACAGAGGAGAGCUGCCUCCCCUUGUACAAAGGAUUAUAGGGUUUGCAAAAGAUUAUUUGUCAAGUUCAGGUCCAAUGCGUACAAUCGCUGGAUUAUUGCUCUCAAGGCUUUUGACUCGCCCUGAUAUGUCAAAGGCUUUUUCCAGGUCUCUUUCUUAUUUAUAGUAUCUCCACCCACUUGUGUCUUAAUUAAAUGAAAUGGUUUAGGCUGCUUAUUAGAUCAAGUGAUUACCAUUGCAGAGCUCUUGAUUUAUGCUCUCUUGAACUCUGUAAACAAAAGGAUUAUAGAACUUGGAUGAAUUUUUUUUUUUAAUAUUUAUCAGGUUAAAGGCAUUUAGUAUCUGGGAUUAAGAAACCUGCACAAAUGGCAAACACUCUUAAAGAUGUUAUACUGGUUGAUAGUGGACUGGCAAAGGCUAUAGUUAACCUUUUAUCCCCUUUUUUGACUUAAAGGUUUAUUGAACACUAAAAUAGAUCUAAUUAUUUAAUCUUCUAGACUAAACGAGGACAGUAAAUGAUUAUAGUGAGGUUUACCAGUUUAUCUGUUUAAUUUGGUGUUUUGAAGAGAUUUGUUUCAUCUUAGAUUCAAUCAACUUUCUACAACUUUGUUGCUUUUCUUAGUUAUUUAUUUUUUCAAAUUAAUUAAGUUGGUAUUCUUUCUUUGUUUCUUUUCUUUUCUGUUUUUAUUUUUUAUUUAUGUAUUUAUUUAUUUGUUUGCAGCUUUACUAAUUGGACCCAUGAAGUUCUAUCUUCUCAGACAAACGAUGUUACUGAUCAUUUCCGAUUAUUAGGUGCAGGAGAAGCUUUGGCUGCCAUUUUUAAGGUCUACUUUUGGUUCUCUUUGUCACUAUUCUGCAAAUAAAUGAUUUCUGGUUUAAAUUGGGAAUAAAAAAGGAUGUUUUUAAAAGUGUAACUGAUGUUAGCUUUUGGCAUUGAUGUUUCAUAUGUAUAUAAUUUCCAUUUGAUUUUGUUUAUGUCAGCUAGAUGUAUUAAUGCUAUUUGGUUUUGGAUUUAUCUUACAUCAAAUCCUUGGUUGUGGUACAUGUCCUUUUUUCCCUUUUUUUUUGGGGAGGUGGGGGGUGUUGGCAAGAAGGGGUUGGAGAGGCUAAAUUUUAGCUUGUCAUUGGCUCCUUUCAACUUAGUAUCUGCAUCUAAGAUGUUGUCCAUUUUUUGGCUAAAAGUCACCUUUGUGUUGCCCCUUUACAUGGCAUGCAUGUUUCAAGGCCUCAUUCAAUCUUCUUAUUACCAAAGCAAGGUACUAAAAAAUUGGACUUAACUUCACUAACAAGUAGAAAGUGAAUCAAUGCAUAACUGGGGAAAACACCUGAAGAACUAAAUUAUUUGUUUUCACUAAUACAUCUAUCUCAACAGGAACUUGGAUGUUAAUUUUCCAUAGUAUCCUUGUUUGUUAAUAACUGUUUGUAUUUUUGAGUCUUGGGAGUCCUAUUUUCAGAACUUUUUUGAAUAUGCAGACUGGCAGCCCUAAACUGCUACUUGAAGUGGUUCCAACUGUUUGGAGUGACACAUCAGCUUUGAUGAAGUCGAACACUGCAGUUCGUAGUCCUUUACUUCGCAAAUUCUUAGUGAAGCUAUCUCAGCGGAUUGCACUUGCUUGCCUGCCUAACCGUCCACCAUCAUGGCACUAUGUGGUUAGAUAUGCUUCAUUAGUUUUAAAAUCAAUCUAUUUACAUCUUACAGUUUCUUCCUUUGAUUGUCUUUGAGUUUAUGGUGUCACCUCCAACUUUUCUUUCCAUAUAUUCCAUUCUCGAUGUCCAGAAUUGUUUUCAAACAAUCUAUGAAACCUAUUCUCAUCGCUUUCUUGAAUUGCCUCCCAUCCUUUGUUAGUAAAAGAUGAAAUACUUCAAAUAAAUGUAUCCCAUAUUAAGAUUGCUAUGUGGUAAGGGAUCAGAAUGCCUGAUAAUGUGUUGAACUAUUCAGGGGUGGCUUCUUGCACAAGUCAUUGAUGUGACAAGGCAUUCUGCUUCUGUUUUUUGUCAUUGACUACUUCAUCAUUCUUCCAAAAAUGACAUCUAUGGUGGAAUCUUAGAGGCUUUAAUGGUUUUGGGAGCUUUAGAUCUUUUGUCUUGGUUUUUUUUUGGUUCUCUAUUUAUGCUAGUAUUCUGCUCUCUCUGUUGAAAACAAGCUAUUAUUUUUAAAAAAAUUCUAAAGUUUCUGUGUACAAGAAUCAUGUUUUAACUAAGACAUGUUUUGUGUGUAGGGUAGAACUAGCACUCUUGAAGAGCAUAUCCCUUCAGGUGUCCCCAAAAGUGAUCAAGGCAAUGAUUCUUCAAAGAUUUUUUCUAACUCUUGCGACCAAGAUGAAUGCUGCCCUCAAGAGGAAGAUAUGGAUGUUCCAGAAAUAGUGGAAGAGAUUAUUGAACUACUGCUUUCAGGACUGAGAGACACGGUAUGUUUGCAGGGUGAGAUUCUACCAUAAUCUAACAAUUCUUUAAGAGCUGUCUCCAGCAGUUUGUUUGAUGAUGACCUAUAAUUCAGGCAGCGGCUGAGACUGCUGCACUGAGGCAGCUGUUUUCUGCCUUCUCACUCAUUUCCUGAGAAGCUGUAAACACCAUUUAAGUAUUUUCCAAUCAUGAGGUCCUUUUGCUGCCACCCAAGUGCUGGCAAUUUGAAGGGCUUGCAACUCCUGUUUAUAUCCUAUAUUCUCUUUGCUUGUAAUGUUCCUUGCAAAGAUUGUUGUAACAUGCAUUUGAAACUGAAGUUUGUGUCAAAAGUUUAUUAUGCUUGACCCCUUACGCUAAAGUAGCUGUUCUUUUUCCAUAGUGAACAGUAGAUGACUUGAGCUGAGUUUUCAGACUCCCUAUGUAGCUUAUGUACCAGCAUUGAAUGAUGUAUUUCAAACAGACAGUCAUGAAUGACAACCUAUUGGGUUUUUGAGUGGUUGAUAUGUGCUAAUUGUUUUAGUGGCUGGGAUUCUGUAAUUGGAUGUAUGACCAAGCUUCUUUCACACUUAGUAUUUUCUCACCAUGUACACGUGGUUGUGGUAAAAACUAGAAUAAGCAGAGUGGAUUCAUGGUUGACAGUAAAAGUAGAAACACCGAGUGAAGGUUGUCUGGCCUGCUAGAUAGAUUCCUGGUAUUUCUCUCAUACUUGUGACAAUUGCGAGCUUGUUUAGAUUUGAUAUGGUAAGUCAGCAAAUGUUGUUUUCUGCUACAAAUUAGGGCAUUUGCAAGGUUUGAUGGCAGCUUCUAGAAUCAAAGGUUCACUUCUUUCAAUGCAUUGUGUCGUAUCUUGAAAGCAUGCUUAACAAUUGUGACUGCUGAGUAAUAAGCAUCUAAAUGAAUUUUGAGAUAAAUUGUUGGGAAAUUUCCAAAGAAUCAAGUUCUUGAUGAAUAAUGUUUUCAUAUGAAGGCCCCAAAAAAAAGUAUUGUAUAUGAAGUCUUAUGAGUUAAUGUAUCCAUUGAAAUGCUCCUUAAAUUUGUUAUCUGUUACAAGUCAUAGAAAUUGGAUGCAUUCUCUUGCUUCAAAAUUUUGCUGUGUUUUGUUUAUCAAUUUUCCUUUAGUAGAUUGCACAAAGCAUUUCAAGAUGUUGACAAACAGGUAACAUUUAUGGAUAAAGUAAGCCUUGUGAUUUCUGUUUUCAAUGAUGAUGUGAAUGAGUAAAUCUCCAAACCAUAUUACCAGCCAAAAGUGCCAGCUAUUAGCAUGUUGGAAACUCAUAGUUACUAAGGACAACAACAUUGGUUUUGCAUGAGAGUUAUAGCUUGACCAGUUUCAUGCGUUUGCCUUGUUAGUUGGCCUAGAUGGUCAAACCAAGAGCUGGUUAUUCAGCAUCCUGCAAAAGGAGUUGUAAACUUCCUUUCCCUUCAGGUCUACGGGGCCAAUAGUGGGACUGGUUGCCUGCCCACAAACUGAGAAGGUUAAGUGCUGAAUAAAUUCCUAGGUGCAAAUGUUAGGAACUUAAUUUGCACCUGAUGGUUAAAUCGAUAACAUGUAUAAAUAGGUAUACAACAUUUUAUUAUAAUGUGUUAAUAGGAUUACUUUUUUCUAGUCUAUUACAAGCGAACCUGAUAAAAGGAUUUCACUGGUGGUUGCAUGGUAAUUAUCCCGGCUUGCGUGUGUAAAGAAAUUUUUCCCUAAUGAUGUGUUUGAGAUUUAUUUAAUGCUUUUAUGAAUACUAAGGAGCAACAACAUAAAUGGUAUGCAUUUGUGGGCUAAGGCUGUCAGGUUACUUAUUACUUUGGUAUAGUUACUUAUUACUUUGGUAUAAAGGUUUUACACCUUUUACUUUAUCCUUUGAUAUUCAUGGCUUAGAGCUUCAUGAUAUUCUUGACUAUUGCCUUUGAGAAAUAAGCCAUUUUAUACUCUGUAACAGGGUAUAUUUUUUUAAUCUCUUGGCUUCUCAUGUACACAAGCCUUAAGUUUGUGCUCCUUUAUUCAAUUUAUUAGUGCUUUUAUGUGGUUAAGUUUUCUGCAUUUUAAACAUUCACAUUAUUUACAUACAGAAAUUACUUAUCCUUAGUUUCUUCCAAUGUUUGUGUAAGUCAGCUCUCAUCAAGUGACAGUUUUGACAUUGGUGACUUUUUAUGAUUUUUAUGAUGUAGGAUACUGUUGUGCGCUGGUCUGCUGCGAAAGGUAUUGGUCGCAUUACUUCACACUUAACUUGCACACUUGCAGAUGAAGUCCUUGCAUCUAUACUGGAGCUAUUUUCACCUGGCGAGGUAAGCUGAUGCAGUGUUAUUUAGUCUGUUCAUCUACAAUUUAAUAAGUAGGAGCAGUUUUUCAAAUAUAUUUUGACAAUACUAAAGUGAAAUUGUAAUGUAAAUAUAAAUUAAAGGAAAAUAUAGAUAUGUUAACUAAAAGUUUGACUUCAUUAAGGCUUUGUUUGGAUGGAAAGUGUAUCCCUAGGUUAUUUGAAGUGAAGCAAAUAGUUUGCUUUACUUUCGGUGCUUGUGUAACAAAUUGUUGGGCAUUCUCAUGGUAAAGAGUAUGAUCCUUGAUGGCUUUCUAUAAAAUCUUGAAAUUCUGAAAGACACAAUGUAUAGCAAUUUUCUUUUUCUUUAGGAAAUUAACCAUUCACUUUCAUGGAAACCCUGGAUGCUUGCUGGGAAAUUUAGCAAACUUUGCCAUUCUUUCCUUUUCCUUUCCCAGAUUAUUUGUUUAAGAAUACCUGUGGAUAACAAUUAUUAAGUUUGUGCUUGAGUGCUUACCUCCUGGUAAUGUAUGAAUCUAAGCAAACUUUGCUUCAGUUAAUCUCUUACUUUUAUAUGUUAUACUGUGUCCUCAUUUGGUAGGGCGAUGGUUCCUGGCACGGUGGUUGCUUGGCCAUGGCUGAAUUGGCACGAAGAGGAUUACUUUUGCCAUCAAUUUUUGUAAAGUUGUGCCAGUUGUUGUGAAGGUUUGCAGCUUCUGUCAUCUCAUAUUUUUCUCUUAUUGCUUUUUAUCAAGAUCGUGAAGUUGUUUUUUUGCAUUUAACUUAUAAUAUUGUCCAUUGUAACUAUUGUCCCUAUUUGUAGUCCAUUGCUGUUAAAGGGGGAUAAAGAACUACUCUCUCUGUCCCACUUUGAUAGUAAGCUAGAUUUAUUCUUCCAAAAAAGUUAACUUUUCUUAAACUAUGUGAAAAAAAAAACCAAACCUAUCAAAGUGGGAUGGAAGGAGUAUAUUGAAAAUGCCUUAUUCGUCUAAGGAGGAAAAAAUGAAGCUGUUUGUGCUUCAUUAAAUUUGCAAGGAGGAAAUAAACAGCUCAGUUAUAUUUGUGGUUAUGUUAUAUUAUUUUUUUAAAAAACCCAAUAUUGCUAAGUGUUAUCCCUUCUUCUGCCCCAUGUAGAUAGCUAAGUGUUUAUCAGCUGGAAGCUGUAUGAGCAUUGUCGUCCAUGUCAGGUUAUGUGAGAAUAUUGCUUAGCGUUUGUUGUUUUGGGGGGGGGGGAGGGUGUGUGGGGGUGUUGGGGCCUGGCUUUACGGAGGGAGGGUGGAAUGUGGUUGCCAAUUUAGUAUAUAUGGCCCUGCAUCUGAAGUUCUUGGCGCCCUUCAGGAGGCUACUUUUGUGCAUUUUUAUGCAAUCUGUAUAUUUUAAGCCUUUAAGGUGUAGAAUGAUGAGAAACAAAAAAAAUUCGUGAAGUAGUCAUUGGAAAAUUAGUGACUACACCUGAAAACAAAUGAAAAUAGAGCCUGAAAGAAUUCUCAUUGCAAAGAAUUUUGAAUCUUUUUAAAUUGGAUUAAUUGUGUUUAUUUGUUUGGAAGUUUGGAAAUUGAGCAUGAAGAACAAACUGUAAGUGUGUGUGCUUGUGUGUGUGUGUGAGAGAGAGAGAGAGAGAGAGAGGGAGGGAGGGAGGGGGAGAGAGCGAGAGAGAGAGAGAGAGAGAGGAGAGAGAGAGUCAAGGAAAAAGAGAAAUGGAAAUAGGCCAGCAGAAGGUGCUGAGAGCAAUUCUUUUGGGGUUUUGGAAGUGUGUGGGCAGGGUUUGGGGGAUUGGAACAGAGGAAGAAAGAUAUUUUGUUUGAUUAUUAGAUUUACAGAGGUUGUCAUCUUUGCUGACAAAUUUUCAUGCUGUCAAAGUGAACCGUGUAACCUAUUUGUUGGUGAGAUUUUAUGUCAAUCUGAUACAUUCUAUGCUAUUAUAGACAGUUCGACCCUUUUGAUUUUAAGUCAACAAUCAGACACUUAGUAGUCCAAAAUGAUUAUUUUGAAGAAGCAUAUGCCUGAAAUUUACCCUCUGCUCAAUGCGCUUCAGUAUGACAUGUUUUCUACGGCGUUAAUUAUUCUUAAUGAUUUGACCUCAGAGUUUAUUUUACUUGAAUUUUUCUUCUUCUAAUUCAUGCUUUGACACUUUAAUCUUGCUACGCUCAAUUCAGACCAUACUCACUGAAUUAUUGUUUUGGAAGAAUUCUACUUUAGUGCAACCUUUACACCAUUUACAAGAUCUUAUUGGGGGCUUGUGAAACCAUCAUGUGCUAUGUUCCUACUAUUCCUGUCCCUGGUCUCUUGUUUUUCCUUUUUGUCUAAAGUGUAUGACUUUCCCCAGGAGCUUGGAGUGGUUGUGCUAUAUUACUUGAUUAAUGUCAUUGAUAAAAAUACUGUGUAACAGGCAUUACAUUACGACAUUCGAAGAGGUCCACACAGUGUUGGAUCCCAUGUACGUGAUGCUGCUGCAUAUGUUUGUUGGGCAUUUGGCCGCUCAUAUUAUCACACAGAUAUGAGAAGUGUACUUGAACAGCUGGCUUCCCACCUCUUAACCAUAGCUUGCUAUGACCGUGAGGUGCUCAAAUCAUGAUACUGUUUUCUGCUUUUCUACUGUAUUUAUGUUUGUCCUAAAAAGAUACUUAUUCAUUUACUAAAGAUGGUAAAAUUAUGAUUCUAUUAAAAGGUUAACUGCAGAAGAGCAGCAGCAGCUGCUUUUCAGGAGAAUGUAGGGAGACAAGGGAAUUUUCCCCAUGGCAUUGAUAUUGUGAAUACAGCUGAUUACUUUGCACUCUCUUCAAGGGUAAACUCCUAUCUCCAUGUUGCUGUCUGCAUUGCUGAGUACGAUGACUAUCUUCACCCUUUUGUGGAUGAAUUGCGGCAUAGCAAGAUCUGUCAUUGGGUAUGCUAUAUCUUUCUCCAUAUCAAAAGUUGGUCUUCAACUAUCAUUUGCCCUAUUUCUUUAUUCUAAAAGUUAAAUCAAGAAAGUUCUUAUCUGUAGGCCUCUUGUAUGUUUUUAUUAGAUUCCAAGCUUUAAAAGAUUAGGACAAAUAUAGUAACUUAUUUUGAUCAGAGCUAUAUAAUCAACAACCUAGAAAAUUUUCUUCAGAUCUUCUCCUAAUGUUUCCUUGUGCUGCUGAGUUCAUCACAAUUUUGUAAAAUCAGUCAAAAAUCUCAUCCUGAUCGCAAUAUAUUUUUAUUGGAUAGGCCUUUGGAUAGAGUUCAAUCUAGGCAUUUAAAGCAAAUCCUUAUUGUAGGGAGUGGGCCAAAUGCCUUCCAAAUGAACAGUUUAAUAUCAUUUUUUAUUUCCCAAAUUAGUCUUGCAUUGAAAACUAGAGUACAUGUUCAGUGUUAGUUGCCUUGUUUUUUCACUAACUAACUGACAUUCCAGUCUCCUCCAUUUGAGCACACUCAUUGGUUUUGCCUCGAUCACUAGUGCUAAGUUUCUUAUUUUUAAGUAUUUCAUCUUCUUUGACUCCAUUUUGUUCUCCUGAGUACAUUGACCAAAAUGAAAAUUAGGCAAAGUGGAAAGGAGAAGCCUUAGUCCUACAACAGUGUCUUAUUCUACUUGUCUAAGUGGGACAAGAUAGGGAUUUUGCAGAUUUCCUGUAAUUUCCUGAUAGUGCUAUUGUCCAUAUCGAAAAUUACUGACAACUAAGUUGUCUGUUUAUUUUUUUGUGAACUUGAAUCUUGUUUGAAGAACUUAAUAGCUGUUUUGUGCCUCAUAUUGUUGCUUGGCUGGAUAUUCCAUAGAAGCUCAAUUUAUCAUUGCUAUAUACAGGACAAAGGUUUGAGAGAGCUUGCAACAAAUGCUCUUUCUGCCCUUGUAAGAUACAAGCCUGAUUAUUUUGCGGGUGUCAUUCUUGAGAAAUUAAUUCCUUGCACCCUGUCAUCUGAUUUAUGCAUGCGGCAUGGUGCAACUUUAGCAGUUGGAGAAGUUAUUUUGGCUUUACACAAGUGUGGCUAUCUUCUUUCAACAGGUUGGUUCUCAUCUGCUGAUUUGAACCUCACUUUGUCUAAUUGGUUCUUUGCUUUGUCUAAUCGGUUCUUAUCAAGUGUUACUUCAUAGUUUUCUUAAUGCAGUUUUCUUUAAAUUUUUGACUUGCCUUCAAGUACUUUUGGUGCUGGUGUUGGUUUCUUUAACAAUUUACUUCAAUGCCCAUAUCUAGUUAAAGUUAUGAAGAAAAAUUUGUUCAAAGAGUUGAUUUGUCUCAAUAAAUAUGUGUAUCAAUACUGAGAAGUUAGUGGCUGAUCAGCGAUGAACGGUUUAUUGUCAUUUCUCCUUUUAGACUUUGAUUCGACAGACUAAUAAAUAGCCAAACUCAACUGAUACUUGUCUCAUUUGUACUCAAAAGUUGAGAAGCAGUCAACCUGAGCUUGUUUAUCCCUUGUUUAACAAUGCAUCAGGGGUUAUGUUAAUUAAGAAUUAGUAGGAGAUAUGGACGUUCCAUGGCUAUCUGGGGAUUUGUCACACUAUCUUUAUAAGUGAUACCAUCAUUUACAUUGCUUAAAUGAAUGCAUGAGAACUUCAGAUCUGUUAGUUCAUAGGUGAAUUAGUUGGUUUUUUACCUUAGAUGAUGGGAUAAAUUUCUCCUAAAUCUUUUUAAUUACGUAGAGCUUGUAGUUUGUCUUUAGUGUGUUUGUGCUCACAAUGUUAUACCAUAAAAUUGCUGACCCUGCUUCAUUAAUAUGAUGCAGAUAAGCAAAAGCAAAUUGCUGGUAUAGUUCCUGCAAUUGAGAAAGCGCGUCUUUAUCGUGGGAAAGGUGGAGAAAUAAUGCGCUCUGCUGUUUCACGCUUCAUUGAGUGCAUUUCCUUGGCUCAUAUACAGUUGACAGAGAAAAUAAAGCGAAGUUUUCUUGAUACUCUUAACGAGAAUCUGAGACAUCCUAAUUCUCAAAUACAGGUUUUGCAACUUGUGGAAGUAUUAUCAGUGGUUUUAUGAAAAGUUAAUUUCCUGUAUGAACUCUCUUCAUUGUGAUGUACAGCAUGCUGCUGUUGAAGCCCUGAAGCGCUUCGUCUGUGCUUACCUUGUUGGAUUGGGAAAUAAAAGCAUUUAUGACAUUUUGCCGAAAUACCUUGAACAAUUAAAUGAUGCUAAUGUGGCUGCAAGACGAGGAUCUGCACUUGCACUAGGUGUUUUGCCUUCAGACAUUCUUGCUAGUCAAUGGAAAGUUGUACUUUUGAAGCUCUGUAGCUGUUGCGAAAUUGAGGUAGAGAUUACUUAUGUUGCCUCAACUACAGAAAAUCUAUAGAAAGCCAUACCUGUGAUUGAACAAUUCUUGAUGUGCAGAAUAAUCCUGAAGAUCGGGACGCUGAGUCACGGGUGAAUGCUGUCAAAGCACUUGUCUCGGUUUGUGAAACUUUAACUCAGGAAAUUGAGCAUUCUAGUUUCUUCUCUAGUGAAGAUACUGUUUCUUUUCUUUUAUUUGUGAAAAAUGAAGUUAUGCAGAGUCUGUUUAAAGCUCUAGAUGAUUACUCUGUGGACAAUAGAGGUGAUGUAGGCUCUUGGGUUCGUGAGGCUGCCAUUUUUGGCAUUGAAAAGUGUACAUAUAUUCUAUGUCGUAGAAGUUCCUUGGUAUCUAUAAGUCAAUUACAAGAAAGUAAAUCCAUUCCAGAAUGGCAAAACGAAGAUAAUAUUCCAGAUGAUGAGGUCCAAUCAUAUUUUGAUGCAAGUCUUUCAACUACUUUGGUUGGUGGCCUUGUUAAGCAAGCGGUGGAGAAGAUGGAUAAGAUAAGGGAAUUAGCUGCUAAGGUUCUUCAAAGGAUUUUGUAUAGCAAUACGGUACCAGUUCCAUUUAUAGCUUGCCAAGAGAAAUUAAAAGAUAUAAUUCCUGAAAAAGCCGAUUCAGAAUGGGGGGUAAGUAAAGCAAGUUAUUUUAUAUGAAAAAUUCAACUUCAAUAUAUUUUGCCAAACAUGCCAUUUUAUUUUUAUUUGCAGGAACCAGCUUUCUUAUAUCCUCGGUUUAUUCAGUUACUUCAGCUCAGUUGUUACAGUAAAUAUGUGAUAUCAGGGUUGGUUAUUUCUAUUGGUGGACUGCAAGAUUCUUUGAGAAAGGUGUCACUGAGUGCUCUGUUGGAUUAUCUUCAAGGGAAAGAAGCAAAGGAUGGGGAGUUGAGUCUCGCCUCUGAUAUUCUUUGGGUUCUUCAGAAUUACAAAAGAUGCGACAGAGUCACAGUACCAACUUUAAAGGUACUUGGGGUUUAGGGUUCUCAAAAAAUGAUGGUUAUAUUUUGGUUUAUGUCAGUGUUGGAAUGGUCAAUUUACUUUCUGAAUUAUGUAAAAGCAUCUUCUAAUAUUUUGUGUACAAACAUGGCUCUCAAUACUUGAACAAGAAAAUAAACAUUCUCAGAUUAAAAAUAAAAUAGAUGCCUAAAAUAAUUCUCAGGUAGGAGUGCAAUGAAACAGAUGUGGACCUCUUAGUUGGAAGGCUGGUAUAUUUAGAAUCAUCUGCACUUCUAUUUUUUUUCUUCUUCAAGAAGUAAGAGUAAAUAAAGCUUUUUUAUGAUAGGCAUGCUUGUAUGGAGUCAAUAACUUUUGUAUGAUUCAAUUGUAACUGCUAUUGAACCAUGAAUUUAAUUUUAUGCUCAACAGAAGAACAUCAUUUGUUAAAGAAAGAAUACGAAUAAUUUAUUCUUUUAUUCAUUCUGGUGCUAGAAAACACUCAUCCUCAUGUUCUGUUGAUGUCCUGAGAAAAGUGGAGUUGUUUUCUUUUCUUUCUGCAGCUUAUGGUAAGAAUAUGGAAGUUUUUGUUACCGUUAUGUUUUAAAUUUUUAAAAAACUUGAAGAAAUUGAAGAAUGAGACAUUUUGUUUGUUAUACCUGGAUAUGAGGUAGUCUACCUUCAUUUCAUCAUCCUGUCCAUGGUGAGUGCUGGUUAUAAAUCAUGGAUGAGUGAUCCCUUUAGUAGGCUCAAUGCUACGCUGAUAAAUGUGUUGCUGUUUUAAUUGUUAUUUAAACGUGAUGCGUUUCGCACUGCAGGCAUUAAAGAGAGUAUUUAGCCCUUAUUCCCUAAGACCAGUUGACAUCUCAAUUAUAACAAAUUUUCAUUUCCUUUAGAAAAUUGCUUUUCUUAGCUCUAAAUCUGUAUUAACUCCAUUUUGUGUGUUUGAGUGGUCAAUCUGUUGCACUCAUGAUUCAUUUGGCUGUUUUCUUAUCUCAUAAUUUUUCAUUUUUCAUGUUUAUAAUUUUCCUUUUCAGACUAUUGAGAUUCUUUUCAGCAAAAAGGUGUUCUUAAACAUGGAGGUCAGUUGAUUCUCCAUAGUGAAAUGACAUAGCUUUCCGUACUUCAUUUGUAAAUAUACUUUAUUUCUCCCUUCUCCCUAAUAAAAUGGCUUUCUUCCUAAUAAUCUUUUAGGCAUAUACUCCAAUCUUUUGUGCUGGCAUUCUGGAUUCCAUCACAGUAGAGUUGAAAGGAUCUAAGGAUUUUUCGAAGUUAUACUCUGGGAUUGCAAUUCUUGGAUAUAUUGCUUCGCUUUCAGAUCUCAUUAAUAAGCGGGCCUUCACGCAUCUUCUGACUUUUCUCAGCCAUAGAUACCCCAAGGUAUACAGCACUAGAAGGUUCUUAAGAAAUGGUCUAUGAUGUAGAAUUCUCCUACUGUUUUUCCAGUGUUGAUGUGAUUUCUUCUGUGGCUGUUUAUUCAUGCACUGUGAUCACCUUGUGUGUGCAGAUUCGCAAGGCUACUGCAGAACAAGUGUAUCUUGUCCUCCUGCAAAAUGGGAGUUUGGUAGCAGACAUAAAUUUGGAGAAAGCACUUGAUAUUAUUCAGAAACCUGUUGGGAAGGUGACUUUGAUGAAGUAAAACGUAAAAAGUUAGAACUCUGUGAUAUGGCAGAUGUUGAAGCUGGUCAGCUUCCUAAAGCUACCAGUGAACAAAACAACACUGUACAGAGGCGUGAAACACUUGAUGAAAACGCGUCAUAUUCCUCAUUAGUUGAAUCAGUUGGGUUUUAGAUUAUUCAGUCAAAACCAUUUGAGGAAGGAGAAAGAUGGUAGGGGUGUUUAUUAUGUAAGAAAGAUGCUGCGAGGAAUUGAAAUCUAUUGCGUGUCUUUUCUUUUUCAGUAUGUGAGUGCUCAUCCGAUCAGCCACCUUUUAUUUCAAGAAUUCUUGCUAUUGCUAGGACUUUGCAUCAGUCUAAUUGCAGCUUGACCUGCAACUCUCUCAUCUUGGCAUAUUUAAUUUCCUCGUGUUCGAAAUGACUUUGGCUUGGGUGCCACUUUCUGAAAAUAGGCUUGAACGGGCUGUUAUUGAGGCUGUUGCCGCAGAUGGUGUGAGAGCUGUUAUUGAGGUAACAAAAGCUUUCAUGCUGGUGCGUUAGGUAAGAUUCUGAGACUGCAGUAGCGCGGAUGGCAAUUUGGCUGGCAGAGCCUUCUGUUGUGUCAGGUUUCGAAGGACAAGUUGAUGCUCUUAAUGUGAUCUAUAUACUUCAUCGGUCCUAUUGCUGAACAAAAUUAAGGGCUGUAUUGUAUGGCUAGAGGUUAGCAAAGUGUAAAUAAAAUAGAGAGGGAGAAGUUAAGUGCUGCAGACAGGAGUAAUGAGAGUGCAUUAUAACAACGUAAUUAUUGAAUCAGCAUCUUUGAGCUUUCUAAAUCACAUUAUAAAUCUACAUAGACUGUAUUAUUAGCACACAGUCAUUUAACUCCUAAGCAAACCAAUAUUAAAAGCGGACGCUAUAGCAGAUUCUUAAGAAAAAGAGAACUUAGAUCUUUGAGUGGCUUGUAGGUGCUUCUACAGCCAGACACAUUUCGAACUACAAACCUUCUUAUCAAAUUUUCAAUCCAAUAGAUUACAAAUGCAAGUCAAUUUGAUAAAGUAGUGUAAAAAAAUCCAGCAAAAAGGUAUGAUAUUCCCCCGAGAAUGCGAAGCGGGUACCACUGGCUUCUUGUCAAAGCUCUAAAGCACAAAAAUAGGUUGAGAUUGAUCUGGCUGGAUGAUAUCGGUUAUGAGUGUAUCCAGGGGAACACGUUGGGGGAUGUUGGCAAGCGUGCUGUGAGAACUUCAACCCCCGUCUCCGUCACCUGCAAAAUUGCACUUAAUUAUAUUGUGCAUCACUAGUUGAAAUUAUAUUAUCCCAAAAAAAAAAAAAAGGGUUAAUCAGAUGCACGACUUUUCGUUGCACUUGGCAUACAUCAGUUUCAAAGCAAAGAGACCAUGCUAGAAUGAUAAUCCUAGAAAACUAAAUUGUUCUGUUGCAGGGAUGUUAGUAAACACCACAAAUGCCUUGCAACUUUUGUAAACUUUGAAGACUUCUUAGGAGGUGAACCUUGGGUCUAGUCUAUUGCCACUAAAUUAACUUUAGCAGUGAUUCACAAAGGUGGCAAGGCACUUAAGGAAUACAGUCAAGGUGGAAAUGCAUACAUGCAUGAGAUAUUGUCCCUCUUGAAGGAGUCUAAAUUCUCAUGUGGUGUACGAACUCAUUGCAUCACUAAAAUGGACCAAUUUCAUCAGCUCCCAAGUAUAUGAAAGAAUAUCAAGGACCAGUAGCAAACAAAUCAGUAUUAAUGUGUUCAACACUAACAGAUCUCACCAAAAGAGUGUGUUCAAACUGAGCACUGCGUUUUCCAUCUGCAGUAACAGCUGUCCAUCCAUCAGGCCACAUCCGGUCACGCCAAACACCUGUCAGUGGGAAGUAGCUCAAUAUAUAACAUUGAGAAAACCUAAACCUAUACAUAUCGGUUGUGAUAUCCUGUGAAUGAAACUAGUACCUGCAUUGAUCAUUGGUUCUAUAGUAAAGGUCUGGCCAGCCUUCAUUAUACCAACUGCUUUAUUUCCUGCUCGGAGUUAAAGGGCAAAACCAGAGAAAUGGGAAUUCAACAGCAACGGCAAUCAAUCCUUUCUAUCUUCUAUAAUUUAUCUAUUUAGUACCAUUCAGAUUCACUGUACCCAAAGACAGAUUUCAUGGAGAAGCCAUAUUUCAAACCUAAAACUGGGAACCAGAAGGUUUCAAGCGAAAAAGAUUUCAUAAUGUCAAGCAGCUUUUCUCAAGGAUACUAGCAUAAUGCGGAAUAUUUGGUGCACAAUGGAAUAGCUCUCCAAUACCAUGACCACAAUAAGAUUUGACCUGUUUUACAAGCCAGAAACGCAAAAAAAUUUUAUAAAAAAUGAAAUUGAAGAAAUAUUUUAAAUUCUUUAAGCAAGACGUGGGGAACAAGGUACUAGCAGUUUACCACAGAGAAGCCUGACAUCAAAGCGUGUCGAUUGAUGACCUCUCCAACUUCACGAAAUCGUACCCCAGGCUUGACUAGAAGUAGCAAUACAAAGUAGUUUAAAAAAAAAAAUGAUACUCACUGAAUCUACAACUUAACUUCCCAAGAAAGUUGGAAUUUUGUAAGCGCAGCAUUCCAAAACUGAAAGUAAUAUCAGAACUUUGUGGACAGAUGCAAAUUGAAACAUGCAAAACCGGGAUGAAACAAAGCACAUGCAAUAUUACUUCUAAAUAAAUCACAACUUUGUAUCUCUCCUUUAAAGUAACAAUAUUUUUCCAGAUGGAAGAAUUUUUUUUGCAAAGAAAUGAGAUGCAUCAGAAAGGAAAGAGUACACGUCACAGAUAGAAGGAAAAGAGGGAAAGAAACUGCAUAAUAAGGCUACUAGAAAUGUCAAGUGAUGGUAAAGUUCAGCGCUGAUCUCUAAGAAACAGUUCUGGGGCUGUCAGGAGAUGGAAUACAACUUUGAUGUACAAAGAUCUCAAAGCAACACCCACCAAUAGAUAUUGCCUUCUCCAAACACUCGUAUGUACAUUGCACGAGCCGCUGAGAUGCUUCAUCAACGUUGCCCACAAAGAAUGUUUCAUUGAGAUCACCUGCAUACUCAGCAUAACAGACCAGUUAAUCUUGUAAGUUUAUAGUAAUCAGAUUAACACAACAAAAAAAUCAAUAGUACCAAGAGUUUACCAUGGACCCCUUUAUAGUACACAGUUACAUCUACAUUUACAAUGUCGCCAUCCUCUAAUUUCCUGAGAAGAUUAAGUAUAUAGCAUAAUGUAUAGAGGCUCAAUCCAACUUUCAGCGAGGCUUAGAUAUAAAAUAUAACAGAUUGUUACUAGAUCCUCCUUUCAGACUGUAUUACAUAAUAAAAAGCAACAUGAUCCCAAAUUAUAUAUAUAUAUAUAUAUAUAUAUAUAUAUAUAUAUAUAUAUAAGCAAGCAUGAAGCACCUCAUAAAAUGGAACAUAAACUAAAGAAAGUAAGACAAAAAUGCAGUGAUCAGCAGCAUUCUUUUACCUGCCUUCUGAUAUUGUGGAAUGAACAGAAAAAAGAAUUUCAUAUGAAAGACUAAUUGUGCAGAGAGAACAUAGUCAAACAAUUUUAAUCGAUAUGUUAAAUUCAGAAGUCAGAAGACAUGGUUAGGAUCAGCAAAAGGACAUCAAAAGAAUGUACGAUGUUUAACAGAAAAACAGAAGCGACUACCAUGAAUAUGCUUGGUUUCAAGCAGGAGGUACCUUGCAUCCGGAAUUCCAUGGCAGAUUACCUCAUUAACUGACCUGUGACCACAAGGCAGAAAAAUGUCGAAAAUGCAGGAUGAUAACAAGGAAACAUGAAUGUACCGUGCACAAUGUGGAAGUACCUACGUGCAGCAAGAUUUUGGGAAGAAAUGAUAGUUCAGAGGCGAUGGUAUCCACCUGCAGUGGAUAAAACUGAAAGUGUCAUGAAGGUCACGGAUAGUUGCCAUGUGCAAUAUCAUAUGAAAGAACCAAGAAUAAGAAACAUAAAAAUUGCUACAAGUCAAACAACAAGAUAGGACCACCUGUGCAAUAAUAAUUAUAGUACCUAACAAGAAAAGAGAAAAGAGAGGGAGUGGUAACAUCUAAGAAGGGGUAAGAAUUUCAAGAAAAUUUUACUAUCAUAAGAAGGAUCUCAGACUAUCUACAUCACUGAGAAAACUAAAAUGACUAAUCCUAAUGUACAAUUUUAGACUUGUUUGCCUAUCAUAUCAAUAGUUUAUCUAGAUAACCACCAAUCAAAAGAAACAGGUAAGUUUUCUAACAAGAUGUCUGCCUUGCUCAAAUGUGGUAGAAAUACAUGCCAGUGAUCUAAAUCCAAAAAUUGGCUUGAAGCUAACAAUGCAAAAAUGUCUUCCAAACUAAAACAAGGCAGAGAAACAAGUUGGAUUGUUCGCCAACACACAUCUGGAAAAAUAAGUAGCCCAGAUGACAAAUUUAGUGUACCGACAAAUUCAAGUUCUCAAUAUAAAAAUUCUUCUCAAAACACAAACAUGAGUGUACAAAGGCACAUGAGAGAGAAGGAAAAAGCAAUAAAUUUGAAUAGCAUCCUAAAGGAAAAACACCUGCAGAAACAGUAGCUUCAUGAACCACCGCAUCAAUUUCAUCAGUAGUUAUGCCAGGUCGAAUAACACGGGCAGCUGCAUCCAAAACUUCUCUUGCAAUCUGCGGGUCACAAACAAUACUCAUAACCAAUUCAAAAAACUUGUGUGUUCAACUAGCAUCUAUAGUAAGGUUAACGUCAAAUUUUAUCUUUGUCAUAAAAGACUGAAGUUCUUCCAAGGAUAAAUACAUAGAAAAUAAGAUAAGCAAAAUAUGAAAAUUGCAUGGAAGUCAAGAUGAAUCCCCCCCCUCCCAAAAAAAAAAAGUUUUUUCUCAGUCUCAAUCAAGUGUAAGAUAAUUUACUUUUCUUCAUCAGUUCCAGACUACCUUCUUCCUUGACCGAGAUAACAUAAAACAUCAUAUUCAUAUUUCUCUCUCUAACUUCAGAUAAUGUUUUCCAUGAUCAAUUCCUUGCUUUGUCCAUUUUUUGUUCUAAAGAGCCAUUGUGCCUCUUGCUUUUUAAAAAAAAAAAUUGAGGAAUGGGAUUUAAGAAGUGGAGAGGUGGAAGGGGGAUCAGAACCCAGGACUUCUAAGUCGUGAAGCCUCAACCUCAGCCACUAGACCAAGGCCUCUUUGGCUUACUGUGCCUCUUGCUUCUUAAUGCAGAUUAUUUAUAAACAGAGACAUAAAUUCUGCGGCAUGUACUUGGUUGAUGUGAUUCACAACUUAUAACAUAAAGAUUGAUAUCUCAAACCACCAAAUAGAACAAUGUACCAAGUUAAACAAAAAGACAAUUACUUACUCGACAAGUUUCUCGCAUUCUCUCAAUUUGGUCGGGAGUCUUGAUCUUCAAAUUACGUGUAUUUGCAAAACAUAAACAAAACUAAGUCACAACUCUCUCUUGUGCAGAAAUUUGAGACUAAAAUGUUUAGCUUCAAUCAGAGGAUACCUCAACAGUGUGCUGCAGGUCACUAUUUGGCUCAACCUUUGGGAUUCCCUGCCAUGUUAAACAUACGAAGUUAAGCAAACUCAAGAAUUAUAGCAUGAAGUUCCAAUGCAAAGUUAAAAUUACAGUCCACGAGCCUAACUGAAAUAAAGGAUUACAAUUUCCAUAUAACAACCAAGGAGAUAAAUUAGUAAUGAAACCAACUGAUCAUUAAAAUCACAUUCAUUCAAAUAAAAAAACUCUGCAGAAUUUCUGCUCUAUACUUCAAAACCUAUAAGACAAAAACAACAUUUGAAUGGGAAAGUGAAACACUCACAUCACUUGCCCAAUCAGGUUGUUCAACGUGAGCAGGAACUUCACGCUUUUUUGAUAUAGGAUACGGCCUUAGUGUCCUGAGCCAAAACAGAAGAGAUAAUUCAAAAGAACAUCCCCAAUAAAUCAAGGCAUUGGCCAUUUUGAGUCCCUAGUUAAUCCAUUGCUCUCAUUCUAACACUUUUUCUUUACAUGAAAGGAUUACAAUGUUCCUAAAUUUUUGGCGAACCUGAAUCUCAAGCAAAAAUUACAAUGACUUACGAGAGAAGUUGCUAUCACAACAUACUUAAUUGCACUUGCAUAAAACACGUAGAAAAGGAGAAAUUUUUCCUCCAAGAUCCCAACUCUUUAUUCAUUGGAAACAAUUUAUGGAACAUUAUCACUAGGAAAGGCAACUUCUUUAGCAAGAGGAUGAGAAGAAUUGGCCACACCAGGAGUCAAAAUUGAGUAAAAUACCCUGUCCAAUCAAAGUUUGGCAUUUUCAGUGUACGAGCCUGUCCUUUCUUCAAGCAAUAAAGCCAACUGCUUGCAGGAGAGGUAGCAUCUUGCUCAUUGCCAGGUGAAAGUUCCAAUAAUUUCGCUUUCAAGUGAAUUGAUUUAUGAGAACCCCAGGAUGCCUUGAAACAGUCCUGUGUGCUAGUAACAAAUGCAUCUCCGUCAAGGUAAAAUAUAAGCCAUGCCAAAAUAUUAAAUGUUUGAAUACAUUCAGGCAUACAUACAUGUUUCAGCGGCUCUUUUAUUGUCAAAUUUAUAAAACUAAAGAGUAGCUGUUUUCAGAAGUCUUCCUUCCAUUUUUUUUUGUUUCAGCUCUAUCUUUGCUAAUUGACUCUUUCAGGAAGUUAAAACCCAGAAGCAUGAAUAUACAAUUCACAGGUCAGAAUUACAAACCAGAAAGCAGCACCUUCACGGGAAGCUUCAGCUCUACACAUUUGGGGCACCUGCAAGGGAAAAUCCCACUGCUUAUUAUAUAUGAACCAGCAAGACAAUCAUCAAUUUAGUGUAAUAUACACAUGGCCCAUAUAAGAUUACUUCAGUAAGGAAAAAAGAAAACGCAUGAGUUUCUUCACCUUUUCACCAUUUUUAAACAAAAAUGCUUUUACAGCGAUGUGAAUCAUUGUACAACUUUGAAUUUGUACGCAGAAUGAGUAAUGAUUAGUGUAAACAAUUUAAGAAAGUAUAUAGGAUAAAGAUCACUAACUGAAGAUGAGCUGGUUUGCCACAUUUAGCACAGCACAAGGCUGCAGUUUCAACAGCAUCUGCUCCUCCACCCGCCAUAAAAAAAAAUCUGAUUUUUCACAAAUUAUCAAUCAGAUUUUUGAAUAUUUUUCAAAAAUUUUAUAUGGGUUCGAAAAAGAUUGCAUCUUUUUCGGUUGUUGCACAUGAAUAACUGACCUGGAAUCUGGGUUCUGAUCGUUUCCAGUAGGAAGAUUUAGGAAUUUAACGGAGCGAGGGUUGAGCUAGGGUUUUGAGCUCCGUUUUGAAGUUUGUAGAAAAAGGAAAUUUAGUAGCAGAAUAGCAACAAAACGAAAGAGAAAAGAAAAGUAGUUGAACAGGGCCUCUCUUUUCUUUUUCUAAUUCGGGUGUGGAAAUUUUUACCAUAUACAUAUUAGGAUUACUUUCAAUAAGGCCCGCCUCAAAGAAUGGCCUCUUACUCCAUUGUUUUAGGAGAAUUUUCGCUUGUUGGACCCUCGUGGGAAAAUACCGGUUUUCAUCCCUAAACUUUGGGCACAAGACACAUUUCGUCCCUCAUCUUUUGGGCAUGACACAUUUGGUGUCUGAAUUAAUAAUUUUUGACCUAAUGUCAUCCUCAGACAGCAAUUUAACCAACCUUUAACGGACCGUUAAGUAAAUGUGGCUAAUCGAAGCAAAAUUAGGUGGAAAAUGACGUUGUUUUCACUUCCUCUGCAAAUUUCCAAGACUAAGCUCCUAUUGCAAAUUUCUCUGAGAGUAAACCCCCUCUUCCAAUUAUAAAUAUAUAAUUAUAAUUAUAUAAUACAUAUAAAUAUUACUUGUAUUAAUAUUUUAUAUAAUUAUAAUGUAUAUUAGAUAUUAAAUUUAAUCAUUAUAUAACCUUAUAUUCAUAAUAAUAAAUAUAAUUAUAAUUAUAUAAUUUAUUGAUAUUAUAUACACAUAUAUAUUAUAAGGGAUAAUUACAUAAACCUCCCCUAAAUUAGCUUAUGGAAAAAUGGAAAAAUGGAUAAUUUAUGGAGAAAAGCCAUAAAGAGCUGGUGUUUUAUUAGAGAACUGGUUUAUUUUUAUUUUAUCCGAUAAAUAAAUUUGUUUAUGAAAAAAUGGGUACUCUGUUCUUAUAAUAGAGGAAAGCCAUAAAGAGCUGAAGUUUUAUUGGAAAACGAGUUUAUUUUUAUUUUAUUCGAUAAAUAAAUUUAUUUAUGAAAAAAUGGGUACUGUGUUUUUAUAAUGGAGGAAAGCCCUAAAGCGCUAGUCUUUUAUGGAAAAGCGAUACUUUACAGAAAGUGACCGCGAUUUGGUUUAUGAAAUUAUCCAAAAAAACAAUUUAGAAUGAAUUUGUUUAUUUAAUUAAAUAAUUAUUAUAUAUAUUUAUAUAAUGCAUAAUAUAAUUAUACUAAUAUAUUUUAUGAGUAUAAAGUAUAUUAUAUAUUAAUUAUAAUUUUUAGUAUAUAUUAGUAUAUUUAUCAUAAUAAAUAUAAAUAUAAUUAUAUAAUAUAUUAUUACUAUAGACACAUAUAUAUUAAAAUAUAUGCAUAUAUAAUAUACAUUUAUAAAUAUAUAUAAAUAUAUUAUUAGGGUAUAUACCCUAAUAACUAUAAUAUAUUUAGGGUAAUAACUAUAAUAACUAUACCCUAAUAACUAUAAUAUAUUUAUAUAUAUUUAUAAAUGUAUAUUAUAUGUGCAUAUAUUUAUAAUAUAUAUGUGUAUAUAGUAAUAAUAUAUUAUAUAAUUAUAAUUAUAUUUAUUAUUAUAAAUAUACUAAUAUAUACUAAAAAUUAUAAUUAAUAUAUAAUAUACUUUAUAAUCAUAUAAUAUAUUAGUAUAAUUAAAAUUUAUAUAUAUAAUAUAGUUAUAAUUAUAUAUUUUAUAAUAAUAUUAGUAUAAUUAUAUAAUGCAUUAUAUAAAUAUAUAUAUAUAAUAAUUAUUUAAUUAAAUAAACAAAUUCAUUCAAUUUUUUUUGGAUAAUUUCAUAAACCAAAUCGCGGUCACUUUCUGUAAAGUAUCACUUUUCCAUAAAAGACUAGUUCUUUAGGGUUUUCCUCCAUUAUAAGAGCAGAGUACCCAUUUUUCCAUAAAUAAAUUUAUUUAUCGAAUAAAAUAAAAAUAAACUCAUUUUCCAAUAAAACUUCAGCUCUUUAUGGCUUUCCUCUAUUAUAAGAACAGAGUACCCAUUUUUUCAUAAACAAAUUUAUUUAUCGGAUAAAAUAAAAAUAAACUAGUUCUCCAAUAAAACACCAACUCUUUAUGGCUUUUCUCCAUAAAUUAUCCAUUUUCCCAUUUUUCCAUAAGCUAAUUUAGGGGACGUUUCUGAAAUUAUCCCUUAUAAUAUAUAUGUGUAUGUAAUAUUAAUAAAUUAGAUAAUUAUAAUUAUAUUUAUUAUUAUGAAUAUAAGUUUAUAUAAUGAUUAGAUUUAAUAUCUAAUAUACAUUAUAAUUAUAUAAAAUAUUAGUAUAAAAUAUUUAUAUGUAUUAUAUAAUUAUAAUUAUAUAUUUAUAAUUGGAAGAGAGGGUUUACUCUCAGAGAAAUUUGCAGUAGGAGCUUAGUCUUGGAAAUUUGCAGAGGAAGUUGUUGAAUUGAAAGAAAAAGGGAAAGUGAAGACAACGUCAUUUUUCACCUGAUUUUGCUUCAGAUAGCCACAUUUACUUAACGGUCCGUUAAAGGUUGGCUAAAUUGCCGUUUGAGGAUGACAUUUGAUCAAAAAUUGUUAAUUCAGACACCAAAUGUGUCAUGCCCAAAAGAUGAGGGACGAAAUGUAUCUUGUGCCCAAAGUUUGGGAUGAAAACCGGUAUUUUCCCGACCCCGCUGUAUGAAAUUAUUAUUUCAUCCUAAUUUUGUCCCUCUUGUUCAAAAUAUUAGGACAUUUGAUAGCUUAUCUUAUAUGAAAAGAAAAAAAAAAAGAGACUAAAGCGCAUUUCCCCCCUCCUUUCUGGUUAAUGGGCUGCAAAAGGAGGGAAAGAAACAACUAACAUGAAAGAGCGGAGGAUUUUAUAGGUGAACAAACCUCAUUGUUAUUAACAUUCUAUUCUUACUAAUAUGCUACUUCCAAUUAGUAAGGAUGCUUUUGCGAAACAAUUAAACAGUCAAAAUGUCACACCUGAAUCAUAAUAUCGAAACAAAUUAUUGCAUUUAUUAGAUUGACGUCUCAAUUCUCGUGCAAAGAUGAUCGCCUGCCUGCCUCGUUUACAGAUUGUGAUUCUUGAAGCACUAAUAAGGGGCAGUUUUCACUUUUGUUUUUCCACGAUUCAUUGAUUCGUUAUAUAGUACUCAGUUAGGUGAAAUGAAAACUGCAGGAAGGAGAGAUUUUAGCUCCGUUGAGGAUUUUGAUUUUUAGGCUAAUGAAAUCCAAUUAAACUAGCCACAUUCCGAGUGGAAUAUAAAGUUCUAACUGCCAAAAUACAAGUUAAACAAGAAGGAGGCAUAUUGUCAAAGCUCUCAAACUUCAAACAUCAAGCGAAGAUGGUACUCCGGUGGCAGAAAGCCACAGGUCCCCCUGGAUGAAAUUUCUUACAGAAAACCAACUAGCCUCUCGGGGAUCGUACAUUGGAUGAAAUCCAGGCCAUUUCACCCUGUUUGCAGUUGAAGCUCCACGUCCUGUGUUCAUAUACUCCCCAUAAUACAGUGUUGAAAGAGCAAAAUUUCCCGCCCAUUCGCUCCAUCCUCGUGGAUGAACUAAGCCACCCAAGUCUGUCUUAAGAAAUACGGUUCUUGAAUAUUGCUUCCACGGCCGACCAAGGUAACUAUUGAACCUCCCCGUAAAGGGGCUGAAUUCAGAGGAUGGUGCAACUCGACAGUUUAUUAUUGAAAUCCCGUAUACUGAUCUGGGUGAUCCCUCCCUUGUGCAGUUAUCAUGUUAGACUGGUCAUCCAUUGGCCUACGCACGAAAAUGUCGCAAUUUUGGAAGACUGCUGAUGCAUCACCAAAGAUGAAGUCGAUGGUCCCAUGUAUCUGGCAAUCGCGAUAGAAUUGUCUUAGCGAAUGAACCAAGAGGGUGUCUUGGUAACCUUUGAAACUGCAGCGAUAGAAGACCGAGAGGUCUGAGCCUACCCUAAGUGCCACGGCCUGCAUUUUUUGAGGUCCUGCUGUGUUCUCAAACGUUAUGUCUCUUGCCCAAAAGCCGUUUCCAGAAAUACCUACGUGCAGAAAGGGUGAUCAUUCAAUAUUUGUGAAGCUGACAUACAACUAUGUCAGGCAUUUUACGUAUUAUUCUUAAUGGAAAAUAAAACAUCUUUAGCUGGAUCAGCUUUUAAUUUAUCUGGCAAAUUCAGAAUCUGGUUAGUAAAGUCUUCAUGGGAAUAGUGAACUUUAAGAAGAAUACUAGAUUUCAAGCUUACCAAAGGUAGCAGAGCUCAAGGUACUUGCACCAUCAACGACAUUUUGAUUGCCAGUGACAAUUGUUUUGUCGAUACCAUCCCCAACAAACAUGACAUUCUCCAAAUUUCUCGGAUCUCCACCUUCUCAUGGUAUAACCCCGAUUUCACGUAUACUACUGCUCUUCCUGGCCUAUUAUGUCCCAUUCUGCCAAGAGCAGCCACUGCCUCCUUUAUAGUCUCAAAGUUUCCUGAUCCAUCCUGCGCAACUACAAUAUCAGCCUUCGACGUUGCUGGACUCCAUGAUGCUAAUAGCCCCCAAUAUUGAUCAGUGCCUUGUUUUCUUGGAAUCCCUGAAUAAAAAAUUAGUUAGCAAAAGGAUUAUAGCGAGCAUCCCCUGCUUAGUGUAACUUUUAACGAAAGGAGCGAUAUUUCCACUCAGAAACAGUAAAUAUUUCACCAAUACAUUUUGUAGGGGGAGUUCGUACGUUACUUUUUUAAGCGAUCAUGCCCUGUUUGUUAGGCAAUUUUACAUGAAUAUAGACACUCACUAACCAUUCUGCCUAGACAUGUACUAGACGGAUAAGUUGCACAAAAGGCCUAAUUACUCUGAGAAGCUAGCUUACCAUGCGUUAGUGGCCUUCCAAAAUUGCCUUGUAGCUUUACGCGAAGCCAAAGCUGGUGAAGCAACAGAGUUAAGUUUUGUGCUGCCUGAGUAUCAAAAGACAAACCCUUCUCCUCCAAGCCAUCCAAAACAACUUCUGUGGCUAGCCAAGGCCGCACUCAACCAGGUGACUGCAUCAGCUUGGCUGUAAUUCUUGCUAGACAAUUCUAACGCAUGCAGCAAUGGCUCAGACUCCUCAUAAAGCUUCAAGCAAUCAGCUCAAUAGCAAUAUCACCAAAUCUUGAGCCAUGAUCCAAGUGAUCAUGAUAUCUUCUCAAGCUUUGAGCCCAGUUAACGGCUUGUAAAAAUGCCAAACCUGGCCGCUCGGACCGCCUCAAGUUCUUGCUCGCAGGAGAUAUAGCUGGGUACUUGCAAAGACAAUGAAAAGGAAGAUCGCAAACCCUGAAGUUUUUGAACAAGCAGACGGCGGUGAAGUUUGGAGCUGUUGGUUUCCCACCAUACAAGGCACUUUGGAGAAUUCUUAGACAUAAGCGGUGCCGCAGCAUGGGUCACUGAGAUGGAAUAUUUUUCUGAUUCGUCCUCCUGAGUGAAACUUAUUUUUGUGUCAUAGUAACCGUUAAUCAUUUAGAGGUGCAUAAAUAGCCUACUACUAGCUGCCAAUGUAGGUUGAUACAGUCUGAUUCUCCUACUCCUCAUGACAACUAAAUGUAUUGCACAAUCUAUAUAUGGCACUCAUGGUCAUGUAUAUGUUAGUUCAGAGUUAUUUCGUAUACAUUGUUUCCUUUGCGCUUUGUUUUUUCUGUUUUAAAUUUUGGUAAGAAUUCUUAAUAUUUCUGCAAGGAUUAUACUUUCUCAGGCUUCUUGGCUUAAGUACCCUUUUCUAUAUUUUCCAUUUUCUUUUUUGAGGAAAUUGGAUUAAUGUCUUUCAAGGAGUUAUUUAAGAUGAUUAAUUGACCAACCUUUUUUUCCAUUUGGGUGAUUACAAUUUACAUGCGUUACUUAACCGAUUACUGGAGGAUAUUAGUAAAAUGAGUUAAAGAUUUUUAGUAAGGGAGAAAUAAAACCAAAUUAUCAAAUAACUAGUGAGAAAUCAAACUAGCAUUAAACAAAAAAAAACAAAAACAAAAAAACCAAAUCCAUUGACGUUUAUCGAAAAAAAAAGUUGGAUGAUUAUAUAUAGCCGUUGGCUCCUUAUGGAUUAGAUGUUUUUAAAAAACUUUAUUGUAGCAUUCUAUUUAAAAAAUUUUCUGUCAUAAAUUGUCCGUUUGAAUUGUGUGUUUUUGGGAUGUUUUUAAAAUUUAUAAUUUUCUUAGGGUUUUUUUUAAAGAAUUUGUUAAAAUUACUUACCACAACCAUCCACCACCCUUCCCCUUCUCUUCUCUCUACCACUGCUGCCUCCCUCUUCUUCCUCUUUUUCCUCUUUCUCCCCUCUCCUCCUUCCUUGAGGAAGGAAAGAGGAGAAAGGGGAUGGCAGUGGUGGAGGAGGGAAUACAGGAGGGGGCGGUGGUGUGUGAUGAGUGGUGAACUAGUGGGUGGGAAAAAAAAAGGGUUAGAUUUAUUUUAUUUUGUUUAUGUGUAUUUGAGAUUGUAUGUAUUUAAAGUGUUAUUAGGAUAUUUUUAAAGUGUUUUAUUGUAGGUUCCAACGAUAAAAACUAGUUUGUGUCAAUCCAAUUGUGAUUGCUAUAAGAUCUAUUAAUGGCUAAAAGCUCAUCCCAGGCACAAUCUGGUUGCUCUUGGACUAACAGAACUAGCAAGACGGUAACUUGCUUACUGAUUCCAACGAUCAGAAUAUGGAAAAACAAAUAUGGCAGCAGUAGGAAAAUUGGGAUCAUUCGUAGUGAUAAAAUCAAACCAGAAAACUCUAGCAGGUCAAAAUUAUAAAUUAAAAAAAAACAGCAUUUUGAUCAUUGAUUGAAUAUAGAUGUGAAAUAGGCAUCACAGUUAACCUCAAAGUCUCGAGCAAAUGCAUCAAUAAGUAACAUAAUAUCAAACUGCUUAAGUAAAAAAAGAAUAAUAGCCAAAUUAUUGUGUGCUAUUUUAUUUGAGUUCCAUAAAGAUGAUACAUGUCCACCAAUCGGCAAAUUGCUAUAUGUUACGAAUUCUACAAUAAUGAAGCUACAACAAAUUACAUCCCCAGGACUGGCAAAAGGUUGUUUUCAGGUUUCUUUUGAAACUGAUCAGGAUGCCCAGCAAAUAAUUGUCCAUUGACCACCAACCUUAAAAACACCUUCAUCGUGGGAUUGAAAUUGCCUCCUUAGAAGGCACCAUGAGAUAUAUGCGAACAAGAUUAUGGGGCAAUGAACACAGAUAUGUUAAAAAACAAUCAUAAGAAUCAAAAUGAAGAAGAAUCAACUGAUCCUAACCACACAAAUGAAAGAAUAUAUCACUGGGAACUCUUUUUGCCAUUACCAUAGUAGCUGAGAUACCAUCUAACAAACUUCUUCAAACCUGUUUGUAGAUCUGUUGUAGGCUUAUACCCAAGCUCCCUCUGAGCCAAGCUUAUGUUCGCAUGCGUAAACUGCACAUCCCCAUUCCUUGGCAACUUCAUUAUAGUUCUCUUAGCCUUCACCUUCAACAACCUCUCCAAAAUGCUAACAAGAUCCGAAACUGGCACAGGUGAAGUAUUCCCCAAAUUGUACACCCUCAACUGAGCUGGCCCUUUCUUCUUCCCACCACUGCCAGUACUCUUCUCUGCCGUAUCCAAUGCUGCCAAACAACCCUUCACAAUAUCAUCAAUAUAGGUAAAAUCUCUAGCAACUGUGCCAUGAUUAGCUGCCUCAAAAAUCUGAAUUGCCUUCCCCUUCAAAAUAUCCUUCGUAAAAAAGAAAUAUGCCAUAUCUGGCCUCCCCCAGGGUCCAUAAACUGUGAAGAACCUCAACCCUGUUAAUGAAAGCCCGUAAAUGUGAUUAUAAGUGUGUGCAAUCUCCUCGCCAGCCUUUUUAGUUGCAGCAUACAAACUUGCGGGGUUAUCGGUCCUAUCCUUUUCUGAAAACGGGACCUUAGUAUUCAAUCCAUAAACAGAACUAGACGAUGCCCAAACAAUCGCAGGCUGAGGAUUCACGCUUUUGCAAACCUCGAGAACGCUAACAAGCCCAGCAAUAUUACUAUGCACAUAUGAGCUAGGAUUUUCCAUGGCAUAUCUGACGCCAGCCUGAGCAGCCAAAUGCAUAACAUGGGUAAAUUGUACAAUAUCAAAAAGCUUCUUCAGGAGGGCGACGUCAUUGAUAUCACCCUCCACAAUGUACACCCCAGAGCGCUCCAAAAGCGCUUGCCGGGCUCUUUUCAAUGACUGAUCAUAGUAAUCAUUGAAAUUAUCAAGCCCCAAAACGCCGUCCCCGCGGCGUUUUAAGGCAGCAGAAACAUGGGUUCCAACAAAACCAGCAGCCCCGGUAACCAAAACAGACAUACCAUUUCUUGACCUGACUUUAGCUGAGGCUUUGAUCCUUUUCUCCCAAUCAGGGCCACCAUAGGAGCUGGUUCUGAGGGACCUCCUCGAGGGAUCUGCGGUGAGAGAUUCUGGGGAUGAUGAAGAAGGUGAUCUGAAGAAGAAGACAAAGAUCAGGCCCAAGAAAACAAAUGACCAAAAAGUCAGCUUGGCCAGAGAAGAAUGGAGCCUUAAUCUGUUAUAAGGGGAUUUCUCCAUCUUGAACUUUCCUGGGGUUGAUGGGAUAUUGUCAAUGUGCUUCAUUUGGGACAUUUAUUCCGCAAAAAUCUUGCAGAUUUGAGCAAUACCCUUUCUGGGUUGCUCUUCGUUGGGGCCAAUCUGGUGGAGGGGGCGUUACUUAAAAAAAAACCAAAACAAAAAAAAAAAAUUAAGGAUAAGGGUAAAGCCAGAAAAAAAUGAAUCUUUUUUUCUUUGUUUUGAUUCUCUUGUGUAUUUGAUUGGUUUGGUGGGUGGGAAGAAGGCAAAGGGAUAAUGGGUUGAGGAGAAAGAUGAAAAUGGGGGGGUGUGUGUGUGUGGAGAUGGUGAUAUUGAAGGUGGAUGAUGGAGGUGGUAAUGGUAUGGGGAGUUUUAAAAGGCCUCUGGAUUUUCUUUUUUUUUUUUUUUAAAGGGGAAUCUUCUGGUUUCUUGGGAGGGACUGGUUGUUGUUGGUGGUGGUGGUGAUGGUUUUACUUUUGUGGGGUUUUCUUGUUUUGGUUCCAGAGAGGAAAGAAAAAAUGCUUUCAGAUUUUGAUGAAUGAUCAAGGAAUGGGUGAUUGGAGAGAGAAAUGUGAAAGAAAGAGAGAUAGAGAGAGAGGGAGAGAGAGAUUUGAGGGGAGUGGACUAAUGGUGGGGAGGGAGAAGAAUCAGGUUUGAAGCGUUUUGAAAAAUGUGACUGUAAUUAAGAUCGGUGAUGAUGAAGAUUCAGACUGCAGAGUUGGAUUAAGCAAAGAAGUUCAGUCAAAAGAUGACAGUAAUUAAUGAGUUGGAGCAGACUACCAAAUGUUAGUAGUUAAUCUUGAUUCAACUUGAGGAGAGUUAAUUUAUUAGGGUUUUUAAUCAUUAUUGCCAUUUUAGGAAAACCAGAGUCCACAUGCAAGCUUGGGUGGAAUGAGUUACAGCAUGGAGAAGAUAAAAUGGCCAGUACAAGUAGUUUCAAUGGUUGAGGAUGCCUCUUCAAAUUAAGGCCCCUUUUCAUGCAGCUCCCCUGUGUAAGUAAGACUUUUUUUUUUUUUUUUUUAUGCUGGUUUGGUAUGGGAUUUGUUAGAUUUAUCCCUUUUUUGGUGUGGGAUUUGUUUAUUUUGAGUUUAGUGGAUAGAUUUUGGGAUUUGAAGUUUGGUUUUGGGAGGUUGUUGGAGGUUGUGUGGAGUAAAUUUUUAGGGUAAUUAUGAGGGGUUACUAAUUUUCACAUAUCAUUGGAUGGGAUGGUGUGUGAGAUUUGUGGGGUUUGAGAAUUUUUAAUUGCCUCAUUAACAACCUAAUCAUUCAAAGCAUUUUGGAGUAGACCAUGUUCAAUGUUUUCUUCCUAUAAUUUUAAGGUUUGACAAUUAAUAGGAAUUGUGAGUUGGCUAAAAUUAGCAUUAUGGUAUUAGACCUAUUGAGUAAUUAUUAUUGUUGUUGUUCAACACAGGGGAGAAAGAAUUGAGUGUGCCCUAUUUAAUGGGUAACGUUACAGACUUACAGCUGUAUUUUUUUUUUUUCAGAGGAGCAGGAUAAAUAAUUCUACUCCACUAUCAAUCAAGAGGCAGCUUAGGUGUUCUGUAACUUCUUCCUGUCCAUCCCUUCAUCCAAUGCAUCAUCAUGCAUGGCAUCCAAAUAAACCAUUGAAUUUUGACCCUAAUGUUUUUUCAUUUUUCUCAGAUAUUAAUCCAGUUGAAAUAUGUUUGGAUAGCAGAUUAUUUGAAAUAAUUACUGUAGUAUUUUUUGUGAUGUGAUGUGAUGUAUGUGAGAUAAAAAGAUAAUUGUGAAGAUAAAAAGAUGUAUUGAAAAUUGUAUUUGUGAUGUAAACAAAUAAUUUUUAGCCAUUAUUUGGCUAUCCAAACAAAUAAUAUGUCUUUUUUUUUUUGUCUGUUUUCGGUUGAAGGAAGAAUAAUCCUAGUAAUUAUAUGUAAAAGUUUCAAAAAUUUCCCAUCAAAUUAACAAUGAAACAUAACUAGAAUCGAUCGUCUCUCAAACACGAAAAUAAAAAUUAAAAAAAAAUGAGGGGAAAUAGAACUAGGAUUUGAAGGCAAUGACAUUUAAAAAAAAUUGGUGAUAUAUAAUGCUUUUCAUGUCCCAUAUUAUCUAAGUUGAUGGCGAUAAGAAAAUCUGAGAUAUGAUCCUUAUGCAACGACCGAUUUUGAUAAUGUCACCCUGAUUCUCGUAACUAUAAUAGUUACAUUAAUGAUAAAAUGUGCCAUAAUUAUUUUUUUUAUCAUUCAUGAUUGAGAGACCUAACUCCAUUAGAACUUCAUAGCCAAACAUCUUAAGAUACAACGCAGUAAUUCAUUCUAGAAAAAGCAAAACCAUAAGAAACCAUCAAUUUAUGAAAAGUUGAAAAUAUAAAGAAUUAGUUCUCGAAUUCAGUGAAAAGAAUCAAGUAUUGCACAUGAUAACUGGAUACUAAUAAUACUAUAGUAAAUCACAGCUAGUCAUAAGUCAUUUCAUGGCCAAGAAUAACAUGUGCAUGUAUGUGCCUACUUAUAUUCUAUACUAUAUGGCUCGACAUUAGUAUAGCAUGUGGGUGUAUAAGUGGAUAUUAUUAUAGUGUGUAUGUAUAUAUAUGUGUGUGCGCGUGUUUUAGCGUGUAUUCACGUACAACAAAAGUUUAGGGUUUAAAGUUUAUAUCUAUAACAUGUUUUAAGGUGAGAGUCGAAUAUCAAGUACAAGACGCUCAACCACUAACUUCAUUUCCCAUUUAUCUAUAAUUGAAAAAGAAAUCAAAUUUGUAACGCCAGUCAUAUAUAUAUAUAUAUAUAUACAUAUAUGUAGUACAUAACAAUAAUUACACAAUAACACAUUUUGGAAUUCAUUUUUGCAAUGGCCAGCAAUAUGUGAAGAGGGCAACUGCCGAUGUUUUUAUAUUUUUGUCUUUUCCUUUUACAAAGGGCUAGUAAGCCAGCAAUAUGUGUUACUUAUGGAUUCAAUUUUCUUGCUUCCUUCUUUUUCACCUUACUAAAGGAGAAAAGAAAAUCUACACCAAGUCUAUGAGUAUAAGUUGGUGUAAAAUGACAAUAAUAUCAAGCUUAAUAUGUAAUAUAUAUCACGGUCAUAACUCGGUAAAAAGAAGCAUAAAAUUUGGUUCUUUUGAUAAGAACAAAAGAAUGAAGGUUAAUAAUGAUUUCAUCUUUUCAUAUAUCAUUUUCAGCCAAGAUUCAUCCUACCUAUUACUAUUGCCUUAGAAGGAGGCAAAAGGGAAAAUUUUCCAUGUUUUGGCUGUUUGAUGAAACUAGAACAAGCCCAACUAACUAAUAUAAAGUUAAAAAAAAACAAGCACUACUAUCUUCUGGUUACAGAUUAUUUCGAGCAUUAUUUGAGUGCAAAAAAAGGGCAACAAUUAGUUGGAAGGUUAAUUUUCAAGAUACUUCAAUUUUGUAUUGACUUUCAGUGCUCGAAGCAAACCCCCAUUUCUCUUAUAUAUCCUCAUGAUCAUAUCCAUUAGAAACACUACUUCAAAUUUUUAGAUCCCAUAAGAAAUAAUGACAUUAAAGGGUAGAUGAUUAUGGUAGGUUACAAGAAAUAAUAAAAAGAAAAACACAAAUUAAGCAAAAAUCUGUUGCAUUACGUUGACUGAUCAUCCAUCCUUAUAACUUCUGCAUGUCAUUUACGUUAGGGCGAAUAUAUAGUACAACUCAAAACUAAGAACCGAAACAUGCACGCACGGGAACUUUCACUAGUGUUUCGUAAAAUAUAUAAAUCUCUAAAUACGUUUCUUCAAGCAUUGCUACAAGCAAAAACUCAUACUCAGGCUGCAAAAGAAAACGUCAUUUUUCUUAAAGAUAACGUUAUUUUACUCUAGUAUCAUGUUUUACUCCAAAAAAGCUACACAUUAUCCUGCUAUUCUCAAAUAAAAAUACUACAAAUAGCAGCUGAUGAGUACGAGGGAGAAGAGAAGUAUAAUGGAUUGGAACUAACAAAAUCAAUGGGAAAGAAUUGCAUGCUUUCACUAUUAUCUUUCUUGAGAAUCAAAACAAAGAAAGGCUUUUUCUUUUUCUGGCUUGGAAUAUUUUGAUGAGGAAUAUAAUUCUCAUAAGAAGCGGACUUUCGACAGUACUGUUGAUAUGGACAGCAAGACUUUUGAUCUUUUCCCUCUGCAUGAUUGAUAAUUAAUAUGUUUUCUUCCUUUCCACCGGCUUGCUGCAUUCAUUUUUUCUUUCUCUGGAAACCCGAAAUUUUGGACUUGGGUUUUUCCUUCAAAACAUGGCCCUUAUCUUCUUUCUCUGCAUUUGAUCAGUUUGAGGUGGGGGUGGGUCGGGUGAGAUUUGGAGGUGAAUUAAUGGUAGAGAGGAAAGGAGACAAAAUCAUGUGAGAGUUGGGGUUGUCACACUUUAGUGUGUGGUAAUACUUGAAAGGAAGGCAAAAGCCCCCUUUCAAGAACUCUUUUAUUUCUAGUGUCUUAUGUCCCAAUUUUGGUUAGGCUACUGCUAGCAUCAUGUGAUGAAUGUGUACGUGCAGAUUAUUGGUUAGAAAAACAGCACUAGACUGCUAGACUUGACCAAACUAGCUAGUGCUAGUUCCCUUCAGCUCAAAGCUCAUUGUCACCUUGUAAGUAAAAUGGAGUGAUCUCCAAGAUACUCUAAAAAAAGUUUUGCCACCCCAAAUUCCUCACUAGCUACCAUACGCCUUAUAAUAAUUCUAUUGUUGUCAUCUAUGGAUUAUUAAUUAGGACUAAAAGUCCAAGCAGUAAAGCAUCUCCUUGGUCCUCUGCAGUAUGUAAUAUAGGGAUUGAGAUCCUCUGCAGUCAAUGACUAUAUGGGGUGUUUUGAAAUUGGACUAUAUUUGUCAUGUCAGUGUUAUAUCACUUUGUUUGUUUUAUUUUUUGUGAUAUUGGUGACGGUAGAAACCACACCUUUGACGUAUUAAUAUCUAUCCUUAGCUCCUACUACGUAAAUCAUAGCAAAUGCUGAGUAUAAAACAAUAGAAAUCUGCUUGUGCUCUUGUACUAAAAUAGUAGGAUAAAUUCCUAGAGCAGGAACUGACAGUUUGUUGGGUAUCCUAUUUUACAAGAAAAGUUAAAUCUGCGGUCGAUGUGCAAAACACUAGAAAAAUAUGAAAUACUAACAUGAAUGAGACGGCCACCGUCUGCUACAUGUGACUAUCUGAAGCGGAAGGUAAGGGAACCAUGCCUUUCCUAGCAGUUUCUUUUAUAAGUCAGCAUCAUGUUCCCUGCUUUUCUACUUAAUAAAACCCACGCAAGCAAGAUUGAUAGAUAAAUGAACUUUACAGAUCUGAAAAGCAUGAAGACAAGCUCAUAGAAAAAGAUGGAUUUGUUGUUGUUAUUGUCGGUUCCCAGAUUUUCAGCUCCUCUUCAGGUUCCUAAAUGCACAUUGUCAAAAAUUCCAUAAACAAUGUGAGAAAAGACUGGAACUUCUUGAAGCCAAAUUCUGCACUCUUUGUUUUCUUCUGUUUGCUUGUUUUAAGGUGCAAACAAACUUAUGACAUAGUCAUGGAAAGGUAAAAGAAAAGUCUGAAAGUUCAACAAGCGCAGGGGGCUUGGAUGCCUACUUUAACCUACUUAACGUAAGGAAAAUGAAUUCUGCCUUCUCCGCGAAAGACUCUAUGCAUUUGAUUAAAGCCAGCUAAGUUUGUCUGGUUUCCAGAAGGUAUAGUUAUUGCAUUCAACCAGUAUCACGGUCUGUCUUUGAAAGGACUCGGGGCUUCUCUUGCUGGCAAAUGCAUUCAAAGUCAAUACUCUCAAGUUUCCUUGUCUAGCAGCCUGGCAGCUCACAAAGAGCCCAUCAUCAGCCUACCAAACUUUUUAAGAAGUUGCAGACUGAUUGCCAUGUAGCAUGCUGCGGGAAUCUACUUUCUUCCAACUGUUUUCUACACGGCUUUAACUCUAUCUGCAUGUCCCACGUUCUUUUUAGUGUCCAUUCGUGCAAAAUACAAAGUUUUCACUUUCCCACCGCGCGAGACUCUGACCAAGUAAAUAUAAUACGGAUAUCCAAUGUGAAACUAUCAAUUUUAAUGACUUUCAUUCAAAUGCAGAGCCAACAAAAAGGGAUCUUUCCAUGUAAUAAGUUGCUAGAGAUACACACGCGUUUACCAAGAAUUUGAGUUAAACCAGUACACAGAUUUUAAUCUAUCCAUGGCUUCAGCAAAACAACUUGACUUCCUGACCCAUGUUGAACACUCUCACUAAGAUAAGGGGCAGCAAGCAUCCAACAUCUCCUGCACAAAGAGACUGGAAACUCCAUUCUUGUAGCAGCCCUCUAAAAUUGUUCACAUUCUUUAUGUGAUGCUACAUAUCGUUUCAAAAAGUUUAUUCAGUGCUUUGAGAACUUUUCAAGGACAUCAAAGUAAUCAGGGAAGGUUUUGCGUGUGCAGCCAGGAUCCUUGAUGGUUACAGGAACAUCUGCACAUGCCGCAAGAGAAAAAGCCAUAGCCAUUCUGUGAUCAUCAUAAGUAUCAAUUGAUGUAACAUUUAACUUCUCUGGUGGAGUGAUUAUGCAGUAAUCUGGCCCUUCUUCAACUGUAGCCCCUAACUGAAAUUGUAGGAAAUGUAUGGAUGAGUGUUACAAGGAGAAUUUUCGAGAAAACAUGCAAGGCUUGUGAGAUUGAAAAAUAAUGAUGCAUCACAAAAUUAACCUUUCUAAGCUCUGUGCAUAUAGCAAUCAUCCGCUCAGUUUCCUUCACUCUCCAGCUAGCCACUGAGAACAUAAAUUAAGUCAGACGAAAUAUCUCAGGGUGAUGAAGAAAUAGCAAAGGAAACAGACAGAGUAUUAAAACAGAAAAGAAAAGCUAAAAGCAGAUUAUUGGAUCAUGCAUACUGACGCGGAGCUAGGACUGGUAACCGAUCCUAACCUCAAAAAUCUAUUGGAUUCUAAACUCAUGUACUGUUCAAGAUAAUCCAGUUCUCAUAAGUUACAGACCAGAUUACCAUACGAUCCAAACAUUUUCACAUUAUGCUGUAGACAAAGAAAACUGAAAUAUCAAUUUUCAAGGAUGAAUUCAAAGAGGUAUCCUUAACACGACAAUAAGUCCUAUUUUAAACUUGCCGUACAGCAUUAAUCAAGGAAUUCCUAGUUUUCUCAAAAGAAUUCACUUUGCAUAAAGUAUUAUAUUAUGGAAUAUGAUUCCAAAUUAUUCAUAUUAUAUAGCUUAUGAACACCAAGAAACUAAUGGCAUUUUGCUUCUUGUUAACGAAAAGCCAAUUAUGUCCUGAUCAGUGAUCUAGAACUUCUGUUAUUCCAAUGAAAUUUGAAACAGCUUUAAUUAACUCUUAUAUUCGGUAAACCAGUAACAUUCAUACCAUCUCUUAUUGCAGUGGAACCAUCCGCGAAAAGUGCAACUACAGCAAGAGUCAUGGCAACAUCUGGCAUUUUGUUCAUGUUGAUAUCAAUGGCACGAAGGUGUUUUCCUCUGGAAGAAUCCCUCCGCGGUCCUUUAACAAUAACACUGUUUUCUGUCCAGGUGACUUCAGCACCCAUUUGCUCAAGAACCUCAGCAAAUUUCACGUCACCCUUUAGAAAGGAAAGAAACAAAAAGAAAUGAGAUGAUGAAUGCCAUGCAAUUUACGUGCACAAAACAUUCAAAACCAUGUUAGCAAGGUGAUACUGCAUAACCUAUUUAAAUCCAAGAUACUUUAAGUUUGCAGCAACACAACAUUCACUUCUCAAUAAAAGACAAAAGUCAAGUUUUCACCAUGGACAUAACGCAGAAAGGGCCUUCUUGUCUGAAUGACGUAAUUAUCUUCAGAACAAGAAAAAGAGAGAUACAACAUGCCAGCAUGCAUUUUACCUGUAAACUGCCAGUCCCACAACCUUCGACGGUAAUGGUACCACCAGUAACAGCUGCACCAGCUAAGAAGUAACUGGCACUUGAGGCAUCACCUUCAACAUAAGCUUUUCCAGGAGACCUGACAAAAUGAUAAUCUUUUUACUUGCUACACAACAAGCUACUAAAGUCCAUUUUACUCAAUACAAGUACACUUACUUGUAUUUCUGACCCCCAUGAACCAGGAAUCUGUCCCAACUACCACUAUGCUCUACAGUGACCCCAAACCGUUCCAUCAGUUUCAAAGUCAUUUCAACAUAAGGAACAGAAAUGAGUUUAUCAAUAAUUUCAAUCUCAACAUCUCCUAGAGCCAGUGGAGCUGCCAUGAGUAAAGCAGUUAGGUAUUGACUACUGAUAGAUCCAGAGAGCUUCACCUGCCAGUGAUGAUCAAAAUACAUGUUCAUCGUCAAUCCAAGUAACCUAUUUCAAAAUAUAGUAAGAUAAGAAAAAGAGAGCCCAGCCCCACGAGUCCCAUGCCUUUCUUGGUAGGCCAUGCCAUUUGUGAGAAGUCUUUCUUCAUUCAAAGGCAGAAGCAGAAUUGCAAGGAUGAAAUGAAUAGUGAUUCCCAGUACUAAACCCAAGAACCCAAUAAAGAAAUUUUACCAUUGUCCCAUCCAAUGCUGUGCAUAUAUGAAAUUGUAUUUCUCAUUCACAGAUUCAUGUUUGUUUAGACUAAUCACCCACACUUUGGUCCUGCUUUUGAUUUUGUUACUAAGAGGGGAAGAAAAUCAGGACCAAAUGCUUGGCAGUUCCUGGUGGAGCUUAUUGAGUGCUGAACCCAAUAAGAAAGUGUAAAAUAGGUGGUCUUUGCAAAAAUGUUUUGCAAAAAUAUACCCCUUGCAUCUUGGUCACUUUUACAAUUUCAUUUAUAAGCAGUCUCAUUACUUUGAAUCUCUCAUUUUCUAUACUUAAUUGUCUAAUUAAGUAUCCGUUUCUUGAAGCAGGACUGAAGCUAAUCCAAGCUUCACAACAAAUUGAAAGAAGAAAACAGAUUGGCGAAAUGACAUUGGGCCGGAGCCUCGACAAGGGGAGGUGAUAGUGGAUAUUCUGCUUGUCUUGGGGUGUACAGUAGCACCUGAUCAACCCCCAGAAAUUAAUAAAAUAAUUACAUUAGCCCAGAAUCCAAAAACACAAAAACAAAAGAGUAUGGUGAACAUCAUUGUCUGCCCUGCUAACAAGAGGAAUGUCUCAGAAGUGGAGAAUGACAAGUCAGCUGCAAUGUCUACACAGCUCUUCUUUUCUCAUGCAUGCGUAUAUUAAUAAAGCAUGGAUUGUCCUCUUUGCUUUUCUUUUAAAUCAAGGAAUAAGCAAUUAAGCAUGUUUAGACAAUGUUAAACUCACCUUUCCCCCAGGAAGGCCUCCCUUUCCCACUACACGAACUGGGGGGCAAUUUGUACCAAGAAAACAAUCAACAUCAGAACCAAGCUGCUUAAGACCAGAGACCAGAUCACCAAUUGGCCUCUCCCUCAUUCUAGGAACUCCAUCAAGUACAUAGCUGAAACAUAAAAUUCCAGUUUGAAUUUAACUUCACUAAUUUAAAAAACAAAGUAACUGUCCCGAAAAUGCAAUCAUGGCGAGCAAUCACUAAUUUCUGAGGAAAAUUUUAAACCAAUUUGCAGCAUACAUAUUAAUAUAUAAAAGUUGGGUGACAUUUGUAACUAGAAAAAUAAGGAUAUGGACCUUGAAUUCCCACCAGCAGCAGCAACUGCAGCAGUCAAUGGGCGCAUAGCUGUUCCAGCAUUUCCCAGGAAUAGUUGAAUUUCACCUUUAGAUUCUUUACCAACAGGAAAUAGACCACCACAACCUUCUACAAUUGCUUGCUGUACAGCGCGAUUAUCUUCCACAUGCAGACCCAGUGUCUUUAAAGCACCGAGCAUGUAAUGGAUAUCAUCACUGUCCAACAAGUUAUCAACAACAGUUCUUCCCUGGGAAACAAGCAGAACGGAAAUCCAAUAAGUUCUUGAGAUUGAGGAUUAUUGUGAUUCUUUAACAGAAAUACUACUUUGUAAAAGAACUAAACCAAAAAGCGAUUAGAAACAUUUUAUGUAUGCGUUGCUAUUGUAAACAAUAGCCAAUCCUGGGGACGAAAUUAUUAUAUAAGAGCAUUCUGUUAGGAUAGCGAAACUAUAACAUAAUGUAGACUACAGUUAAGUUGCAUCCAUCAGAAGAGCAAUCUACAGAAUUAUCAAUAUCUUAUGGUCUGUUUUGAGGUGGAAAACUUCUCAAUUCUGAAUGAAACUACGAACUGUAGAACCAGCAUAAACAUGCCACAAUUUGGUCUCUUCUUGCAGGCAAAAGAUUACAGGAGCACCUUUUCAAAUACAAGAAAAUGUCAUUUCUUUCUUGCUUUUCCAUAUUCUUUUGUUUUAUUUUCUUCUGAAUGGGUGGAGAGGGAGAAUAGAGUGAGGGGCGGACUUAAACACAUAUUGUAGAAAAUCAGUUCUAACAACUUUUAGUGACCAAUUUUUUAUAGAACUUCUUUCCUUAUAGAAACAAAGUAAAAGACAGAUAAAGUCUAGUUAAUUUCGUAUAAGAACAACUAAAGACAAAACAUGAAGAACCCAUUAAAUUUUUAUCCAAUAACUGCAAAUUUAGAGACAGAAGUGCAUGAAAAUGCUGCAACUCAAGUUUCCAAUCUCAGAUAAUAGACUAAACAAAUAUACAUAUACAUAUACAUAUACAUAUAUAUAUAUAUAUUAAAAGUUGUGCUUGCAUCUAUAUAGCACUCUUACAACAAUUAUGAACUUCCAAAAGAUUGCUCUCAAGAGUCUUUCAGCUCUCGUAAAGUCACCAUGACUAGAAUCCUGAAUCAUCUCCAACACACUUGGCAAAACUAGAAAAGUCAAGUGCAAAAGGUGCUUAACAUUCCCUCUUAUCUUUUCAGUCAUUAAUCUGUAAUAAAAGCAAGUGAACACUGAACAAGAUUUGGUUCUUUUGAAUAUACGCUCCAAAUUACUUGCAUCGUCUGACUGAAAGUGCUUUAACUACAGUCCUUGAACCUAACCAGUCUCCAUUAGCCAACUUUUGUAAAAUACAGCAUUCUACUGCAUGAAGUCUUUCAAACACACGUACUCCACAUCCCACAAUGAACUGAAUCAAAACUCCAGGUUAAUUUGAAAAAAUAUAUAAUUCCUAUAGAGGAAAGAAGUCAAAAUCAACAAUUCAUCAAGAGUAUAAUGAUUAAACAGAAAUGUAUAGCACAAAGAAGAAGAAAAAGUCACUCAUAGUAGCUUUUACAAUCAUGGUUCGCAGUCGCGUCUCGUCUCGGUCUCGACCGAGACUGAGAGACUGAGACUGAGACCGAGACCGAGACCGAGACGACUCGGCCGAAUCGUCACCGUCUCUCGAUCCCUACCGAUACAAUAUCGUGACGAAACGAUACCGAAAUACUUGACUCGUCGAGAAAUCGACCGAGCCGCUAUCGCAACGAAUUGACUCGACCAAGUCAUAUCGAGUUACUCUGAAUUAUCCCGAAUCAAGACAAAAAAUUAAUCAAACGAGAAAUCAGCCGAGUCAUGCCGCGACGGAUUGACUUGGCUGUUUCUUUUGCUAAUUUUUAAUUAUUUUUAUUUAGUAUACCUUUUUAUAUUAUUAAUAAUUUUAAAAUAUUAAAUACUUUAAAAUUUACGUCUCACCGAGACGGUGAUCGAUAUGCCGAGAUCGAUGUGGAACGUUUCGAGCCGCAACACCGACCGCAACUGUGGCUUUGAACCAUGUUUACAAUGCUUAGCAGAAGGGUCGUAUAACUGCACGAUUCUUAAAUAUUAUAGAUUACCUCAGCCAGGGCAGCAAGGAGAAGAAUGCGAUUGGAGAGGGAUUUUGAGCCAGGCAGCUUGACGGUGCCAGAUAUCUCUUUAAUAGGCUGAAGCACAAUCUCCGGCACAGUAGACGGCUUCUCAGCCGCGGCCACUGAAACAAAAACCUUCAAAGGAGACCUACCUCUAGUCAACAUCGAAUCUCUACUCAAAACCCGUGAAUAUUUUGGUGAACUUUUCGCAAUUCUUGACCCAAGUAUUAAAGAAUGUGGUGAAGAAUACUGGUUUUGGAGUUUCGAGACUUUAGGUGUAGUGAAUUGAGGAGCUUGGAUUGCUUGAGCCAUUUCUCUUUUUGCCGCAGAAUAGAGGGGACAAGGAUGAGAAGUAAUCCCUCUUUCUUUCUUUAUGUUCUUUCAAUUUAAGCUCUGAUGCAGCUACCUACCGGAAAUGGGGAUGGAGGAGGCGUUAGGUAGGCAGGGCAGGGAAGGGAAGUUGGAUUGGAAGACUAACUUGGGGGGAGUUUGGUUUGGUGGGGAUCCAUAACAAUAGUGAGAAAAUAAGCAAUUCGGCAAGAAUGGUCCCAUGACAAUAAUGAUCCCAUAGAUUUGACUGUCACCAACCACUUCUGUCCGUUAAACAAGCACAUGGACUAUCGCUGGAGUGGUGCGGGUGCCUAAUGGUUUGCCAUAGCUUAAGAGCAUUACAAUUUGAGUCACUUCCAACUUCAAGAACCUUUUGCAUUCCCCCAACUACCCCUUAAUCCCACGCCACGCCCGGGAGGAAAGAAAGAGAGAGAGAGAGAGAGAGAGAGAAUCUUUCUGUUUCUUUUUAUUUUUUUGUCAUUUUGAUUAUACGAAAAUAGCUGUCAAUCAUAUACAUUCAUUCAACUUCUGGUUUAACAAUUCGGCCAAUGUUUGCUUCGAGAUAAUCAAUUAUGAAUUAAUGUUACUGACAGUAUAUACGGUUUUGUUAUUGAAUGUACGUCACUUAAUUUCAAAUUAAAUUUGAAUAUCACUUUUUUUACAUACGUGGCAUAUGUUAAAAAAAUAAUAAAUUAUCGGCUGUCAUUUUUAUCAUUAUUAGAUGCAUGUCACUUAAUUUUAAAUUGAAUUUUAAUAUCAUUUUGUACAUAUGGGACACAUAUUAAAAAAUGAUAGCGUAAAGAUAAACUCAAUCAAUCGUAGUCCAAGUUUAAGUACUUUAAGAUUUUCUUUUCGCUCUUCCAAACACUUUAAGAAUGUAUUAGGAAUAUGUAAUUAAUAAUAUAAAAGUUAUUAGUAAUAUGUUAAUUAAUAUGCUUUUAAAGUCACAUAUUUGUUUAUAAGCAUAAAUUAUAACAUUAUUGAUUAAUACAUUAAUAAUAUGAUAUUAGUAGGCAUGAAAUAUAUUUUUAAUUAAAAUAUGAAGUUCGAUCAUUUUGAUCGGUGAUCUGGAAUUCAAGAAUCGUAUUUCAAUAUUCAUUCCCAAAUUAUUUUACCAAAUUUUAAGAUUAGACCUUAAGCAAUUUUUUCGAAUUCUGCUUUACCAAUAUCCAAUUUUCGAUCUAAAUUGAAUCGGUCAUUCAAUUCUUUGGAAGUGUGAACCCUAAGUUAAAGGGCUGACAAAGCAAAUCCUUUGUCUUCGUUAAAAAAAAAAAAAAAAAAAAAAAGUGAAAUGGGUGCUGAAUGGGACCUAAUGAGGUGAGCAAUGAGAGAAAGAACAAGCAAGAAUCAAAUUCAACAACUUGCUGAAGGUGCCAAGCAAGCUUGCUCGAAUGGUUUGUUUGGAUUGUAAGUUGUUUGGGAUAUUUUUACUGUAAUACUUUUUGUAACGUGAUGUACGUGAGAUAAAAACGUAAUUGGAAAAAUAAAGCAGCAGAACAUAACAGGGAUGGAGACUCGUCAACAUUGGAGUUUCUGACAAAAAUCUACUACAGCAAAUCCAACCUAUGGAUGCAUGGACAACAACACAUUAAUACUCCUUGUUUUACAAAUACUCCUUUUGCCUAGAAAUAGUGAAUAGAAAUGAUCUAAAUGUUCAGUUUAGUACCUUAAUUAUCAAGAUAUAAAAUGGAUUAAUCCCAAUCUUUUGUGCUAAUAGCACAUUGGAUUGUAUCGAGUCAUCAUUUAUUUUGUAAAUACUUUUGUUUCAAGUAAUACAAGCGAGUUAUUUUGGUGCUUGUCUAAAACUUUACUAUUGAAGUUUUUAAAAAAAAUUUUAAAAUAUAUAAAUUUUUAAAUAUUUUAAAAUAUAUAGCUUAAAAUUUUUUAAAAAUUUCGAGGCUACUGUAACUGAGCAAACGAAAUUUUUAAAAAACUUGUAGCAGACAAACUUGGUAAAAAACUCAACUGCCAAACAGAGGUUCGACAAAAAAAAAGGGCUUAACAACUGCGCGGUGCAUGGUUGGGCCAUGAACCAGGUUCACUCGACCUUUUACCAACCCAACUCCUCCUCCCUUAAAGGCUUAAACCCUAACAGUCCUUGAGUUACUGCUUUCCUUUCCACGACUCCAUCUCUCCCUCUCUCUUGUCUCUCCCAUGGGAGUCUGAGCGUAAAACUUCAAUCCCUCACUUUCCCAAAUCCCUCCCGGAUCAAAGUCAAAACCUUAAAAAUCGAUUCGAAGAAUGGCGUAUCUUUCAGCUUCGAAACCAUCUCAUUUCCAUCCCAGAAACCUCUCAAAUGUCUCCACCCCACUUUCGCUAAAAUCCCUCUUCUUCUUCUGCUCAUCCCCAGGUGGUAACCCCGAUCAGGAAACAGCGGCCAUUUCACCAACUGAAUCCACUGGGCCAGAAACACGGAAUGUUGAUCCUGCGGCAACGCCAUCCAGAAGCCCAAGAGGUAAGCAUCGUCGUCUUCAGAAAAACCCAGAAAAAUUAGAAGAUAUUAUCUGUAGAAUGAUGGCUAAUCGUGCUUGGACUACCCGUUUACAGAAUUCUAUUCGCAAUUUGGUUCCUAGCUUUGAUCAUGAACUUGUUUAUAAUGUACUUCAUGGUGCGAAAAACUCUGAGCACGCGCUCCAGUUCUUCAGAUGGGUGGAAAGGGCUGGACUUUUUCAGCAUACUAGAGAAACCCAUUUGAAAAUUAUUGAGAUUUUAGGCCGAGCUUCGAAGCUCAAUCACGCCAGGUGUAUUCUGUUGGAUCUGCCACAAAAGGGGGUCGAGUGGGAUGAGGAUAUGUGGGUUCUGUUGAUUGAGAGCUAUGGUAGCGCGGGCAUUGUGCAGGAGAGUGUGCAGCUGUUUCAAAAAAUGGAGGAGUUGGGGGUUCAGAGGACGAUAAAAACGUAUGAUGCUUUGUUUAAGGUUAUAAUGCGCAGAGGGCGGUAUGGGAUGGCCAAGAGGUACUUUAAUAAGAUGUUGAAGGAGGGGAUUGAGCCCACAAGGCAUACCUAUAACCUUAUGAUUUGGGGGUUUUUCCUUUCUUCGAAAGUGGAAAGUGCGGUAAGGUUCUUUGAGGAGAUGAAAAGUAGGGAAAUUUCACCUGAUGUUGUCACUUAUAAUACCAUGAUCAAUGGGUAUUGUCGUGUUAAAAACAUGGAGGAGGCUGAGAAGUAUUUCGUGGAGAUGAAGGGGAGGAAUUUAGAGCCAUCAGUGAUAACUUACACGACUUUGAUUAAGGGUUUUGUUUCUGCUGGGGGAGUUGACAAUGCAUUGAGAUUUCUGGAAGAAAUGAAGAAAUUUGGGAUUAAGCCAAAUGCUAUUACGUACUCAACCUUGUUGCCAGGGCUGUGUGAUGCAGACAAGAUGUCGGAAGCUGAUAAGAUUUUGAAGGAGAUGGUCGAAAGACAUAUUGCUCCAAAUGAUGACUCAAUCUUCACGAGACUGCUGUCUGGACAGUGCAAGGCAGGUCAUUUGGAUGCGGCUGCUGAUGUGCUCAAAGCAAUGAUUCGCUUGAGUAUUCCAACAGAGGCUGGGCAUUAUGGUAUCCUGAUAGAGAAUUUCUGUAAGGCUGGUGCGUAUCAACGAGCUGUUCAAUUGUUGGAUAAGCUUAUAGAGAAGGAAAUCAUCUUAAGACCACAGACUACUUUGCAAAUGGAGCCUAGUGCUUACAAUCCUGUCAUUGAGCAUCUAUGCAACAAUGGACAGACAAGAAAAGCUGAGAUGCUUUUGCGACAGUUGAUGAAAAUGGGUGUCCAGGAUCCAGUUGCCUUCAACUAUCUGAUUCGUGGCCAUUCAAAAGAAGGUACUCCUGAGUCAGCUUCUGAACUUUUGACAAUCAUGGUUAGGAGGAAGGUUGUUUCAGAAGCAAGUGCUCACGUAUCACUUAUCGAAAGUUACUUGACCAAGGGUGACCCUGCUGAUGCUAAAUCAGCUUUGGAUACUAUGAUUGAAAAUGGUCAUCUGCCAGACUCGUCUCUAUAUAGGUCAGUGAUGGAGAGCUUGUUUGCAGAUGGAAGAGUUCAAACAGCAAGCAGGGUGAUGAUGACUAUGCUGGAGAAGGGUGUGAAAGAGCACAUGGAUUUGAUUGCUAAAAUCUUGGAGGCUCUCCUUCUGAGGGGCCAUGUUGAGGAAGCCCUGGGAAGAAUUGAAUUGCUUAUGCAAAAUGGACUUGCACCUAACUUUGAUAAUCUUCUGUCCAUUCUCUGUGAGAAAGGGAAGACAAUUGCUGCUUUGAAGUUGUUAGAUCAUUGUUUACAGAGAGAUUAUAGUGUUGACUUCUCCAGCUAUGAUAAAGUUUUGGAUGGCCUUUUAGCUGCUGGAAAAACUCUUAAUGCAUAUUCAAUUCUGUGCAAGAUAACGGAGAAAGGAGGAGUUACAGACAAAAAUAGCUAUGAAGACUUAAUCAAGACCCUUAAUGCAGAGGGAAACACUAAGCAAGCAGAUAUUCUUUCAAGAAUGAUCAUGGCCUCCAAUAGCAAGAAAGGAAAGAAACAAGCGUCUAUGGCAUAGUUGGCCUCUUUAUUCUGGACUCUUUGAAUUUCAGGGUUACAGCUUUUGAUUUUAGCUUACUUUAAUGGGAUAUUAUGGGUUUAGCUAAGUGGCAGAAUAGUUCAGGUCGAAUUGCAUGUCUUUUUUAAUCUUAAAUAGCAGCAGAAUCUAAUUGUUUUCUGUAGAAAUUAUGAAAGUCUACCUCUUCAGAAUAAAUAAAAGAAGGAAAUAUGCUGCUGAGGUUUUCAUAAAAGCAUAUAACCUUGCAUUCAUAUUAUUGACACUUUGACACUGUACUGUAUACAUGAAAGCCAAAUUUUUGCAUUUAAUUAUCUGGUUAUGGCUGUUGAGAAAUGAGAACUGCUAGAGCUUUGCAGGAUCAUCUCUCAUUGAAGGAUUUCUCAUUCCGAUUUACAUGGAAAGCAUCCGUCUUGAUAUCUAAGAGGCUCUCUGCGUAGGAACAGCCUCUGGGUACAUUGUGCUUCAGCAUAUGACACUAAUAUUCCAGCUCGUGGAAAUAUAAUUACAUUGUUGUCUCUGUGUUUUGGUUUUUGAUAAGGUCAACUGUUUCGCUAUUUUCUUAACUGCACCUUGAUGAUGAGUGAAGUAUGGCUUAUCUUGCUUUGUUUUCUACCUUUGUUACUGUUGCCUUGAUAAGGAUUAAAAUUGGAUUGGGCAAAGUAAUUUCUGCUUUUGUUGAUUAAAGAUAGGAUCAUCCAUCGUGUGGUAUGUCACCGUCACGUUAGUGGUACCUCAAGAGUUUUUUUUUUUUUUUUUUUGGGUCACACACUUAUUUCUACAGUGUGAUUUACCUUUCAACAGCGCAAAGAAACACACGCACAUAGAAUCUAAGGUAAUACGCACAUAGAAUCUAAGGUAAUUUCACCAGUUUACUCAAAAGACAAUUGCUGACUUCUGGAUAAAUUCACGGACUUUAAAUCCUAUUCACACACCUCUUACAACCGAUGUGGAAACAAGGAGUUGGGGGAAAGGGAACACAGGAAGCUUAAGAGCCUUGACUAAGAACCCAUACGGACACUGACACUCCUCUCCUGUUUUCCUUUUUCUUUCAACAGCAGUGUGAUUUACCAUAAUGUGGUUAUCACAUCACUCUGUAGAAUUUUCCUUAAAAAAAUGUCUACAAAGUAAAUAAAGAGAAAAGGCUGGCAACAGGUCAAAGGGCUCAUUCUAUUUGGCACUUCGUUGCCUUACUUUCAAGUACGCCAAUAGGGCAGUUGAACACUAGCUAGCUUAUGCCAACUGGAGUUUAGUUGGGAUGGCAAUAUCAGUUAGCUCACGAGGUACUAGAGAUUGUUCUUCUAAACCAAUUCAAUUUUGGGACUCUUGAUUUCAACUGACUGUGUUACAGAUGCAAUGGGACUCUUGAUUGAGGUCGAUUCGAUUGUAGUUUUUUUUUCAUUCAGAUUUCGGCAAUCUUUCGUCUCUGUGAAAAGGAAAAGGAAAAGAAUGGACUGGAAAUGUCUGAAUUUGAUAUGAAUGAGGGCUUUGAUAUGAAUGAAUCUUUCGUUGCUUUGGCAAAUAUUACACUUAUGCUCGGUGGGAACAGCGGAUGGACGAUUGCCCAUGUGACACUCUCCUGUUAAUACUCUCAAAGAUCUACACCUAACGCAUGAUUCUGCUUAAUAAACAAUUAUACAGAACAUCACUGAUCUGAAGUUGUUGGAUAGUACUAAAGUCUUGACUUCGAAGUUCCCGGUAAGGUAGGUGUUGAAUUGUUCUAUGCACUAUCACACGAUUCUGUACAAGAGUUUUUUUGACUCGGGGGAAUUUUUUUAAUAAACGACCAUAAUUGGAUUAUUCUUAAGAAACUGGUUAUAUCUAAUAAAACUCACUCGUGAGUGUCUCACCAUUAAAUCAUCCUGUGGUAGGCCAUUGGACGUUUGUAAUUAAAUAAAGAACUGCGUUGCAUUUUGCAUAGGAGGAGAAUAUGCCUUUUACCAUUCUCAAGGCAUAUUAUUCCAUGGGAGGAUACUUUUUUCACGGUCCAUACCAAACCAUACUUCCAACUUCCAGGGAAAUAAAGUGCAAUAAUUUGAGCUCUUCAGCUAAGCUAAGGUAAACCUGUUGCCUCUGCACAAGAAAAUGGUACUCUGGUAUAAUACUAGUAGACAAGUACGUACGUUGAGGAUAGGCAGGUUGAGAGCCAGAAGUUCAACUACCACAUAUGAAAUAGCCACACCCGCAACAUUCAACAACCACAUAACAAUGGAUGGAUCAUCAUUCAUCGCCCCACUCCCGGUCCCAUACAUUGUUUGUUUGUUUGUUUCUGGCUUAGGAAAUCCUCAUUCUCAGCCUAAAGAGAUUGGGUUGCCCCACACAGGUUUUGAAAGGUUUGAAGCUCCGCAGCAGUCCAUCUCAAUACAAAUUCUGAAAUUUACUCUAUGUGUUUAUCCAAGAUAUCAUAUAGCGAACAUUGGAACUCUUAUUGGUCCGUUUAAUAUCGUUAAGAAGCGCCGGACAUCACAUUUCCAAUCGCAGCAAAAUGACUCAGAAAAGCUACUCACUAUUCAAAGACUGCGAGCAGUUUUGAUGAUACAUGGCAAUGUGGAGGAGAGCUUAUUAGUCUCAUUUAUCUCUAUUAAAACAUGAGAAAACAUAAUAAAGAGGGGAAAAAAACAAACAAACAAACAAAAAGGACCUCCAAUCAAAUAACCACAUCAAAUUACAAAAACCACGUUCCAGUGUACAAGUUCAGAAGCAUCCUAAACUGCCUCCUCUCUGCAGCCUCAAAUUGCUCCACCGAUGAAGGCAGCUGCUAAAGCAAGAAAUUUUUCUUCUCUUAUUAUGAAAUGUCAAAUGGCAGUCAAUUGAGCCAAGAACCUCACCAAGGGUUUUUGCUGUAAACUGCAGCCUCAUAUAACGAAUCCAAAAUACCUCAGCACAGAACGAGCAACUGGAAAUCCCAUUUUCUGAAGCCUAAGAAACACUUUUUGCUGCAGCUACAACAGCCUCUGCUGUAAUGCCAAGCUCCUUGUAUAUUUUUCCUGCAGGAGCACUAGCACCAAAUCGGUCAAUUCCGAUUGCUUUUCCUUUAGGUCCAACAAUCUUCUCCCAUCCGAAUGUUGAUCCUGCCUCGAUGCUAACCCUAGCUGUUACAGCCGCUGGAAAGACACUUUCCUUGUACUCAGCUGAUUGCUCAUCAAAAAGCUCCCAUGAAACAAGAGAGACAACUCUGACGGCCUUCCCUUCCUUUCUUAGUUCAUCAGCAGCUUUGGCUGCAAUUUCCAACUCUGAACCAGUUCCAAUCAAGAUCACAUCAGGCUUGUUGCCUGAAGAGUUGUCUGAUAUAAUGUAGCCACCCUUUGCCACUCCUUCAAUAGAAGUUCCAGCAAGUUGGGGCAACUUUUGCCUUGAGAGAGCAAGGAUUGAUGGUCUCUUCCUAUUGAGGACAGCUACCUUGUAAGAACCAGCUGUCUCAUUCCCAUCAGCUGGACGCAACAUCAAAAUAUUAGGCAUUGCCCGAAAACUUGCCAAGUGCUCAAUUGGCUGAUGGGUGGGUCCAUCUUCUCCCAGCCCAAUUGAAUCAUGAGUCAUCACGUAGAUAACACCGGCCUCAGACAAGGCAGAUAUCCUAAUGGCAGCUCUCAUGUAGUCAGUGAACACAAAGAAAGUUGCACAGUAGGGAAGUAGGCCAGGGCUGUGGAGAGCAAUCCCAUUACAGAUGGAUCCCAUACCAUGCUCACGUACACCAAACCUAACAUUACGCUCUUCUGGUGUCUUCUUUUGGAAGUCACCAAACAUCUUAAGAAGGGUCAUGUUAGAGGAGGCAAGAUCAGCACUCCCACCAAGCAGACCAGGGAGAACCUUAACAAGGGCAUUAAGAUUUUGCUGAGACAGGUUUCUGGUGGCAUCAGCUGGGCUCUCAGGAGUGUAUGCCUGAGGGUAAAAGUAUAAAAAUCACAACUGAAUUAAACCACAGGACAAGGGAAGGGAAUGCAAUGCCAGGUCAAUAGAUCUGACUUGAAAGCAGACACUAAAUAUAAUUGAGUCCAAUUUGUUUAGUCCAAAAGAAAAGUUUCCAAAGACAAAGGAUAAUAUAUAUGCAAAUUAACAGAAUGAAUCUCGAUGUCACAAGGUGAAAUAAAAGAGCAAAUCUGUUUCUUAGCUACUUACAGGAAGCGCUUUCUCCCAUCCAGCUGGCAAUUCACCAGUUAUGAGGGACUUCAACUCAGCAGCUUCUUCUGGAUAUUUUUUUUCAUAUUCAGCAAAUUUGGCAUUCCAUUCAGCUUCAUAAGCAGCACCCACAGGAACAUGGCGGCUCCAGUGUCUGAAGAAAAAAUGAUCACAAUUGUAAGUUUUCAAGAAAAAGUUAGCUAAGUUUUAUCCAAUUCAAGAAGCAGGCGAGAUCAUUCAUACUUCUUGACAUCCUCAGGAACAUGGAAAGGCUCAUAAGGCCAUCCAAGGUUCUGCCUAGUGGCCUCUACUUCCUUGGCACCCAACGCACUGCCAUGUACACUGUAUGAGUUUGCCUUGUUGGGGGAUCCAUAACCAAUUGUUGUGGUUACCUGUAUGGAAGAAAUAUAUUUAACAAAAAUAUCCCAAUUUGAAGAAUGCAGGAAGAAACACCAAGCAAUCAAGCUGGAAAUAUUUCAAAUCUACCAGCCCAUUCAAUUUAGCGGAGGAACUGUUUUAGAGAUAAAUGCAGCAACAACUAUAGGAAAACAUGAAGUAAGGCUCAAGAUGAAGCAUAAUCAGUAUCUGACCUUGAUCAAGGUAGGCUUGUCUUUUACAGCCUUUGCUUCCUUGAUGGCAGCACGAAUUUCAUCAUAACCUGUAUUACCAUUCUUGACCCAGAUAACAUGCCAUCCAAGAGCCUCAAACCGGAGUUCGACACUCUCGGUGAAAGCAAUUUCAGUAUCACCAUCAAUUGAAAUAUGGUUAUCAUCAUAGAAGGCAAUCAGCUUUCCAAGUCCCCAGUGGCCAGCAAGGGAACAAACUUCAUUGGAGACCCCCUCCAUUUGACAUCCAUCACCAAGGAUAGCAUAUCUAUAUAAGAUGUAAAAGUCCCGUCAUUAAACAACAUAGAGAACUGGUAUUUGAGACCCACCAGAAAAUUGAAACAACUAUUAACAAUUCAGGAAGUCAUAUUACGUGUAGUGGUCAACAAUCUCGGCAUCCGGUUUGUUGUAACGAGCAGCCAAGUGUUUCUCAGCAAGGGCUAAACCAACAGCAUUUGCAAUACCUUGGCCAAGCGGACCUAAUCAAAAGCAAUGAGAGACAACGAUUAGUCCCACCACUCCGUUCAACGUCCAAAUAUACUAGCUGAACUAAAUUCUAACCAGUGGUGACUUCAACACCAGGGGUCUCAAAGUUCUCAGGAUGACCCGGAGUUUUGCUUCCCCAUUGGCGGAACUGCUUCAAAUCUUCCUCCUAAAUAUCCCAUGGAAACACAUUCAGUCCAACGGGAGAAAAAAAAACCCACUCCAUAACUCAAUCCAGCACAAGCAAUGUCAUGAAAACAACUUGAAACCUUCCUGCACAGGACAAUAUCACCCCCAUCUUGCUACUUUAAAAACCCAGGCUCCAUUUACUAGCUCAAGUAAUACAAUCAUCUUAUACCAGGUGAAUUAAACAAACUACAAGCAGACCAGUGAAAAAAAAUCAGCAACCAACUCUAAACAGUACCAAAUAAUUGAAAAGGCAACAGAAAAUAAUAAAUGUAAGCUAAUUAUAAAACAAGAUCAGAUAUAAUCCAGUAAAAUUCCAUUCAAAAUCCAAUUGUUACCAGAUUCUCCACCAAAACCACCUCCAAAAUGAGGUGCAAAAGUCAAACAUCACAGCAAAAUGCAUUGAAAAUCCGAUCUUCAGCAAUGUUCUAACAAGCCGACCUCGAAAAUGACAUGCAGAGUUGGAAAACCACAAAUCCAAGAAAAAACCAGAUCCAAAAUCCAAUCUUCAAACCCAAAAAAAAAAUAAUAAUAAUCUGGGACUGCACCAGUUAGAUCGGAUAAAAGGAUGAAUUCACACAGAAACUACGAUUAAUAAGUUUUGACCUUGACAGAGUCAUAUCCAGCAAGGUGAAGCAAAGCAUACUGAAGCAUACAUCCAUGGCCGGCUGAGAGAACAAACCGGUCCCUGUUGAACCAAUAAGGAUUCUUGGGAUUAUACUUCAUGACCUCAUCAUAAAGAAUAUGACCCAUUGGAGCGCAACCCAUGGGUAGACCCGGGUGACCGGAAUUAGCCUUCUCGACAGCAUCGACGGCCAAGAAACGGAUGGUAUUGAUGGACUUUUCUACAAGGGCCGUGCCGGUUUUCUCCAGAGUUUCUACUGCAGCUGAGGCCAAGACCUGGGCUUGGCGUCGACCCGCUGCUGGGACGGAGGGACUGCGGCGGCGGGAGGCAGCAGUGGUGGUUGUGGAGGGGGUGGAUUUGAGGGCAGAAAACGUGGGGAAGGAAACAGAAGGGAGGUGGGGGUUGGAAGAGCCAUGGCGAGGGAUGGAGCCGGCGAGAACGGCCUGGGAGAGAGUGAGGGAAGAAGAAGAAGCCAUGACUCUCUUGUGGUAGUGGUGUUGGUGGGGACUUGGGAGGGAGAAGAAUUAGGAGGUGUGUUUGUUCGGGGUGGAUAGAUUAUAUCGAGAAGGGAGGGAGGAGAGUUGGUGGACUUUUUAAUUUGAUUUUGUUGCUGUUUUUAUUUAAUGAUGAUGGAUAAUAUAUAUGACGUCGUACUACAAAAACACAUUGGUGUGUGCCGUGAGAAAGGGAUAAAAAGAGGCUCUAUUGGAGACCGAAAGAGGUACAAAAGCUUUGCUUUUUUUUUUUUUUUUUAAAAUUUUGGAAAAGGGUAUUACCGAAUUAUAGAAGAGUGUUUAAUUAUAAAUUUGUAGCAUUUAAAAUGUGAAAAAUAAUUUUUAAAAAUUAUUAGAGAUAAAAACAAGGAAUCGAAACGAAACGGGCCUUGAGCAUAUGUACACCAAUUGAGUCAAUAAAAAGCCGUUAACAGAACCUCAACUGUAAACGCUGCUACUAUUACUAAUAUCCAAUUCUUGUGUAUGGCAAGAGAUGAACGGUUGAAAGGACAAAAGAUUUUAUUAUUGAGAACUGGGGUAAGGAAGAAAAGGGACAGAGAUUCGAUCAAUGACAGACAGAGACUGGGGAAGAAGAAGAGGGAGAGCUUGUGGUGGCAUGAGAUAGGAUGGGGGAGGAGAAACCGAGGAAGAGAUCGGGGCCGUUGAGUAAGGGUAGGAUAUCAAUGCUUUUCAAAUUUUUAAUGAAUUAACGUUGUCCGCAUGCAGAAUUUUCUGACUCAAGUUGUGCAUUCGUUUGCUUUGUAAGGUGAAUUAAACUAAGAGAGCAACAACGACUAAUAAAGUCUUGAUCAAACCUCCUUAGAUUAGAUUAGAUUAGAUUAGAUUAUAGGCGGGGUUCAGACCUCAAACCUUCAAGGCUUCAACCAAAAAAAAAAAAUUUAAGAAUAGUAUUAUAGCAUUUUUUUGAUUUAGUUAAAUCUGUAUACUCACUAAUCUCUAACACAUGCCUCCUUAAACUUUCCUUCCCCUUAAAUAAGAAUAGAAUAGAUUAUACAAUGUAUCGUUACUGGCACGACAAAAAACGCAGCCCCCAAUUUGGUUUGGUGAGAUUUGCGUCUGCAUGACAUAAAUUUUUGUUUGCAGCUCUUGGAAUAUUUGCUAUGCAUUUCAUCAAUCAACUAACUAACGGGUCUUGUCUUGAAAGAAUGGCUCUAAAAUUUUAAUAGACCACAACAUAAGUGGUCGUUGUAGGAGAAAAGAGAGAACAUAGGUGGAGUCGGCGAAAUGUUUUAAGAACAAAUCUAGGGAUAGUUUUCGCAUCCUGUACAAAUUCAACCUCAUUGACUAGAAAAAGUUGAGCCGCCAGACUCCACCUACCUCCGUAUCCAAUCCACCAUUUCUGUUAUUGUUUUGGCAACCCUUCAAUGACUUAGAGGCCAUUCAGAGGUUGCUGAGCUAUAUAUAUAUAUAUGCGUAGGGCAAAAAAAAAAAAAUGGGUGGGGGGUUAGAGUAUAUGUCAUUGGGUUCUGUGACCUCAGUCCUCUAUAGCCGAAAGUCAAGCAUCUUCUAUCUCUUAGAAUAAAACACCUAGAAGGCUAGAACCAAUACGCAAUAAGUGACGCAAUAACUCAUGUGGGCUUUUGGGCAUACAAGUGACGCAAUAAUAAGACAACAAAAGUAGAAGAUGAUGAUCUUCUUCAACAAAUUUGCAACCAAAUAAGAAAACCUCAAAGCACCCGACCCGAGGACAAAAUUUUCAUAAAUGAUGAAUAGGAUCGAUGUUCAACAACAAUGAGGCUAAUCCCUUUAGCGGGCGUGUAGACAAGCAAAACAAGCCCUAAUAUCAAAAGAAAGUACGAAAAGUUAGAGAACAUAUUGCAUGAAAACAAAUAAUAAUAAUAAUAAUAAAAGAGUACCCCAAAAAAGGCUGGAUUUUGACAUGAAAAAUUCUUGGCACCCUGGAGACUAGAAGUUUGCUACUCAAAAGUCAGCUUCAGAUUAAACUUCUGCAUAUAUGCUCAUCGUGCGCAAGUCUAGCACGGAGUCUGAAGGGCAAAAGCUUGUUCAAACAAGGAAUGGCAGCUAGUAAUUUAUUUUUAAACGACAAAGGAUGAAUAUAACAUCAAGAAAAAUACACCAAAUCUAUACUCGUCAAAUGCUGAAAAGUUGACUUCUAAAUUUUCAGAUGUAUCCAUGGUACAUUACAAAUUAUGUUGUAAGAACAGGUGUUCUCGAAAGUUCUGAAGUCCUUGUGAUGGGGAUAAUGGAAGGAGAGAUGACUAAAACGUUGAUUUUACCACCAGACGAUUUGAUUCAUUGUCAUUCAGCCUCAGACAACAAAUUGGUUCUAUAAUUACAAAGCUACAAGGAAACAAAGCACCCCUGCAUUGAUUUCUAGGGAAUCAGUAUAAACUUACAUCAGUUUGACUCGUUUACAGUUUGAAGCCAAAUUUCGGAUCCCUCGGCCAGUUACAGCAUAUGGAGCAGAUGCUGAUCGAAUAGAAGGUGACUUGUCAAUGUGGGCAUAGCGUCCAUUGCCAUUCCAGUACAAAAUGAUACGAUUUGUACAAGCAUGUGACCAACUAUCACCUGCCCAGCAAGAUUUAGGAACUCAGAAAAGGAUAUGUCCCUGAUGACCAGAAUCUGGAAUCAGGUUGGAUGAAAGACAAAGAGGGAGGAAAAAUUAACUAUAAAAACAACAGUAGCAGAGCACCCAAGGAAAGACAAGUAUAAGAAAAUUAUUCUUAAAGAAGACAGAUUCUUACCUAGAGCAAGAGUCAGUUGAAAUGAACCUCCCGAAUACUUGGUGGUUACUUGAUUCAACAAAAUAACCUGUAUUAUGAUGUCCUCUGGUCAUUAGAGUGCACAAACAUGAAGUAAUGCCAUUCAGUUGGAUAAGAAGGAGACAGCUUAAAGAAUAUGAGAAGGAAAAGAGAUAGUCUAAUUCUUACCGCUAGAGUAAAUUUCUUUGCAAGUUUCAUCAACUUCAAGGCCAUUCCACCAAGUAAUCGAGUUCUAAGUGCCAUGUCAUCAAAAUCUUGACGGAAGUGAAAAGUAAUGCUGUCAACAAUAACAACCUUGAUCUGUGACAGUAGAGGAAUGUCAAUAAUUUACAACGAAAAUUUGCAUAAUGCAAGCUCUCAAUGACAUCACCAACAUCAUUAAAAGAAAAGAAAAAAAAAAGAACUUAAAUACUACACCUACAUCUUUAUGCUCUGAAAUGAACUUCUCCAAGUAAUUUAUCACGGCGAUUUGCUCUGUGUAACUGCAAAUGCGAAAGUAGUAUAUAUUGGCAAGAAAAUCAUUUGCCUGCAGAUUUACUUGACGGGCUGGCAAAUCUUUACGUAGAAAGCUAUCAUAUUCUUGCAUGUCUUUGAUGCAUGCUUCAGCAACUUGCUGAACACGUUCAACCAUAAAGCUGCCUUCUGUAUCUAAAAAAAGAACUCAUAGAAUCUUCAGUUGAAAUGCCUUUGGAGAAAGCAGUAGCAGAUUUAGUCACACCACCAUGAGUAUUUUGUGUACCGUACUUACCAAUAUAAACUGCUUUCCCUGCAAGGCCACCAUAUUCAAGUGGAAUUUGAACAUUGAUGGCAAGUUGAAUACUGCAUGCUAGUAUAUGUCUUAAUAAGAACCAAAAGGAACAGAACAAAAUUUGUCAAUCAACUGUAAACAGGAACAAAUUCUUACCCAAGUUGUGUUUUACCAAUUCCUGGCACUCCACCUGACAAAAUAGAAAGUGAUAAAGCUUGAGAUUGUCAGCAAUUUGUAGAUGUCCUCUGUCUCGUUCUCUCUCUCUCUCUCUCAAUGAAAGUGUUUAAGGUACCAAACAUGGUAGGAACCACCAUAGAGAUGAUAAAAGACUAACCAAUUUCAGUAACUUCUUUGCAACUUAUUCCUCCACCUAGGAUGUCAUCAAGAUCUGCACAUGAUGUGGUAAUUCUUCUGCAUGAUUCCUCCUCAUGCAACAUGUCCCAGGCGGUCUGUGCCCCUAAACAAGAAGAAAAAAAUUAAGAUUCAGUUAGCCGAAUUUUGUGCAUCCCUUGUAAGAGGCCGCAUCUAGCAGACAAAAGAAAUAUCUUACACAACAAGAUCUAUGGGUUAACAAAUUCCUUCAUUCACAAUCCUCAGUAAACAAAAUUUACACACACACAAUCGGUGAUACACUUUUACAACUUACUGUGUUGGCAUGCCAGUAAAAUGGUAGAAAAACAAGAAGAUAUUCACAUAUUCACCUAAAAAAAAUCUCAAGUACAACAAAAGUGCUAAUUCGGCAUAGUAGGUGAAUCUUCAGACUAUAUAUUCCAUAACGCGAAAUGUAACAAAGCAAGAAAAAACUAAACAAGCCCAGCAUAUCACUGUAGAUUUGCCCUCCUUAAAAAUAAUAAAAAUAAAAAUUUUGUAGCUCCACGAAACGGAUACAUCACACCUAUUUGGUAAAAGCAAAAGGAAAAGAUUACCAAGUACAAUCCCUUUAUGAUGAUAGUCAUGACUCAUGCAUUAGUGAAGUAAAACAAAUAGAACAACUCCACAGCAACAUCAAAUUCCACAGCAACAUCAAAGGCCCCCCUCAAAAAAAAAAUCACAAUAAUAAUAUAUAAUCAGCAUUGAUAAAUUACUCAAACCAUCAACAAUAGAAUGGUGACUUGGAAUGGUUCUCUCCGGUCCACCCCUUUGGGAUGCCACCUUCAAAAUCCCAGUAGCCUCGUUCUCUGAAAUCCCCAAAUCUAGCCAUUAAACAAGAGAAACCCGUCAGGGGAAAUGUUAUAAAAUAUUCAAAAAUUUAACUCACACUCAUUUAGCGCAAAGAUUAGCUAUUAUCCAACAAUGAGAUGUAUUUGCAAUCAAAUACGAGUACACAAGAAAAAAGAGAAUAGAUGACAUAACAGCUCUAGUAAUACCAACAAGAAGGCAUACCACGGGCGAGGUGGGCGGGCGAGAUAGAGCUGAGGGAGGAGAUAGAAAUGUAGCCGGCGGAUAUCAACUUUGCUCUAUGCGAAGCUGAAAUUGGGAGACUCGAUACUUCCAUUCUCUCUCAAAUUUGUCUCAGUGUGUGACUGUGUGUUUUUGUUUAGAAGCUUUUCGCGGUUUUUGUUCAAUUGAGAAUCUGUUCAAAGGGUUUCAAUUUCAAUUCAAGUGCUGCUGCAAAGGAAGCAUUCACAAUACUUAAACGCUGCGUUUCAGAAACAUUAUAAAAGUUUCUUCGGCCCAGAGACUCUACCAAGCUGGCCCGAAUCCGUUGAACUCGUCUUAAUUAGAGAAAGUUCUGGUUUGCUGUAAAAGGUUGAUAUUGAUUUUGUUUCCUAUCGUUCGGCCGCUGCUACAUACGCGCAUCGCAGCAGAAGGCUUAUUUCAUUGGGCCCGAGUUUUAUUCACUCUUGAGUCUUGACCAGUUUGAAUUCAUUCAUCAUUUAGGGUCCGUUUGGUUGGACUGACAAUAUUUUCCCUAGGAAAAUAUUUUCCAUCGAAGCCACUUUCCUGAAAAAUCAAUUCCUUCCCCAAAAUUUUCCAGUGUUUGGUUAUUAAGUGAAAAUAUUUUCCAAAUUCCUUUUUUUAUAAUUUUUCAGUGUUUGGUUUGUCAAUCAAAAACCUUAUUCAUGGUACAGAAUUAGAACUAUUGGUACGUAAAAGCACCCUAAUCAAGUCUAGAGUGACUCAAAUCCCUGCUUUAAAUGUUGUCGGCCUCAGUUGGAUCAAAAAUCUGGAACAAUUCAAUACAUACAGAGGCAAAUAUAUGCCAAAAUAUAAAAUAUUGCUCAACAAAAACAAAAAUCACAUCUCCAAAUGGAAAAUGGUCCCAAAAAUAUCAGUUGCCCAGGCAGUAAAUCAUGGUUACAUCAUUAAUAGCACUGAAGAUUAUGUCCUUAAUAGCAGAGAUCUUCUGAUCUGUGACCGAUUGUGGAGAGAUGUAUCCCCUAUCAAUCUGCAUGUCAAAAAGAAUACUAACCAAGUCAUAUUUAAAUCACAAUUAUCAAGUAAACAAAACGCAAAGCAGGGGAAAAAGAUUUUCAUAUCAAGACUUGGGAAAGGCAUGGGGAAGCAGCUCGAACAGACCUCCAUUCCUUCCUCCACAUUGACUGUAGUCUCAAAGGAAGAGGAUGACUCAAUGGACAAGACACCAUCAGGUCCAACCUUGUCAAUUGCAUCAGCAACCAUGAUUCCAAUAGUUUCAUCAUUUCCAGCAGAGAUAGUAGCAAUGGCUGCAUAUAGAGGAAGAAAUACAUCAAUACGAAUUUCUCUGGUGACAUCAAACUAGGAACUAAAUGGACAAUACAUAUGGAUCCACAUCAUAAGAGCCAAAAGAUAUACCUUUGAUAUCUUCACGACCUUUAACUGGCCUGCCCUUUUUCUCUAGCUCAUCAAUCAAACCUUGUGCAGUGGUUUUUGGGCAUGAAGAAUGAGAAUCAUGGGACAAUAACUUCACUCAUCCAUGGUUAUAACAGGCAAUGAUAAAUUUUUAGGAUUGUUAUCUCUGCAGAGCACUCCCUGCAACGGUAUUAGCAUAUAGAUACAGGGGCUGCUAAGACGUGGACGUAUCAAAGAGCGGCAGAAAUAAUUAGACACGAUACAAAAUGAACAAAAACAUUUAAUAGCUCCAAUGCCUCUCACGCAAACAGCUUUUCAGUACCGAUAGUUAAUAUUUGGAUGCCAGUACAACCAUAAAUAAUACAAAACCAUGACAGAAAAGGAUGACCAUAUUCAAUAUUACAGUUGAGACGAGAUUUUACAAGAGCGAAAUCUCAAAUGUUAAAAAGUUACAGCUCAACUGAGCUUGAAAGUGCCCUGCGGGUACUAACAUAAGCCUCCACUAGCAAGAAACUGCUGACUGAGAGUUUCAUUUCAAGGCAGAUAUCUAGUUUAAUAUAUACACUUCAGAAAGAUCUGUAUUCAAGUUCAAAAUUCUUCGAUCAACUGAGUUCCUAGCUAACUAACUUACAUCCUUUCGUCGGUCUAUUUGUGCAAAUAAACUAGCCUACUGUGUGACUAAGAAGCUACUAACCAGUUUCAUGUCUUAAAUAUCCAUCUUGAGUACAAUAUUGUUGACAUUGCUCUCCUGUAAUUUCUCCAGCGCAACAACCUCAGCCCGAUAAGCUGCUGCUGCAGCCGCUGUCCUUGCCCUCUCUCCUUGAGGAAGUUCACAUGCUUCGCUGAGAGAACCCAAUCUCAACUCAGCAGGUGGAAUGAAACACUCUCCCGACAGACCAGGAGCAUUAAAGGCUACUUCCUCGAUGGUCCAUGCUUCUUCCAUCCUGGUUUUGGUAUGACUCAUUGCUGUAUCCCCGAACCUGAAAAGGAUAACCACUGAUCGCCCAGAGUGAGCAAUCACGAUCCCCUCAACAGGCUCACCAGAUUGUAAGAAAACACUACCCUACCCUACCCUACCCGGAUUCUGAUUCCAAGAAUCAUAAAACCCCCAAAACUCAGCAGCCAAAUUAAUUCAUUAGCAUCAAUCAAAUCAGAUUUAACACUAAUCAGAUAAGAACAAACUAAAACAAAAGCAAUCCACAAAUAUUCAUUCAAAUCCAACUUCAAGAAUCUACACCAGUAAUUCUAGACAAUUUUUCAAAGGAAAAGGGAGGGAAAAAAAACUAAUAAGAGAUCAUCAUACCUCUGGAAAUACUUAAGGAGUCUUCACCUUUGUUGAAAAUGCUAUUGUAGGAACGGGAAUGAGAUGUCGCUGCCAGAGUGGGGAUGAGCCGUUGAUAUUGGCCGCCGUAGUUGGAGAUGCCGCCGGCGAAGAAGGGAUUUGUUUGCUGAUGAGAUGUCGCUGGAGAUGGUUUGUUAUCACUGCCCCGAAGAAGAGACUGGUCUUUCAUCGAUGGUUCCUUGCUUGAGGCUGUGAAAAGAAGACUGCUUUUACGAGAGUGAAGUUAUUUUCCUCUCGUAAGUGCAACUUAUUUUCUCUCAGAAAUUAUUUUUCUAAAUUAAUUGACAACCAAAUAAUCAAAAAUAAGGAAAAUGUUUUCCAAAAAACCUUUUUCAUCCAAACAAACAGACCUAAAAUUGUUGUUCAUAUGGGCUCUUUUUAUUUAGUUAACAAGAAUCAUAAUCAUAUUAGUAAUAGAAUUAGUUCAUAUGCUUUAAGCAUCAUUCAAAACGAGAAAUUUGAAUUUCUUAGUAUCAGCAUCAUUCAAAACGAGAAAUUUGAAUUUCUUAGUAUCGAAAUACACUGAUUGUAUAAUUUCAUCGAACCUUUACUAGAAACUGUAAAGCUUUUGUUAAUUUAUAAAAUCACUUACCGUUCCGAAAAAAAAAAAUCAUUUCCAGCGAACAUGUCUUUUUCUUCUUUGAACACAAUUAUUCGUUCGUAUACGUCCCACAGAAUCCCUGAACAGUUUAAAAUACUCAAAGGUUGUCUCGACAACUUUGCUGAUGCUAGAUGACUCUGUUUCUUCUGCAAAAGCUGGGAAGCUUUCUAUUCCUUUGCUGUUAGAGUACAAAUACUUGAUGGUAUAUUGGUAUUGAUAACAUAACGCACUCUAGCAAUAUCAAUUCCCAAUGCAUAUGUCAACCCGGUAAGGUAUUCUGUAGCGUACAAGAACUAAACAAACUGAUAUUGAACUUGGCAGAAUUAUCUCUAAUGCAUGCGUUGCAGUUUUAGAUUUCCAGCGUAGCUAAAAUGCAAUUUUCAUCUCUAAGUAAGUGAACGUUUGAUCAAUUGAUACAACUGCACAUGGGGGAAAAUUGCACUCUACAAACCAAAAUUUAUGAAGCAUUAUGCUUGUGCAUGUACAGAAACACAGUGCAGAUAACUGAAUAAACUCUUUUACGUCCUGAGAUGAAAUAAGACCAAGUUGUUUAAAUUGCAGAGAUCCGGGGCCUUGUGUGGAUUUAUAUGGUACGAGUGUUAGCUAGUUAAUUGAGGGCAUAAAAGCACAAUACCAAGAAAUGUUGAUGGUCAAGAGGAUUUCAUUUUCUUCAUGAAGUCUUCAACCCUUGUAGCAGCAUCAUGCUUCUUGUUUUGUCUAAGUUCAUCCAGGAGCAAGCGACAGGUAACAUAUCGAGGGGUUAUGUCUUGAGCUAUCAUUUUCGUGAAGUAAUUAUAUGCCUCUUCAGGUUUAUUUACUUUGCACAGCCCAUGGACCAGAAGUGCAUAAGUUGACAAAUCAAAACUCAGAUGAUGCUUGCUAGACAUCUCAUCCAGCAGCAUACUCAAGCGAUCAUCUUUGUUUCCACCUUUAAAGCAUGCCUUGAGCAGAGGAAAAUAUGUCUGCACUUCAGGCUUACAAUAAGUCGACUUUUCCAUAUCCCUGAGAAACUCCAACGCCAAUUCUUCUCGUUCCUGCUGACAAAGCAUUGAAAUCAUUGUAUUGUACGUUGAUGUACUUGGGGCAACCCCCAUCUGGGGCAUUUCUACCUUGAAAACAUGAAUAGCAUCACUAAUUCGUCCAGCCCUGCCUAAAGUAUAAAGAAAAGCAUUGUAGAACAGUGUAUCAGCUUUACAUCCAACAGAUUUCAUUCUAUCAAUUAUCCGCAAGGAUUCCUCAAGUGCCCCAGACUUCGUUAAUGAAUGCAUGAUUGUGGUGAAAGUCACAACAUUUGGGGUGCACUUUUGAUCUUUCAUUUCAUCAAGCAGCUCAUACACCCUACUGAAGUUAAAUUGAUGGCAGUAGAACUGAAUAAUGGUUGAGUAGCUGAUAACAGUGGGCCGAAAACCAUGACCUUUCAUCUCUUCAAUUGUCCAGUGUGCCUCUUCGACCCUAUUAAUUUUGCACCAACCAUGAAUAAAUAUGUUAAAAGUACGAGCAUCUGGGGGGAUGUGCGAUUUAAGCUUCAAGAAAAUUUCCCGAGCCUGCCCAACUUUUUUCUCUUUGCAAAGUGUGUCAAAUAACAAAUUCAUGGAUUCUGUAUUCUUCUGCAACCCGAACUUUUCCAACUCAUCAAAUAUCCUUACAGCAUCUUCCCACUCUCCUGCACCAGCAAAUCUUCUCAUAACCUUUGCUAUGGUACUAAGCGAGACAAGAUGAGCCAUGUUCAUUUCAUCUACAAAAGCACACAUCUUUUCCAUCUGUUUCAUUCUUCCCAAUGUGUCCACCACUUUAUCAUAUAAAUUUGGCAAGGGCUUAUAGCCUCGAUGUAAUUCUGCCCAUCUGAAAACACCCAAUGCAGACUUCCAAUCAUCCUUUAACCUGUGCAGCAGCCUAUUAAUAAGUUCAUCAGUUAUCUUUGUAGCAUCACAAGCAGGGUCUUGCAUGAGAACCUGAAAAACCUCAUCUUCACUGUUUACACCAUUAAUUUUAUGCAUAAGAAGAUGAAAAUCGAAAUCUCUUUUCAAAUCUAUGCAUUCUUGUCCCUGAUCAAAAUCCCUUUCUCGAAUGAAAUGGUACUGCCUCACCAGAGAGUGACUACAGAAGGCAGAAAAACAGCAAAGGUAAUUUCUAAAUAUAACAUGGGAAGUGGCUUGGUUUACCGUUGCAAGUAAUAUAUUCUUCCUGGAAAUGGUGCUAGACAUAGAAUAUCACGAAGAAACGUGAAAAAUUGUCUUUCUGCUUGUUCAAUCCAGCAACCCUGCACACCAAGAAAUUAGUUAUUUAAUGAUCCUCAUUUCUUAUAAUCUGAAUACUUAUCAAAUCAUACCACAAACAAGAAUAUUCACGAAUUUAUCAAUCAAAGUGUACAAUUUAACCAAAAAAUGUACAAUCAACGACAUGCCAUUGCCAGCCGAAUAAGGUGCACAUUUGCUAUAUGUAAAAGAGAAGGGAAAUGGAAAAACAAGAAAUGACCAACUUUAAAAAGUGUAUAUAUAUUCCGUAGAAUGCUAAAAUAAAAACAUGAAAACAGUGAUUAGCAACUUGUUCUUUCUAAUGGUUAAACCUAAAACUUCUUACGCGCCAAAGAAACCACAAGGAAAAUGCAGGCAUUUAAGGUGACAUUUCCACGCCGGAAAACAAUAAGCAAUGCUUAUUAUUCAGCAAAAGUGGUAAACAUCUGAAAAGAAAACACAAUAAUGCCGAAGAAAUUUCAGAUUUAUUAUUUCUGUGGACUAACUACAGAUAUCCUCCAAAGUAACAAUCCAUAAACGAAAAGAGAAAAUUUGCAGCCAUUUCCUUACGAAAACUUGAUUAGGACAGCUUGUUAGCAAAGCUAAUAACAAGCCAGAAGUGGAAGAGUAAAUUCAUUAAUGAAAAUGCAAUGGAAGAACGGAGGGAUUACAACCCGUAAAGAUCACAUUUUUCAGGCACUGGGGUUGAUACAGAAGCUAAAAUAAGUAUACAAGCUGUUUGAUCAUAUGCCUCGGACCAAUAAAAUUGGCGAGCGCAUGAACUAUCACUGACACUAAGCUGGCAAAAACUGACAGCUUUGAAAAAUUUAAGCUCGAAAAGUAAAGAGCGGCGGCUUCAGACAGUAGUUUAUUCAAUCGAACGACAGGAAAAAAAAAAAAAGAAAGGAAAACCGCACUUCAUGGCAAUUACGGUUUGCAGAAUUGCAGCUACAGCCACAGCCCCAGAGAAGCAGAGGCAAUGACGUCUGAAAACUUCAAUUAGUAUACCUUGGGUGAAAAGGGAACUACGUCUCCGUAGGGAAUGACAACGGACGGAUUGCCGGCGGUCGCCCGAACUGUACCUUCGGUGAGGAAAUGAGGAAGAGUAUAUUUGUUUCUUGAUGGGAAUAGAAUGUAUUUGGGACGAACAUAAAUAAAAUUUACACACACAGCAAAGUAUUAAGGGCAAAAAGCCUUCUCGAAUUUUAACAAUUUUAUAUUUCUAACUCUUCGACUAUUAGUUGUACAUUUUUUUUGCCCUUGAAUUAUUAAAAAUGUACAUGUACAUCGACGUACAAGGUUAAAUGGAAAGAAAAAGAUUUUCUAUCGAAAUAGUAGAAAGAGCAACUUCAAAUUAGAAUUUUAAACUUUUCACACUCCAAGGAAUAUUUUGGUAUAAAAUUUAAAAUAAUUGGUAAAUUAGUGAUAGAUCUGCUAAUUUUAUUCAGUGAGAUUCAUUAAAAAUAGAGCCAAAUUUGAAAUCUACAUGAAAUCGAAGGCUUGGAAUGUAAUUUGAUCCAAUUUUGACAAUGAUAAUGAUAUUGAAUAAUUAUAGUUGUCAACAAACUUGAUUUGAGAAGGAAUAAUGUCAAAAUGACUUUAUUUUGGGCUAGUCUCAAUAUUUUGAUAUAAAAUUUAAAAGAAAUGGUGAAUGACAAGUAAAAUAAUUGAUAAAUCUACUACUCUUUAUCUAAUGAGAUUCAAUAAAAAUGGAGUGCAAAUUUGAAAUCUAUACGAAAAUCGAAGGUUUUGAAUGCAAUUUGAUCAAAUUUUGACAAGCCAGUGAAGAGUUGCACUUGAUUUGUACGAGAAAGGAGAAUAUAUAUAUUAAAAAAAAAACAUCGUUUAUGAGAUAGUUUCGUUAGAAUUAUCGGGUUCAAAUUUACGAGAGGACUAUAAAUACACGCUUUUAAUAGUUUAUAGGCUAAAAAUAUGCAAAUAAUAGUUAGAGGACUAAAAUUAUAAAAUAGUUGAAGAUUUUGAGAGCCAAAUGGACUUUUUACCCAAGUAUUAAUGUACAUCAUAUGACGUAAAACUAAACUGCACAAUCGUGCAAAAACAUUUACCUGCUCCAAAUCCAUAAUUUUAUAAUACUCAUGCUAAAGUUGACAUCUCCUUUAUUCGUACUUAAAAGGAUAUUUUUUCUAAUGAGCUACUUGGGCCUUAAAAGAUACUAGAUAAAAGGAACAUACACAUGCAUAUUGUUUAAUUUUCUAUUUUACAAUUACCUUUUCUAGCAUUUUUUAGCCAAAUAAUUUUUUUGGUAUAACUAUACAUUUGCAAAUGAAAAUUUGCAAAUAUGAUGCAGCAUAUCAUCCACUGCACGAAUUGUUGAAGAGACCUUGUUUGGAUAGUCAUUUUCCGUCGGAAAAUCACGUCGUUUUUCGUGAUCACAUUUCCCUAUUACCUUUUUUCCUUACAUACGUCAAAUCGCUACAGUAAUUUUUCUAAAAAAAAAUCCUAGAAAAUGCAAUCCAAACACUACCUUUGUCUAAUCUCUAACAUUUUGGCCGCACAGCAUUGCUCUAUAAUUAAAAAGACCUUCUAGGUCCUGUACAAUCCAAAGAUAGAAGGAAGAGUGUAAUAGCUCACUUAACAGAAAAUUGGCUUAUGUUCAUUCUAUCUAAGUCUAAACACUGGUACACAAUGAGCAUUGAAUAACUUAUGCCGUGCUCUAGAAAAAUGUUCCUUGAGCAGAAAAUCUUCUAGGGUAUCAGCGAAUCCACACAUUUAUAUUGACAAGGGAAUACCAAGAACUGUCCCCGCAGAGCCAGUUUCUUGAUAAAAUUUGAAAACUCUUACUUGAUGCAAACGUUCAGCUGGCGACAGUGUGGAGUUGCAAGCUAUAUCCUUCAAAAACAUUAGGGCUUCAGCCAUGACAUCAUUCAUUUGAGAAAGCACCAGUAACCUUCACACUGUGGGCUUUGGCUGUCCUAACAGAGAUGCCUGAACGAGAGAUGUCAGCGACGGAUGAAUCCGAGCCUUUCUCAUUGAUCGGGCAUCACUUCUUCCUUCCGCAUACUCCUCACCUAAUGGCCACCUUGGCCGCAAAUCAAGCUGUUUCAUGCACGACAUUCGUCAACAUAUUACUAUCCAAAAAAAGAUAGAAGCAUAGAUUCUUGCUACUUUUCAAAAUGAAAAUCCUCAAGACCACAUGAAAACAAAAGCAAUGAACCCAACCACCUGUAGAUACUACAUUUCCAACAUAAUUCUUUCAAAAAAUGGAGUUCCUCCAAUCUCCACUUAAGGUAGCCUGAUCCCUUAAUUUGUAAUCAGUUCACGUUUAAACAUGCAAUUCAUUUGUCCAGAUUAACUAAAUAGAGGAAUUUUGAGGAUUGCUUUACAAACCACGUUAACCAAACCUGAAGUAACACAUUUGCCCAAUUCUUUGCUUAUUCAAAGUUCAAGAGAGCAGAAAAUGGAAAUUGACUAAGCUAAUUAGCAUUACGGCAGCAAGUCUGAUCCAUGCGACCACUUAACUUUUUCUCCAUCAACUAAUAGGUUUUGGAAACCCAUAUGAAGUGAGAAGUCAUGAAUUAAUCAACUUCUUCUUUCAUAUGAGAAAAGAGGCAGUAAAGACGAAAAAUAUAGAGCUUACUCUUCUAUUAGAGAUAUAGCAUCCAAAUCAAACAAAUUCUAGCCAAAAAAAUCUUUAAAAAUCCAAAUGAAAGCACCAAAAUGACAAAACCUGGGCAUCUUCAGGUUCAUUGGCAGGUGGUGGAGGAUCAUAUCUUCCUACCCGGAAAUGUUCCACGCCGGUCCAAGCAAUCAUUACACCUUUCAGAACAAGCCAACAUUAUUCUUCAAGACAAGGCCCAACGUACUAGCUUUUCAAAGUUCAAAUAAUUUAGGGUUAAAAACAAAAAAGUCCCCUGUGAUAUACCUAAUAUACAGAAAAGGCCCACAUGGUUUCAAAACAUACAAAACGACACCUCAUGUUUUGAACUAAAUUAUAAACUAACAGAAUUUGUUAAACUUAACGAAAUGACAAUUUCGCCUGUUAAACUUAACGAAAUGACAAUUUCGCCUGUUAAACUUACCGGAUUCUGUUAAGUUUACCGUUAGCUUUACCGAAUUCAGUUAAAUUUUCAUUAAGUUUACCGGAUAACGAUUUCGUCUGUUAAACUUACGGGAUUCUGUUAAGUUUACCAUUAACUUUACCGAAUUCCAUUAAAUUUUCCGUUCAGUUUACCGGAUUCCAUUAAGUUUAACGAAUUAUAUUAGUUUACAAUUUAGUUCAAAACAUGAGGUGUCGUUUUGUAUGUUUUGAAACCAUAGGGGGUUUUUCUGUGUAUUAGGUAUAUUACAGGGGAUUUUUUUGUUUUUAACCCAAUAAUUUAACAUUACCAAGAUUUGGGCAACUUUUCCACAGAUGCAAAUGAACCCCUACCAGGCCUAAAACAAAUUAAUUAUGUUCUCAAUGAUGGGUAGAUAUCUAACAGAUUACCACCAGAAAUUGAAUGCCGAUGCAGCUAUUCAAUUGAGACUAGCCUAUUCACUUUAUUUUAAAUUGCAAAAGUAUUGUCUGUAAUGAGCACUUGGAUCCAUCCUUAUGUUGUAGUACACGAGCUUGAACCACAGAAACCACACACAAUCUAUCUACAAGUUAUUUGUCCGAAGUUUGUAUUUUUCAACUGCCAGUUAUUAAAAUCAAGUACCUCUGCAAAUUAAUCACUUUUGCAUUUUCUCAAUGUUAACUGAAUUAGCAGGAAAAACACUUAGCACCUUACCAUUAUCAGUACAGAGGCUAGGAGGAGGGCACAAAAGUUGCAGGGCAUUCCUUUCCACUACCUGAUUAAGGCGAGAGCGGACAAACUUGUUUGAAGCAACACCUCCGGAAGCUACCUACGAUGGGAGUAUAAAGAAAUUGCUCUGAGACAAUAUUCAAACCAAUAUAAAGCAACAAAGCGCAUGAAGUCUAGAAUUCGAGAGUACAACAGCGUGGAAGCCAAUUGGGAAUCUUAUUUCACGCACCAAAUACUUCACAGAAGGCUCAAUUUUCAAUGCCCAUUCAAUUGCUCGUUGGCAUUUUUCCUCUAAAUGUAAUACUGCAACUCGCUGCACAAAGAUACUUCGCCAAUGUUUAAAAAAGAGUAAAGCAAUAAAGAAGAAGAUGCUCAUUGAACACUAUUGUUAUAUUAUAUUUAAAGAAAGCAGACAUGUGGAACUAUAUGUUAAAAACUUGAUUUUAUUUUCUUUUCAUGAAAUAAAUGCCAAGACCAUUAUCACCUGGAAAGAGGCAGCAAUAUUUGCCCUUGCACCUCUAUCUUCACUACUAGCUGAAGAAAUGGGGAUUUCAGCAUUGCUGCAUGCACAACGUCCAAGGAACAAAAUAAGGUCAGAGGUGAUGGAGAGAAGAGGAACUUUGAACAUCUAAAUGUUGAAAUGAUUGAUUGCUGGGUUAACCAACAAUAGCUGCAGGGACAGAAAUUUGUUCCAACUACACGAUUAAUACUUUUUCCAAGCAUAUUCAACAUGAUUGACACAGCUAGAAAAGAAGAUUCUUUUAGAUCUUUUGGCAUAUUUUCCCAGAUAUGCUAUAGUCCACAGCUAAUAUUUCAGCAUUUUAUAUCCAAAUAGAAGAUUCAAAAGGAAGAAUCUGGGACAAGACGUGACCUUCUUAUCAACAGCAAUAAAGACAAUAUUUCUUCAUGGGAAAAACAAUGUUUUUCAUAGGCUAAAAGCACCUACAUAUUCUGUGCUUCGAUUUCCAACCUCACUUGAUUCUUUAGCCCUGCAUAUGAGAAGUUGCAGUCUUUGUGUUGUUUCAUAGGAACCUAACAAACAACCACUUCAAAACCUGAGCUCAAUAUGAAGAUCAAAUUCUGGUCAAACUGUUUCAAAAGAAAACAAAUGACACUUGACAUAAAAUUUCUCCAAACUUACUCUGAAUUUGACUGCUUCUGCAUCUCCCUCAUGAGCUAACUCCUCAAUUGCAGGCCCUCCACUCCUCCUCAUAUCAAGACCAAGCCAUUUUGCAGUCUUGUCAUAUGCCUCCCCAAUUGCAUCAUCAACUGUGGUACCAAGUUGUAUGUAAUGGCCAAGAUCCCGGGCAAGAACUAAAAGGUUGUGUCCUCCUAAUGAUCAAAAUGUUAAAAGUGCAUUGACUUAAUAAGUUCUUCCCCCCAAACCCCCCCCCCUUCUUCCCUCUAAGCAAAUUGACUUAGUAAGUUAAACUAGUAACUAAGUUAAAAGGGUUGCGAAGACUCAAUCCAGUAAAUGACCAAAAUCAUUUCACCUAAGACCCAUGUGCCACUUUACAAAAAACAGUACCAGGAAAUGUGUUAGAAUAAUGUAGAGCCCUCUGGAGCAUGGUAAUUCAAGAUUUCUUAAUUUUCAAUCCAGGUAAUUGGUCCUACAGCACAGCUAAUUACUUUUUCUAUUUUUUUUAGCAGAACUCUAGUCUGUCUCAAUUCUUCUUCAAGUGUGUGCGUACUGUAGCAUUGAUGCACAUUUGAAAAUGGGAAAAUAAAUGUGACAAAUUUAAAUGAGUGCUGUGAUUUAUCAUACCUGAGAUGAGCAGGGCGAGAAAAGGGAAUUGCAGUUUCUUUUCUACUAACCUAGAGAGGGGAAAAAAAUUGAAUAAGGCAAAUGACUUUUCAUGAUAAGUUGAAGCUCAUACUCUUUCAACUUUCGACGAACUGAGCAUAGUUGCAUACAAGAUUUUUUUGAUAGUAAUAGCUACAGAUUUAUUAUUAGAAUUGGAGUGCAAAUUCCAUCCACGCUUUAAGGCCAGAUCUCUUUAUGUUCACCUUUACAGAUGAGGCACCGGAAGACAAACUAAUUGGAGAAAAACCUAAAUCAAUAGUACUUUUAAGUAUCAGGUAGAUUUCCAAGUGAUUUUCAAUGCCUCAUUUCUUCACAAACCAGUUAAGUUGACCCCUCACCAUAAGACAAGAAAAAUGAAAGUCAUAUCUCAUUAAGCACAUUGAGUAAUAGAAGUCUCUUAAAUGGACAAAAGAAGGAAACGAAAAGGUCAAAACAAAGGUCUAUCUUGUAAGCUUUUCUUGCAGAGCUCACAUCUUGCCACCAAAUACAAUUUUCUCCUCAGUUUAUUUAGUUCGUCUUUUCUACCACAUCAAUCAUAGCCAUUACAUUACUGAAUUCUCAAUUAGUGGCUGAAAUCAUGAAUGAUCCCCCCCCCAACCCACAAAACAAAAAGAAGAACCCACAAAUUUUCCAGGAACAUGCAACCAAAAAUCAAACUGAAGCCAUUUAGCAAAGGAAAUAGCAAGAAGAUGCAAAAUUUAUAUAUUGGCUUACAAACAACACAUAAAGCUAUUGUAUUUUACUCAACUAUCUGAUAAAAUUUCAGGGGAAAAAAAGGCAACAUGGCUAAAGGGCAACCAUGGCAUUGAAUUCAAAAAAGUAACACUCCUAAUAUGCUUUUAAAACAAUUUACAGUAAUAUCUUAAAAAAUGUGAUUUUGAGUAUGAAUUGAACAUGUAUUACCUAGCUACUAAGGCAUGUGCUUCCAUGUGGUGCACCCCCACUAUGGGUAGAUUCAAUCUGCCAGCAAUUUUCCGAGCCUUUUGCACACCAACUACAUGUGAAUUGAAGAAAGGAUGUUUAAGGAAUUUUAUCAUGUUGCUCUUUGGCAAACAAACAUCUAAAUAACAUGAUAGAAUUGUCAUUUGACAUCUUAAACAUACAAUGAUCCCUGACAGGGUUUCACAAUUUCAUAUGGUCUAAGGUUAAUGCUUAGGGAAACCAAAUGGUUUAUCAAUUAGAACCACAUCAUCUCCAGAAAAUUCAAUCAAGUUGAGUUCUGGAGUUUUAAAUUAAAAAAAAAAAAAAAAUUACCACGCAAACAAAGGCUUAAACCAGGACCAAUAGUGACUGCAACUGCAGUAAGCUCCUUCUCAGUCAGUUGAGCUUUAUCUAAGGCUUCCUGUACUACCUGCAAAAUAAAUUAUUAUACUUGGAAGAACAAACAAGAAGAGUAAAUGAAAGAGUUACAACUCUUAUUUGAUAAUACACUUUAAGCCAUGGAUAUAUCUUCUUUAAAAUUCAAAACUGAAGCAGGAAAUCCUAAAUAAGAAAUUCAGAAACUAAUUCAAAGCCACUUAACUAUUAUCAUGAAAAUAGCGUAAGGUAAGAAAGAUACAGCUAGCAACCACAAUCUCAAGAAAGCUGUUCUAGUAGAUCAUGGAACUAAAAAGGAAACAAAUCAAUAAUGAUGAUAUAGUUCUGCAACAAAAGCAAACUGAAGAUAAACAUAAUUGCCAGAACGCUGACAGCAGUAAAAAAGGCAACUCCAGUUAAAGACAUGUCUUUUAAUUUUUUUUCUUUUUUUUUUUGGUUGCGAAUAAAAUCAAGCAACAAACUUAGUUCUUCUAUUACAUGAAACACAAAAGCAGAGUUUGAAAGCCAGAAAUGGCAAAUAUCAUAAACUACACAAAAAACACAGAGAAGGAUUAAAAAUCAUAGGCAGCAUACUCAUGUCUAGAUUCUGUACCUGAUCAAUUACUUGUGCAUGUGCUUGUUCAGCCAUUUUAGGUGCAACCCCCCCAUAGCGAGCAAGCAGAUCCGCCUUCAUAUCAUUAGAAUUCAUAUUCAAUACAACAGAUACCACAGUUGCAAAAACAAAGGAUGGUUUGUAUUGCUUGGGAAUUUUAGUAUAAAGAACACACAGAAAAUUUGUUUCUACUAUUUGGGGAGUAAUGUACAUAGACAAUAGUGACAGCAACUUGAUUAUAGUAUAAACCUGCACUAAGUUUAUAACCCAGCUUUCAUGAAUUAAGAUUAAAUUUUAUUAUUACAAAAGCUAACUUAUAGUACUUUGUAUCUUGACAUGAUUAAGCACAACAAAAUGUCAAGAUCUAUACGAAGCUUAGAGUAUAACAACUAUCAAGAAUAACAAUACAUUUACAGUAAGAACAGAUAUAUGUACUUGUACUAAGAUCAGCUACCAUCAAAGUUUUAUUCCCGCUAAACAAGAUCACAUUUUUUAUAUUAUGAAAGUAGCAAGAGCCAGCAGAAUCUUUCAUGCUUCUCAAUAAUUCUCAAUCACAAGCGCGUCAAUUGAACUAAUGCACAUAAGCAAAAGCCUAAUACUUUUACUUACACAAACCUAUAAGACAAUACCUGAGAAGCCACAACUUGGCUCAGAAUCUCACCACUGCUUCGAACCUGAAAAUCCCAAUAAACAAAAAACAUGUUAUUUAUUCUGUAAACAUACAGAACCCCCUUCAAAAAAUGUUGCACCAUACAAAAGAGCGAAAAGAUAUUCAUAACCUACAACAGCAGCCGCAGUAUCAUCACAGCUGGUUUCAAUGCCCAAAAUGACUAAAUUAUCAUCUGAGGAUAAUGGGUUUUGCUUUUGGACUGCUGCUGAUUUAUUGGAAUACGAGGAAACUAAAUGGGGCGGACUAGAAUUGAGUGGAAAAGCAGAGGAGAGAGGUGGCAAUACAGGUCUGCUUGGAAUUCUCAAAGCUUUGAAGGCUCUAAUUGUUACGUAUUGAGUGGUUUUGUGAAGUAGGUUUAGGCGCCAAGAAAUUCUUGAAGAUAGGGUCGGUACCAACCCCGUCAUCUCCAAGUCCCGCCCAGGUAGGGUGAGUUGAGUGACCUGAUCUUCCUUGGUGUGCCGGUGACCCCAAAUAGGACGUAGAUUUACAUCUGGGCGGAAUUGCAAAUUUCCGGGUUCAUUGGUUUUAGAAGCAAAUAAUGCGAAUUUUACGAUUAAACCUCUGUCAAAGAGCUAUGGCAAUUUUAAAAUGAGACACUAACGGCAUUUCAAUAUUGUUUAAUUUCCUGUCUGUUCUUUUUUUUUUUGGUCAUUGUCCUUUUCCUUUCACUUUUUUCUUACUUUUUUUUUUAUUGUUACCUUUCAUUACUAGAGAAUUUUUCUUUUGAAAAAACGAAAAUUCUAGCCAAGUUCACAUUUUUGCUCAACUAAAACUACUGUGUCACAGAAAAAAAAAGUAUUAUUUAGACUUUUUUGGGACAAAGAGGAAUACUAACAAUACCAAAAAUACGUUGAAUUUGACUAAAAUAUGUGCAAUUUUUGUUCAAUUUUACUAUCAGUGUCUUAUUACUGUUGACAAUUCAUCAAAAAAUUGACUGAAAAAUCAAACAAAAACAAUUUUAAUACAAUCAAAUUGUGUCAAUUAAUUAGAUAUGGUUUAUUGUUUUAAACUAACUAAACCAUUUCAAACUUAAGUUGUAUUGCUCGAUUUUGGUUCUUGACUAUCAAAAAUUAAAAGUUUGAAAAAACUAAAGUUCUUUUUUUAAAAUAAAAAUGCUGUGUAUUUAAUUUUGUUUUUCACGAUGCACUGGAAAAAUAUAGUGAUUUGAGUGCUAUUAGGUGUUGAGAUCUUUCCUUAGAUAAAUUAGAAAUAUUUGCUUGGAAAUUGCAAUGACGUAAUUUGUGAGUUGCUCUCUAUUUUUAGGGAAUUGAGAAAAGAUCGCUAAUUGUUAAAAAUAAAAAAAUGAAGAAAGGAUAGCAAAAUGACUUUCAAAAGCACUAGAACAAUAUGCAAACUCAAAGGAGUUUCUGUCAAGAAAUGAGGUUAAUGAAACAUUCGAAGUUGUGUGGAUCUUUUACAAGGGUUUUCGGCGGAAUGGUAUAAAUAGAGGAGUGGUCGAUUAUGUCGCCAAGCCUGUUUUGAUUGAUCAAUAAGUAAAGGCUGAAAAACCAAAUUAAAGUGCUAUUGCAAUGGCUGAUGUUAUCGAGUUAUUGUUAAAAGGAUUAAUCGCACUUUAUCCCCUUUUAAGUAUAGGUCAUUUUACACUUUAUCCUUCAACAUUUGUUUUUUGUCAGUCUACCCAAAAAUUAAUGGUCAACUCUAAUGGACAUAAACAGAAUAUUGAAAAGACAAUAAUAUCCUUAUGAAAAUAUUGAACAACCCAAAAUGCCCAUAUAUAUUGGUUUAUGAAACGCAAGUUUUCAAAAUUACCCUGAAAUAAUGGAGGAAAAUUUCCUUCCAUUUGGCACGGGACAGAAAAAGAAAAAGAAAUUAGGGAACACAAAAGGUUCCCUUUUGUUAUUGUCGGGUCACUUUCUCUUCCUUUUUGCCAUUGUCGGGUCACUUUCUCUUCACUUGUGCCCGAAGCCUCAGCAAAACCUCCAUUAAAAAACUUGAAAAUUCACCAGUAUCUUGAAUGGAAAAACGGGCAAUCGAUGAAGUUGUUAGCUGACGGCAGAAUUGAAUUUGAAAAUUGUGAAAGGAGAUUCUGAGAGCUUGGGCAACCCUUAAGGUUAGAUUUUGCAAUUUUUUCUCGAUUUUAGAAAUUUCUAAUUUUUAAUCAAUUGUAUUGCACAAAAACAACGAUAUGGGUUUUUUUAAUGGCUACAUGGGCUUUAACGUGUAGACAAUUAUUUGUUUGAAAUCUAUUGGUGUGGUCCCUUGAAGUUCAUAACAAGUCAUUAUCGGGUUAUGAUGAAAAUGAUGGGUUUUUAACAACUUUUGUUUUUUUUAAUUAUUAAUUUGCUGGAUUCUUUGUUUACUUUGGAUGGUUAUAUGUCAGCUGUUACAUAGACAAACUAGGAUUUUUUAUUUUUGUGGGACAAUAAAAGAUGCCUGCUCUGUAUUACCUGUGCAUGCACUAAAAAAGUUGCCUUUGUGUGAUUACAGAAGAAUGGAUUUUAAAACCUAUGUUUUAUAGGUUCACUACGGAGGCCAUUUUGCCCAUGUCCCAAAUUUACAGUGUGUGCGGGAAGAAUUUGCUAAUUUUGAUGAUGUUGACCCUGAUUUGAUGUCAAUUUUUGAGUUAAGAGAUGCUUUUAAAGACGUUGGAAUUUCACAUGAAACAGAGGUGUGCUAUAGGGUUAGGAAUCUUGACCUUGAGGUUGGUCUUAAACUGUUAAACAGUGACCAGAUAAUUCUAGAAAUGUUUGAGGCAAAUAGAACUCAAAGCAUCAUACAACUUUAUGUUGGUGAGAUCCCUGAAGAAGAUUUGCAUGCUGAUGGAACUAUUGUAGAGGAUAAUAUUGAGGUUAAUGGUGAACAAAAUCUAAAUCCUAAUACUGAACAACCCCAAAAUGAUGAGGCCGAAAGUGAUACUUCAGAUGCUUCACAUAAAGGUGAUAGGGAUGGUUGUAGGGAAGUUGAAUAUGACUCUGACUUUGAUUUUUUCCUAGAUGGGGAUGAUUUAAAUGAUACAUGUGACUCUGUAGAUGAUGUAGAGAGGGAUGGUGGUGAAGUAAAUUGUCACCUAAAACAGCCUGAAUAUAUUAAGUAUGUGGAACUGAUUAGUGAAGAAUAUAAUGCAUACCUUAACUCCAAAGGGAAUGGAAAACUGGUCGAUGAUGACGAUGUUAGUGAUGAUGAAAUACUUAAACCAGAUUAUGAUUCAAAAAAUGAAGGCAUAGAGCAUGAAUUUCCUGAGUUUAACAUGGAAAGGGAUCUAAAAAAUCUUGAGUUGACUGUAGACAGAAUUUUCACCAACAUUAUGAUUUUAGAGCUGCAGUUAGAAUAUAUUCAAUUUUGAAUGGGUUUGAAGUUACCUUCACUAAGAAUGACAAAGACAAAGCUGUGAUUAUAUGUGCAAAUAAAUGUGGAUGGAGAAUAUAUGCUAGUGGCUAUAAUGGAAGCAAAGUUACACUUCAAGUGAAGUCCAUUAAAGGCGUACCUCAUAGAUGUCCAUGGUCUUUCAAGAACAAGAGUGCAAAUUCUAGGUGGCUGUCUAGGAUGUUUAUAGAGGAGAUUGCUGAUCAUCCGGAUAUGAAAGUAAAAGGGUUCGAGAAGAGCAUAAAAAAAAUAUAUAACCUGAACUGUACAAACUCUCAAAUGCAUAGAGCAAGAGAGAAAGCAGAGGAAGCACUGAAAGGGUCAUGUGCAAAGUAGUAUGCAAGAUUAAGAGACUAUUGUGCUACACUUCUACAAAGAAAUCCAGGUUCAGUGGCAUUUAUUCUAACUGAAAAAUCCCAACUUUGUAAAAGCCCAAUCUUCAAGAGAAUAUUUGUUAUGUUUACUGCACAAAAGGAAGGUUUUAUAAAUGUAUGUAGGCCUGUAAUAGGAUUAGAUGCAUGUCACCUUAAGGGGAUCAUGGGAGGGCAGCUUAUGUCUGCAAUUAGUAGGGAUGCUAAUAACCAAAUGUUCCCAAUUGCUAUGGCUCUUGUUGAGUCUGAGUGCAAAGAUAGUUGAGGUGGUUUUUGGACAGUCUUACUGAUGCCAUUGGGACUCUAAUUGAAAAGGGUUGGGUAUUUCUAUCAGAUAGACAAAAGAUCAGCACCACUACAAUCUGAUUUACUUUCCUUUAUUCCUCACUCACUCCUUUCACUAAUUCUGUGAUUUAUGUUUUUAUGUCAGGGAUUAAUUGAUUGCAUUGAGAAUAAGUAUCUUGCAGUGGAACAUCGAUUCUGUGUUAGACACAUGUAUGCUAACUUCAAACUGAAAUUCAAGGAUAAGUACCUAAGAGAUUUAAUGUGGGGGGGCAGCUAGGGCUUAUUUACCCUGUCACUAUGAAAGCAAAAUGAGAGAGUUGCAAUUAGUAAUCCCAGAAGCACAUGCAUGGCUUAGUUCCAUACCAGCUAACCUAUGGACCAGACACACCUUUUCUCCAAGGACAAAAUGUGACCUUUUAAGUAAUAAUAUAUGUGAGAGCUUCAAUCAAUACAUUAAGGAUGUUAGGGAGGAACCCAUUUUGACUAUGUUUGAAGCCAUUCAAAGGCAAAUAAUGUGCAAAUUUCAAGAAAAAAAAAGACUGGAUUCAAAAUGUGAAGUCUCAUAUUUGUCCGAGAAUUUGUCAGAAAAUUGAAGAGAGGAAAAAACAGGUAGCUCAGUUUGAUGCACUUGUGUCUACAAGAGAGGUGUAUGAGGUGACUGGUAUAGUAGGAACUUUUGCUGUUAAUGCAAUUCAAAGGUCUUGCACAUGUAAUGAGUGGGAUAUGACAGGAAUUUCAUGUGUCCAUACAUGUGUUGGACUUGUGCAAGACAACAAAAGCCCAUAUGCAUAUGUUGAUAAUUGUUACUCAGCGGAAACAUAUAAAAAGGCAUAUGCUAGUGUUAUUAUGCCUAUGUCAGACCAAACAAAUUGGGUGAAUGCUAGCAAUGACACAUUACUCCCAUCUCAUAAGAAGAUAGCCCCAGGUAGACCUAAGAAAGUUAUAAGAAAGACUCUAUUGGAGGACUUAUAUGUUGGAAAGCUGUCUAAAGUAGGGCUGCCAAUUCAUUGUAGUCAUUGUGGUCAUAAUGACCACAAUGCCAGAAGUUACAAGGUCACUGAUUGUUCAUUUGUGAGGCAAAAAAAGCAAGUGAAUGCUCAGGUAACUUCAAUCAAUAUAUGCUACUUGGUUAUUUUCUAUCUACAUCUGACUGUCAUUUUUUGAUGUGUCGCAAGGUACAAGGGUCUACUAAACGAGGGAGGGGAGCUCGUAGGGACCACUCUAGAAAUGCUGAUACUGAUGUUGAGAGAAAUGUUGAUGCUGAUGUUGUAGAGGAUGCUGAUGUGACUAAAUUUACUACUGCAAAAGGCCCAAUUAGAGCUAAAAUGAGAGGUAGAGUUACAGGCAGGGGUAAGGGUAGGGAUUCAGACCAUAAUAAUGACCAACUAUGUGGCAUUGGACUUUGGAAUGGCCAAGGGAUAUCAAUAAGUAAAACAUAUAUCCCAUUUGAGUCUAACAUGGUGAGUUUCUUUUUUAUUUGUAUGUAACUAAUUUAAUUUUAGACACUUGCACUGAUUAAAAACUACUUUUAUUAUGCAGAUUCCAAGUACUUCAAAAACUGGCCAGCCCCCUCCAACCCAACUGGUAAGCCUACAUUUUAAAACUCUGCAUGCAUGGCCAUUUUAUACAUGCUCACUUAUUGUUUCCUAUUGAUGAUAUAAUGGACAAGAACACCUACAUCUGGUGUCAAUUUGAGUACAACUACUGCUGUUGCUACCACCAUUCAAAAGCAACCACUACAAUAACAACUAAAAGACCAAAAACCAAGUUGGGUGAUGCUAAAACUGAAAGUUCUAAAAGCAAUUCAGGUGCUGCUAAAACUGGAAUGGUGAGUUCAAGUCUUUUGACUAUGUUUACAUGCUACCACCCCUAACAGUAGUUUGAUGCACUAAGAUACCCCUCAUCCAUGACUCUAGUUUCAAACCAAGAGUACUAGAUUUGGAGAAGCUGUGUUCUCUACCCAAGGAUCUUCAACUGCAAAUGGACGUUCAACAGUUAUACGCAUACCUGAAUGUGUUUUGAUGUGAAAUAGUGUUGUUGUUGCUAUUUUUGUCAUUACUAGUACUUGAUUGCUUGUUUUGCAACAAUGUUAGAAAUUCUGAUGUUGUUUUUCUUUUGCCAUUAUUUGGACAUGUUCUACGAUCAUGUUUUGGUUAGGUUCUACUAAAAUGGCCUUUGUUUGGGUGGCCAUGCAGACACAUGCUACGAUGUAAUCUAAUAUACAAAAUGCUUUUAAUUUAAUAUAAUUUUCUUUCAUAUAUAUUUGCUUACAACUAUGGUAGAUAAAACAGAUUUUUGUUACCUUUUGGUUCUGAAAUAGAGUACAUAUACAUAAUGCUAGCAAUCAGAAAUGUAAUGGCUAAUAUUUUUCUCCAUGAUGAAGAUCGAGCAGCUUUGACCAUCAUGUAUUGUUAUUGUAGCUGUUGGUUUUCAACUCGUAAGACAUAGACUUCUGUUUCUAAGGCUUCAUAUCUGCUUUUCAAUUUUUCAUGCUCCCUUUGUAAGUACAUUAGUUUCUCCUUUCGCUCCACCAGUUUAGAUUGCAGCACUGCACUUACUUCUUUUGUUUUGCUACAAACUUCAGGAUCUACCCAUGAAAAGUGUCCACAUGCGUGUCGGAUCAAAAUAAAAAAAAAUUAGUUGUUUAAACUCUUUCUAACUUAUUCAGGUAUAGAGCAAAAUUAAAGACAAUGUUAACAAAUUAUUAAUGAAAAAUUUUUACAUUGUAAUUUGAAUAGUCUUAAAAUUUUCUUCCCGAAUUUUUAAGUGUCCAAGAGGCAAGAGGUGCACAAUGAUGUCUCUUUACCACAUCCACAUAUUUUUUGGGGUGAUCUUUCAACAUUAUUUGAAGCACUUUGUGAUAUUUUAUGAUGCUUUUGGUUGACAAAGAGAAAUUUUAGGAACUUUGAAGAGAAAUUUUAGGAACUUUGGAAUAUGCUAAAAUGUAUGACAAAAAUUGGCUGCAAAAUACCACCUUUUAUAGAACCCAACCAACGGCUUUUUGAGGGAAAAAGUAGGCUAAAAGCAUCAGACACCAUUGAGGGGCAUUUUUGUUAGCCAAAACCAACAGCCCUUUUCGUAUAGCAAUUUCAAAAUCUUGAAAUUUUUAACGGUGCAAUUGCUGACGGAGGGAGUAAACUGACGAAAAACAAACGUUGGGGGGUAAAGUGAGAAAUGACCUAUACUUAAAAGGGAUAAAGUACGAUUAACCCUUGUUAAAAUCCCCCAGUUCCCCUUCAAACCAACUGCGCAAGAUUGAGAUGUACAGAUCCAACAGAGUCAAUAUCCAAGGAAACUUAUGCCUGCAAGUGACGGAGUCAGGAUUUUUUUUGGGGGGCCAAAAUUUUUUUCUAAUAAAAUUAUUUUAAUAUAUUAUGUUCAAAAUAAUUUUCUUCUUUUUAAAUAUAUGACAUCUAAAAAUAUCAAAUAUUAAACUUAAUUAUAAAGGUAUGUUUAUUCAUAAAUAUGCGGUAUACUCAUAACAAAAAUUAAUAAAAAAAAAUAACUUUUGAUUAAAUAUCUUGUAACAUCACAAACCAUCCAAUUUGCACAUUAUGAGAAGAUGCUCUCCAAUGUGUCACCUAUGCAUAUAUAUAUAUAUAUAUAUAUAUAUAUAUAUAUAUAUAUAUAUAUAUAUAUAUAUAUAACCAUGUAAUAUAAAUGUAACUAUUUUCAAUUGAAAAAAAAUAAAAGUUAUGUUAACAUAAUUUGAAAUUUCAACAUCUUUUCUAAGAAGUAAAUUGAGUUCUACGCUCUUUCAUAGAACUAAAUGCAUUUAUAAUUGAAUCACUGCUAAAUUUUUCAGCAAUUUCAUUUUCUAUAUACACAGUUAAACAAUCAUUCAAGAAAUUAUCUUCCAUCUUGUUUUGGAACUUUAUUUUGAUUAUUUUCAUAAUUGAAAAUACCCGCUCUGUAGUUGCAGUUAAUACAAGAAAGUAAGAACACAUCUAAUCAAUCUGUCAAUAAGAGAAUAUAUCACUGAUAUUCUUGUCUUCACCAAGUCUUGACAUAACUCAUGAAUACCGAAUAAUUCUUGCAAUUCAGGAUGACUUGGAAUGUCGAGUUCAAAAUAUUGAAGUUCUAUUCUUAGACGUACUAGUUCUUGCUUUUAACAAUUAUAAAUUGGGUCUUUUUAGCCCAUUAACAAUUAUGAAUUGGAUCUUUUUAUUCUAAUACAUCACAUUGGGUCAAUUUACUAUGGAACAUCAAAUUAUAUGUUUAAUUUUUGAAAGUUAAAUAAUUAGUACAAUAAAAAAUAAAUAACUUUUUUUGAAGAAAAAAAUUAAUUCAAAGAUGACUAAUUCAUAUAUAUAUAUAUAUAUAUAUAUAUAUAUAUAUCAACUCUCAUAAUAUAAACUAAAAUUGUAAAAAUUUAGGGGGGGCCAAUUUUAUUUUGCACACAUAUUUACAUAUCAUGAAUUAAAAUUUUCAAAACUUAGGGGGGCCGUGGCCCCCUUUGACUCCAUCAUUGCCCGCACCCAUUACAGAUAUUACUCAUAAGAACUUCAUAUAUAUGUCCCUUUUCUUUCCUUUUUGUCAAAUAAGAACUUCAUAUCAUUUGACAGUAGUAUUAUUUGCAUGCAUCUCCAUUAAUUUUUUAUAGUUUUUUUUUAAAAAAAAUUCAAUAGGUUCGACUCUAAUUACCACUAUAAAUUAGAGCAUGCUUCCAAAAUCACAAGUCACUUAUAAAGAUUAAUACAAUAAUGCCUACCAACACUUCAUAUUGAUAUGUAGUUCUUUCCACUGAAAUCAAUUGAUAUGUAGUUCAUAUUGAUAUGUAGUUAAACAUACGAUUUUGUGAGAAAGUACCACAUCCUUGCCAAUAAAUGGUCCACUUUGUAUUAGUUAAAAGUCAGUUGACUUAGCUGAACAAUCUACUGUGGUCCAAAAUCUUCCAAAUAGACAAGUAUCAUUAGCUAGCUACGUUACUAUAUAGAAACAACAGCAACAUUUCUCGUAAUGCAAUCAAUUCCCACAUUCAUUUGAAAAUCUUCAUAGCUUCCGACAAUCAAACAGUUGAUAACCAGAACCUCUUGAUCUAACAACCCAAAAGGGGCAAAAAAAAAAAAAAAGAUGCUAAAGUCUUCAAAAAGAAACAAAAAUUGAGCAGAUGUAGGCCGUACAUCCCCCAGGCCGUAGCGGUGGAUAUAUACUGAAACCAAGUACAAUAGAAAAACAGGAAGAAAGAAUGAAGUGUUCAUUACACAAUACACGCGAAUAAGUCACGCUGAAAUCUAGAACACCGUUUUUGAUUCACUGUUUCUCGAAAGAGUCAUGUAGUAUUAAUUAGUCAUCAAGUUAAGUUGAGGAAAGAAGGGAACAUAUCCCGGCAUAUAUCACCGGCGGCUUUGCAUUGCAAUUGCAUGGCAACCACGUAGUUAAACCACUAGAUACCAAGUUGGUAUUUACCAAUUCCCAUGUCCCGAUUAUCUUCUUGCCUCCUCCUAUAAAUUCUCUCUCGCCAACUUUCUCGCUUCUGCUCCCCCUUCUCAUCAGUAAGAUAAAAGAUGGAGAUGACUCAACAACAUAAAAUGUAUGAGAAUUUUAACAUGUCAAUCACCAGCAACGAGUCCAAAAUGUACACCUCUUUCUGUAUAAUACGUCAGAUUUUCUUCUUUCUUUACCUAUAUUGGAUUAGAAAUUUUAGAAAUUAGACUACGUACCAUAGAUAUCAUGCUUCUAAUUAUUGUCCCCCGCUGCAGCACAGAUAUCUUAUCAGAAAACUCAUGAAAAUCUAGCUUGCAGCAUUUUUUUUCCUUCUAAUUUGGUUAAUUUUAGUUGUACUGUAUUCAUCUUCUACAGGUUAAUGUGGCGCCUUUAAUUCUUUUCCAUCUAACAAAUGAGUUUCCUCGACCAUACUAAAGGUGGCAAACUUCGUCAUUAAGUUUCAGUACGAAAAUCAAGACGUUGAAUUCACAGAACGAGUCUCAAAGUUCAAGCCAGCCCUUUUAGAUAGACGAAGCAAAUAUAGAAACGUGGGGAAGCUAAUGAUAUUCAUGAAGAAAAAAAGGAAAGAAUACAAACAAAAGUAAAAUAGAGAAGGGAUGCAUUGGAUGUGAUGUGAUACUAAACAACACAAAACAAAAACAAAAACAGUAAAGGCAGCCACGCAUGUGAUCCCUUGCAGGAAAUUUUUUUUAGUGGCAUAGUGAAGAAAGUUUUUUGGGGUGAAAAAAGAGUCUUUUGGGGUAAAUUUUUUUUUUUCCUACAAUAAUCGCGGUCUUCCUGGCACGAGUUCAUCAUUUAGGCAUUUGCUGAUGUCUGUAUCACCAUUGUUCCAAAGUUCACAGCAGAGGAACAAAGCGAGCGACUUCUAAUUAUGUUGUCGUGUUAGUGAAAAUCCAUAAUUUGUGUCUAUCCUAAAAAAAUAUCAUAUGCAAUAAUGUCCCAUUUUGACAGUCAAAAAAGAAAAAGUAUUUAAUGUCACUUUUUCUCUUUCGCGUGUGAUUAAUGGAAUAUGAUACUUAACCUUAUCUAAAUUUUUUUCUUAUUGGUGGGGUUAGUUGAAAUAGUAAGUUGUGUCCCUAUUGAAAUCGUAGGCUGUUCAGUUUCUAUAUUCUACUUUGAUAAGAUACUUAAUUUGCCAUUUCACUCACCAGCUUUGGACAAGAUUUCUGAGACCGAAUUUGGUAAAACUCGUGUACAUUUUGGAACUAGCAUUUUCAAGCCAUUGAUAUGUGUAAUUUUGCUGGACUGUAAAGUUCUCAAAAUAAUCAUCAUGUGAAUUCAUACCUUUCUACUUCAUAAAAUGUGCUGUAAUUGCCUUCGACUUUGAGCUAUUUAACUUCAGUAAAGCCAUCCAGUCUUAUACAUUGCAACUAAAUGGUUUUACUUAAGACUCUCGGAUUCCACUUCAAUUUUGAUAUUGUUUGUAGUGAAUUUAAAAGAAUAGUUCAUAAGCUCUUUACAUCCAUGUUAUACUUUGGGCCCCUGUACAAUCAAACAAAUCUCUUCCCCAAGAUUACCUUUCAAAAGAAUGAUACGGCAUGUACAAGCUAUUAUAAUUGCGAGGUGUCUAUUAUAACAUUAGAGUGAAAGCCAUAUCAUAAAGGGUAAAUUGUUUAACAAAUUUUAGAACUUUUUAGAAAAGAAAAAAAUGAUUCUGUCUUUGGACCAUCAAAAGAGUUCUUGAAGACUCUCGAUGGCUGAAGGGACGUAAUCAUAAACUGAAAUUUAGGUACCUGUUUCUACAUAUUGUUAAUUUCAAGUACUAAUGAAAGUGGCUUCCUAGAUAUUAGGAUUUAGGAGUAAAGUCCUUUUAAGCUCAGGGCUUUAUUUGGAAGAUUUGUUCAACUGUGUAUUAUAUAUUUGUACUGGUGAAAGUAUGUUUCAUAUCAUUUGGCCACUGGAAUUCGAAUUACUAUCUUACCAUUAUUGUAUGGUUCUUGGAAAAUUUCAAGAACUGCACUUUUCUUUGAAAAUAGAUGUUCUAGUAUAACAUCUUUAAAAUUUUGAAAACUGCAAGAAAAACGUACGUUCUAUACUUUUAAACAAAAUUGGUGUUAGGUGGGAUGAGCUUGAUCUCCUAUAAUGCAGGAUGCAAGAAAUAGACUUCCAAAUACUUGCACAAAAGAUGGAUCUUUUGACAGGCAUGGGAAACCAGCGAUUAAGGAAAAAACCGGUGGAUGGAGAUCAGGGAUGAUUUUGCUAGGUACUUUUUACGUUUUCUUGUUUACUACACUCGCAAUCUUGGUAGCCUUAGUAGCCGCUUAUCUAAAUUAAAGUACCAAUGAGAAGCCUGAUUGGUAAGUUUACGAUUAAUUGGCUAAAGACAUGCCGCAAUAUAUAUGUGUUGUUAAAACAUCAUUUUAAUGUAAAUGACACAUUUUCCUGCUCAUGGCUUGUCUAGUCAAUGAAGGACUUGCUGCAGUUGCAUUUACUGGGGUGGAAGUAAACAUGGUUCUUUUUGCAAAGUCAGUCCUCAGGCAAUCAAAUGCAGAUGCAGCCAAUACGUUCAGUCGGUGGAUGGGAACCCUCAACAUUUGUGCUCUUAUAGGUGCAUUUCUCAGUGACUCCUAUAUGGGCAGAUAUGUCACUUGUGUUGUUUUCCAGACAAUAAUGGUGCUUGUAAGUGAACCUACCAGAAAUUUUCACUAGUUCUUUAGGUAUUUCCUCUUUUCUAUACAUUUUGGAUUGCUUCUCCCUGUGAUUGGUAAACUUCAUUGUUGUUGCAGGGUUUGAUUAUAUUAACUCUUUCAACGCGCAUAUUUAUGGUUGAACCAAAAGGAUGUGGGAGAAUAGGAGAACACUGCGAUAUUAAGUCACCACUUGAAACUGCAAUAUUCUAUAUAUCAAUCUACUUAGUAGCUCUUGGUAGUGGUGGAAUGGAACCAGCACUUGGUACAUUCGGUGCAGACCAAUUUGAUGAGGAGGAUACAGAAGAAAAGCGAUCAAAAACUGCAUUUUUUGGCUAUUACUAUGUCGCUUUGAAUCUUGGAUCGUUGAUUGCUGAAACAGUCUUGGUUUAUAUAGAAAAUCUGGGGAUGUGGGAGCUGGCCUUUUGGAUUUCAACAUCUGGUGGUUUUUUUGCUUUGAUUUUGCUGUUAUGUGGGAAUUCUAGAUAUAGGCACUUUAAGCCUGCUGGCAAUCCCGUUUCAAGGUUCUUUCAGGUAUUUGUGGCUUCUACAAGAAAAAUGAAACUCGAAGUUCCCUCAAAUGGGAAGGGGCUCCAUGAACUUCAGGAGAAAGAUGAAAAAGACAGUACCAGAAAUAUAGUACAUACAGAUGAUUUCAAGUAAGUUUCUUCAAGUCAUAUGCCUAUCAAAUAUCAUCAGUGUACAAAACAAUGGCCUCAUCUGUACUUCUGCAGAAAAUUGCUAUGCACUUUUACUUUCUAGACUAACUUGCAUUUAUGUCAUUUAAGAUUGUAUGAUAUGAAAAACUCGUAUAUGCACUCAUCGAAUUAAAAACUUGAGUUUAUCCAAUCUGACAGUUUCAUCAAAAAGAGAAUAAUAAAUCCAUUUUCAGGUUUCUUGAUCGGGCAGCUUUUGUGACAGCACCAGACAUGAUAACCAUAUUACCUGGCAAAAGCCAAGCUCCAAAUCCGUGGCGUCUCUGCACUGUUUCUCAAGUUGAAGAAGUAAAAUGUGUGCUGAGGCUAUUGCCAAUAUGGUUUUGCACCAUUGUUGCCUCCAUAGUCUUUGUACAAGUUCUUUCUCUCUUUGUUGAGCAAGGAGCUGCAAUGGAAUCAGUAAUCUUGGGAUUUCACAUCCCUCCAGCCAGCAUGACUGCCUUUGACAUUAUAAGCACAUCUACAUUCAUCAUUUGCUAUGAGAAGUUUAUUGUUCCUUUUUAUGUGAAACUGACUAAAAGGAAGCCAAAGACUCUAAGUGAAUUACAAAGAAUAGGAAUUGGACUGGUGAUUUCGAUUGUAGCCAUGAUAAUUGCAGGCUUUGUCGAGCUGCACAGACUAAGACAUGCAAUCCAAAAAGGUCAAGAAACUAGUUCCCUGAGUAUUUUCUGGCAGACUCCUCAGUAUGUAUUAGUAGGAGUAGCCGAAGCAUUUGUAAUUGUUGCCCAGUGGGAGUUCUUCGCUUCACAAACACCAGAUAGAUUGAAGAGCUUGGGGCUUGGUUUAUCGAUGUCUUCUUCUGCGUUAGGUAGUUACUUAUGCAGCAUAGCGCUGACAGUGGUGAUGAAUAUCACAUCGAGGCAUGGGAAGCCAGGAUGGGUUCCUGCAAAUUUAAAUGAUGGCCAUUUGGACAGGUUUUUCUUCCUUUCAGCAGCUCUCAUUGCACUUGAUCUGGCAAUGUUUGUCGUGGUGGCUAAGAGGUACAAGUGCAUAACAUUAGAGAAGCGAGAGGGGGGAGCAGAAGCAGGUGCCAUACCUUGAACUAAUCAAAUUGCUUCUCAUGUCUAUCUCUAUCUGGAUCACAAGUACUUGAAUGAGCAUUUUUGUAGCAAGAUCAGUAGACGUGGAUUGUAGAAGUGAUGUAAAACGCAAAUAUGACAACUUCAUGACGAAAUAUAGUAUUCUCUUUGUAUUUUUCUCAGUAGAUCCUAUAUAUAUAUAUAUAUAUAUAUAUAUGUGUAUGUGUAGUUUAUUAGAACUCUCUGUGAUGAUGACACCAGAAAGUACAGCUCAUAUGACCCCGUUUACAAGCUGGUUCAGCAACCAAUUAUGGUAAUUGCAGCAGUACCUUGUGCAGACAAGAAUGGUAUAAACAGCCACCCAGCCAGAUGGAGGCUCAGAUCUGGAAAGCCUCCUCGCCUUCUAUAACGCUUCUGGCACAGCAUUGGGAGUAAAUAAAUCUGCAAGAGGAAAUAUGAGACACAACCAUAGCGUAGCGUCUAACAAAUAAAACACCAUGUUAAAGUAAUAAAGAAAAGGCAGAAGACCUCUUUGGAUUAAACGAAAGAAAUAACUCAACAAGAAGAAUUUGGACUGAAGACAUUAUUCAUUCUUAUUUUUGUUCUCCACAAUAAUGAAGGAGAUUAUAAUGCAUGUAUGAAUUUUAACAUGGCAACCAACUAGUAAAUGGAACAGGAAACUGUGACAGUUGAAUUCCUUUUCGAGCUAGCUGCUCUUCAUACAACACUAGGGAGUGAAAAAUGCUUGGUGUGCUGCUUCCCUUAUGAAGCUUUUGGGCUUCAGUGUAGCUCUUUAUUGGCAACAUCUGUUCAUCACUUUGAUAUCUUUGCAGUGAGUUCUCUUACAAGCUUAGCAGCAACCAUUGCUGUCAUCCCAUCAACAGUAUCACGCUGGGGGUUGAAUUCCACCACGUCUGCAGCAAUAACAUUACCCUGAAGAUUGUGAAGUAUGUUGAGAACAUCACGGAAAGAGAGGCCUCCAGGCUCAAUGUGAGACACCCCUGGGGCAAAUGCUGGAUCAAGAGAGUCCACGUCUACUGAAAUGUAUACACCCUUCACCCCUUCACCAAGUUUCUGCAAAUAGAGUAGACAUUCAGAAUAAGGUAAAUUGAGUAUGAACCAGAACACCUUGAAGAGUAGACUUGUUUGUUUGCUCUAUAGCUCCCCUUGACCAAUGCAUAAGUAUUGGAUGAAAUGUAGAUUUCAGUUCGUGAAAAGGAACCCAAGCAUUUGACAAUGUCUAAAGAAUGAAAAUCAGCUUUGUGACAUAGGGAUUUUGUUUUGGGUCAGCAAAACUUGGACUCCAAGACUAGACGAUAAGAUGACAGAAACUAUGCAUAUCAAAUCUUUUCAAUUUGAGAGUUGCUAAUGAUGAACCUCCGUGAAUUUGUGUGUCUGUGAGAGAGAGAGAGAGAGAGAGAGAGAGAGAGAGAGAGAGAGAGAGAG